UUUUUUUUUUUUUCUUACAAAAACGUGUAACCAUUUGAGUUUGACUUGCGGUGACCAACCAGAUUUAUUAAUCUAUUUUAAGUAUUGUUAGUUGAUUAUGAUCUUUUUCUUGUCUUGGGCUACUUACUAAUCAGAGAUUUAUUUUGGUUUUUAUAAUUUUUUUAAAAUUUAAUUUUAGUCUUGAGUACAAGUAUAUAAAAUAUAGUAAAUAAUAGUUUGAUCGUCAAAGUCUUUUUUAUUUUUUUUCUCCUUCAAAGUUUUAUUAUUAUUAUGCUUUAUAAUAUCUGUAAUUUAUUAUUGACAAUAAAUAUUUUACAUAUUUUAGUGCUCCUUAAUUUUAUAAUAAGUUAAAUGCUUUUGUAUACAUUUUGGGUAUUUACUAUUAAAGGGUAAUUUGACUUAGGUUGUUACUUUAACAAUUAACUGAUGAGAAUAUAAAUAGGAGAGGUUGGCAUCUAUAUUUCGGCAAUAUAUGACUGAGAUAAAGCAGGAAAAUUAGCAUACCUGUUGAAUCUGUCUACCUCCACCAAAAUAGGAUGGAAACUUCUUAAAGAAGGGAGUCUAGUGAUAAAAUCUAACGAAAUAUCCUCCCAAAUUUUCUCAGGAAAUAGCAGAGGUUGCAUGGGGCUUGCUGGUACAAGUUUCUAAUGUUUGCUCUGUUAACAAAUUAAGUAGUUCUAAACAAAGAUGUAAGAUUAUACUAAUUGUAAUUAGCACAUAAAAUUAUGGCAAAAUAAAUAAAAGAAUUAGAAAAUAUAUCAAAUCAUUGUUGGAGUGGUUGAAUAUAUGUUGGGAUCUAGUGUGUUUAUGUCUCGUUUGGUUACUAAUGUAAUAACAUGAUGAAAAAUUUUAUUUAUUAUCUAUGUAUUACAAUUGUUACGUAUAAAAUAAAUAAUAGUUAAUACAAAUUAAAUUAGAAUUUAAAAAGAUGAGUAAUAAUUUUUGUAAAAAAUAAGCGAAAAUUUUUAUUCUCUUUGCUAAAAAUAAGUCAUGAGAGUGGUUAAAUGUUUCUAAUUAAAUUAGUUUAUUGUUAACCCCUAUACUAAAACAUGUGUAAAAAAUAAUGCUCCUACCAAAUGUAGCAUUAGUGUAGUGGUUACGUUUGUGUGCUUGUAAUUUCUAGAACAAGUUGGUUUAAUAAAGCUCCAUUGUUAUCAUUAAUAUCUUUUGUAUAUUGUCAUCAAUGGUUUUUUAACAUUUAAAUAAUGAUAAGUUGCAUUAUGUGGUAGAAUUAUAAUGCGAGAAGACAAUUUAUGUUAGUAGAUAAUCUAAGCAAUCCUUAGUCUAAUUGAAAUUGAGUUCGUUGAUUGAAAGACAAAUAUGUCAUCUAUCAAGUCCAAUUAGAGAGAUAUCACGUCUUGGGUAUUAGAGCGGAUAACUCUCAAAAAAUAAGGACAUAGGGUGAAUCGUAGGCCUGUUUAUGGAUUUAUUCACUUGUGAUAUUAAUAGUAUGAUUUACCUCAAUCUUAAGAAGUGAUGAACUAUGUGUGUGUAGCUCAUAUAUUUUAAUAUAUUGAUAUCUUAAAUUCAAUUAGCAAUAGAGUCAGACUUUAGAUAUUCAUCUUGUUGGAAAUAUUAGAUCGGGUUCACCCAUAAUGGGUUCAAACUUAAUAUUAUUAGAAAACAGUUACACUUAGAGAAAACUAUCAUUGGUAGUAUAUAUAUAUAAGGAAGUUUCCUUCCAAAGAAAAACUGCCCAAUAGUAAUAAUAAUAGUAAUAAUAACAAGCCAUGCAGCUUUUACAUAGACAUUCUGUCAUAUGAAAAUUGUAUUUUCAAAAUGACAUUUUAUCAUUAUUUGUUUUUAAAUGGCUUUCCACAGCCAUCAAGUAUUAAUGAUAUUUCCCCAUUGAUUUAAUAUAAAGAGAAAUAAGUUUUUUUUAGAUAAUGCAAUACUUGAAUAUUUCUACAUUAUAAAAAAUUUAGGUUGUGAAAUUGUAAACAAUUUUCUUCAUGUGAUCUUGUCCUUCACCAGUAUGGUAUCAAACGAUCUUGUAAAUUCAUUAAAUUAAUUCUGCAUUUAUUUUUGUGUAAUAAAUCAUUAGACGUAAUAAUAUUUAUUGGUAUCAAAGCUUUUAAGUUUCGAUUUUCGAUCUAGUCCAAAUUUUUAUGAAAAUAUUAAAAUCCAUCUAGAUAUGUUUGAAUCCGUAAAUAAUUAUACAAAUGUAUAGAUACUAUAUACAAUUUUGGAUUUGUUGAAUCCUAUAAUUUGAUUUUAAAAAUUGUGAUUCUUCUUAAAAAAUGAAAUUAUAAUAACAUUACGGUUUACUUUCAAAAAGAAAUCAAACACUAUCUUUUUUUUUUAUGUAUAUUAAUGGUGGAAAGUUAUAUCUUUUAACCACAUUUUUUAUUUUAUAUUUUUUUAACUUCUCGAGAGAAGUAUAUAUUUUCAAAUUUUGAAAAAUAAAAUAAAAUUUAGUCAUUUUUUUUCACUUUGAUUAUUUGUUUUCGAGAGCUCUUGUGACAAAUACUGAAAAUUAUUUUGGGCUUCAAAUGGUCAUAAAGAUUAUGAUACAAUUUCUAAGAUUUGGUAGUUUCUUACGACUAAAUAAUUCCGAGAUGGAUCCAAAUUAUGAUGUUACCGUAGCAUCAUAGCCGUAAAAGUAAAAUCCAAAAUUUAUUUUGGAGUGACGUUCUAACAAUAAGAAGUGGUCGUAACAAAUAUAUAGUGUUACACAAUAUACAUCUUAUCCAAGCACGCAAAAAAGAUUUUAUAUUUUUUUAAUAUCUAGGUAAAGAAUGGUCAUGAACACGUCUCUAUGUGCGGGCAUCAAAGUUAUGGAUCAACACAAUUAUCUCUAAAUAUCUAGUGCUAUAUUAUAAGUGUGAUAGGUGAGUUGUAAUAUUUGUAAGUAUCUCAAUGGAACAUUUUAAAUAUUCAAAGAAUCGAACCCAAGAGUAUUCGAAGAUAAAGUGAUUCAUAACCAACAAGCAUGUAAAUAGGAAGUCUAAUUAACUACAAUAUUACGACAAUUUUGGCCUAAGUAUCAAGUUUAGAUUUGGAUUUACAUCAAACGGAUGUAAAAACUACCUUUCUAAAUGAAAAUAUGGAAGAGGAAACCUACAUGGAACAAGUACUAGAUUCGUUGACAAAGGUCAAGCGAACAAUGUGCGCAAGAUAUUAAAAUUAAUUUCUGAUUUUAAGUGAUCUUCAAAAUAGUGGUAUAUCAUUUUUAUCAAGAUAUCAUUUAGUUUGAUCAAGACCACUUUAUACAUUCAAAAAAGAUGAAAAAGACAAAUUUGUAACCUUGUCAUUUUAUGUAGAUAACACGUUGUUGGCCUCAAAUGAUUUAGAGCAUAUCAUUUUAUGUUAUGCAAGACUACAAGUCAAUUCAUACUCCUAUUAGAAAAGGUAAAGCUUUGAGUAAUAGAAUGUUUCUUUAAACUCUAUAUGAAAAGUAAGAGUUCUUUAUUCUAAUAUUUUGAGUAGGAUCAUUUAUGUUAUGAUACACAUAAGGCAAAAUAUCUCUUACAUAGUUGGAUUCAAGAGAAUCCAAUCUAAUCCCCAUUGAAAAACGAUGGUAAUUAUAUUGAAGUAUUUAAAAGGCACUGUAAACUUUUGUCAUGAUAUCAAAAAAGUGGUUUGUAUCUAAUUGGGUAUACAAACAUCUAUUGAAAAGCAAAUUGAGAUAAAAUGAAAUCUAUCUCCAGAUAUAUGUUCUUCCGUAAUAAUGGAGUGAUCUCCAUGAAUAGUAAGAAAUAUGCUUGUAUAACAUUGUCCACUAUGGAUGGUGAAUUUGUGGCAUUUUUAGUGAUGAUAUAUAAGUGUUUGGCCUAAAUGGUUUUGUUUUUGAAUUAUUUGGGACCUAAUAAAGAUACAUCAUAAUGAUAGUGAAAUGCAAUUUCAAGUUUCAAUCACAUUCAUGAGGAAUCCCAUAUAAUUUCAAGGACUAAACACAUAGAUACAAAGAAUAAUUAUAUAACACCCUAUAUCUGGUCCAGUCACCUGACCUGAGCUGUAAGAUAUUACAACUAUAAAACUUUGACAUUGUUCACAAUUUAAAUAAAAUAAAAUAAAUAACCAAAUAUUUCAUUAUCAAUCAUUUUUCAUGUUAUUCAAUCAAAAUGGGACUUAAUUCGAGCUUACGGAACAUUUAAAACAAACCAGGGACAAUUCUGAAUUAAAAUGAAUUUUUCACAAAAAUUUGAGUAAAAAGUGAAAACAGGGGUCACAAGCCAUGUCGUGUGACAGAGCUUAGCCUAUGUCGCUCAAAAAACAUGACCAUGUGGCCAAACUGUGUAACAAGCUAUGCCCGUGUACACGGCCAUGUGGCAGACCAUGUCACAGACUGUGUGAGGCACACGGCUGUGUGGCAGACCAUGUGGUAGAUCGUGUCACAAGUUGUGUGUACCCAAAAUACUUUCAAAUUCAAGCCAUUUCACCUACACAACCCUAAACUCUAAACCAAAAUAUGCCAAUUCACAUUCAACCUAUGUGUCUAACCAAUAUGCCCUCAUUGACACCAUAAUUAAAGUAUAAACAACAACUAUCCAAACCAUGACAUAAUCAACAUGUCAACCUUAUUCAAUCCUCAAUUAAGUCGCAAAUAACUUAUGCCAUAAUCAACCAUUUAUAACCAACUUACAAACACAAAUAUACUUCAACCCAAGUUCAUAAGUUACCAAAACAAAGUGGUUAUUUCAAUAACAAUUCUUCAAGAAAGACAUCAAUUGAUAAACUAUCAUUUCAAGAUACCAAAACACAAAAUACAAAUUUACAUUCCAAAUGACACAAGUCAUCACCAAGUUUUUUUAAUAACAUAAGCAUAUUGAAACCCUAUUUACAUGCCACUUAUAACCGGCCAAAAUAAACAAAUAGCUACAAAAUGAGUUGUCGGAUAGUGUGAUAUCCAAUGACAUUCCAAUUGAUAGCAAAAGUCCGACAAUCUACAAAGAAGUAAAACCAAAUAAAGUAAGCUUACAUAAAGCUUAGUAAGUCCGUAAAAACAAAACAUCACAUACCUAUAAAUUUAAUUACAAAUCAUACAUAACAUUAAACUAACACUACAGCAAAACAGGUUUUUAACGGUGAUUUUUUGGCCCUAUAGCGGCACUUAUAAGCACCGCAAAAAACGUGGCUUUAGAUAGUGCAGCUCAAAAUUGCGGCAUUUAUGUAGUAAAACGCUGCAAUAGAGUCGAGCAUGUUGUGGCGUUUGUAGCUAUAAGCGCCACAAAAGAUCAAGUUCUUUAACAGCAUUUGUAGUAAAAGUGCCGCUAAAGAUCAUGUUCUAUAGCGACAUUUGUGGGAAAACUUCACUAACAUUAACAUAAUUUACCAACCCAUUUUAUUUCAUAUAAAACCUGAAUUUUCAACAUAUUUUCCUAUAACUUCAAAUCCAACAACAAACUUCAAAUCUAAAUUGUCGAAACUAUUUUUUAGAGUUUUAAAAAAACGGGGAUCGACUUUUAAAUAACAUGUGGAGUCGCCAUCAAUCUCUUUACUUAUGUGGGAUUGGGUCACCUACUAAAAUGUUUUGUUCCACUUGAAACAAUUUUGUAAAAUUUUUAAAAAAUGGGUUCGGGAGUCGAUUACGCAUGAGGAAGGGUGAGCACUCUCAUUAUGCCCAAAAAUUGGUACCAGAUUGAUUCAAUGCUAUCCUUAUAUCAAAGAUUUUAAAAAGGAUCUUUCAAAGUAUGGUUCUUUUAAAAAUGUUUGAGUAGUUCAAGUUAGCUGUCAAAAUUCUCUCGUUUCAAAGAUAUGCAGCAUCAUAUCCAGCACGAUUGGACACGAUCCUUUAUACCUUCAAAAAUACGAUUGAUUUUUAACUUUCAAAAGCUCGUACAUUAAAAUUAUAAAAGGAUAUCCAAAUAUUUAAUUCAACGAAAAAUCAUACCCAGCACGGUAGGGCACAAUUUCCCGAAUUCCCAAAUAUUGAAUACUGCCUUAUUUCAGAACUUUUGAAUAAUAAGGAAAAUGGGAAAUUAGCUCAAAACGAUUUAAUUUUUCUUGAAAUAAAAACGAGACAAGUAAUAUCAAUCAAAAUAUUAAAAUUUGAAUCACGAUGCAAUAAUAUAGAAAAAUCAAAGUUACAAACAUGGAUUACUAUACGAAAUAUUAUACAAGUAAACAAAAAGAACAAAUUAACAUGCACACAAUAGCAAUGAGCUCGCAUCCAAGAAACUAAUUAGAAAGAAAUAUAACAAGUUUCGGAUAUAGAUGGACAAAAAUUUAAAUAAUAGUGCAAAAGGCUAAUAAUCAAUAAAAAACGAUAAUACAUGAAACAAUAUGAAAACUAAAGCGACACAUAGCAUACAAAACAAUUUGGAAAUAAUUUGAAAACUAUUAAAUAUAUGAAAAUUUACAAAAUGAACAACACAUGAUUUGGUUUGAAAUAAUGUACAUAUAUAAAAAUAAAACUAAGAAUAUGUAAAUGAGUAUUAAAAUAAAUAUUGUGAAAGAAGAAAUUUGGAGCCAAGAACAUAAAAAAACAAAUCUAUUUAAAGGUGAUAAUGUACGUGCAAUAAUAGAAAAAAUCAAUGUACACAAUAUAUAAUGGAAAUAUAAUAAAAUAAAUGAUAAACAAUAUACAUGAAAAAAUAACAAACCAAUAUAUAAUAAAACAAUAUAUACAUGUAAGGAUCUUAAAUAACAAAGAAAUAAAAAAAUAUGUCUUCUAAAGAAUAAGCUAUAUACAUAAUAAACAGAUUUAAAAGCAAUUAUAUAAAAUAACAUGGAAUUAAUCAAUGUAUAUAAAAUAAAACCAAUUUUAAUAUAAACUAAAUAUAUUAAUAAUAUAUAUAAGGGUAGUUAAAUUAAAUAUUAUACAAAAUUUUGAAACAAUAUAAUAUAUAAAAGGUAAUUUUAAAAUAAUAAUUUUGUAAUAAAAACAAAAUAAUUUAAAAUGUAUAAAAAUAAGAGAUGAAAAAAUGAAUUAUACAAACUAAAAUGGAAAAAACUUAAUUGAAAUAAAAAUCAAACUAGAGGGAUAAUUAAUAAAAUAAAAAAAACUAUUGAAAUUGAAAUAAUGACUGAAGCGCAAUGCGCACGAAUGUCCAGGGAUUAAAACUGAAAAUAUUUCAGAUCCCAAAACAUGGCGUUUAGGCGUGGAUUAAAUUGCAAAUACGCGCAAAUUCUAUGACAAAUUUGAAAUGAAGUAAAGUGGAAAUAAGGUCUGCGCGAAGACGAAGGGUGCAAUUUGACCAUUCGAAGUAAAAGGGCGCGGAUCUGGGCCACAAAACGGGUCGGCGCGUAGAUCUUCUUCCUCCAGACGGUACCGUUUCAUGUUCUGCACAAAACAAGGUAAAAACCCUAAAACUAAUAAAAGCAAAUCAAAAUAAAACAAAAACUAAGGUCUAUCCCUUAUUCAUUCGGCCGGAAACUGGAAACUUCACAACCGCUAUUUCGUCUCCAUAUUCAACAGACGGCGUCAGACAAAAGCUUAAUCUGGCCCUAUUUGACCGCAAAUCCACGAGUUUUUCUAGGCUUUAACUUCAAUCCUCAUCUAGGCUUCGAUUACCAUGAAACAAACAAGGAUUUUGAAGCUUCCAAAAAAAGUUAAGUCUCUCCCUUUUACUUAUUUUUUUGCUUUCAUACGUAGUAACAAAGCUUUAAAAAAAAUAGGAGCUGAAUCGAAAAGAAAAUAAAAUCUAAAUCACCUUUUGAAAAACUACUCUCGAGAUGAUUUCUUAUUCAAACUUUUGUAGAUUUGUACUUGUAAAAUAUGUGUGUGUAUUUCUAGAAAAAACCAACCCGAUUUACAUCAUUUUUAUUCGGUUUUAUAGCCGAAAAAAUAAAAUAAAUAAAAGAAAAAAAUACAGAUUAAAAUACAAUUUCAUUGCUGUCAUUUGCUGUUAUUUGUUGUCCACUGCUCCCUUGCUUGUUAGUCUAUUGCAGGUGUGUAUGGCGUGGAGAAACCGUUCGUGGGCGUGAAACGUGGCGCACGUGGCUGAGGCAAUGGCGCGCGUGAAAGCUGGCACCAAGGCAGCAGCGACGCAAGGGGAAAAGGGAACCCUAGGGUUCUGAAAAUAUCAAACUUUCGGGCCCUAGCUGGUUUUUCAUUGGGCCAUUAUAAUUUGAUUUGUGUUUUGGGCUAGGGUAUUAAUUUGGGUAUUGGGUUAGUGAUUUGAAUUUAAUGUUUGGGUUUGGUUUGGUUUAAGACUGAAGAUUUGUAAACGAACAUUGGACUUUUAUUUUUUAUUAUUUUGGUUUUUAAUUUAUGUUUCUGGGUUUAUUGCGGGCCGAGCAAAAAUGGGCCAUUACAUAAAUGAUACUAUCACAAAAGAAAUAUGUAUAUGAUCUAAAUUAAUAACUGAAAUAACAAAAUAUGAUCAAAAGUUAUAUUGUUAAGAUAUUCUUAAAAUAUAAUCAAAAGUUAUAUUGUUAAGAUAUCCUCACAAUAAGAAAAAAAAAUCUAAGAUGAUGGAUUAUGCGAUUGAUUCUGCUGAAACAUCUUCAUUAUAUUUUAAAGUUGUAGUUGGAGUUUGUCAUAUUUUCUUGUUGCCUCUGCUACCCUUACUACUGCUUCUGCUUCCCUCACUACUACCUCCGUUUUUAAGUUGUAACUGGAGUUCAUCAUAUUUUCUUUUAGCCUCUGCUUCUCUCGAUGCUGCCUCCAUUUUAAGUUGAGAAAUUUUCUCAAUUGUGCUCGCUUGCAUAUGAGCCAUCCAGUCUCUUAACAUUGAACUUUAGCUUGAGCCUCCACUUUAAGUUGGGAAAUUUUCUCAAUUGUGCUAGCUUGCAUAUGAGUCAUCCGGUCUCUUAACAUUGAAUUUUAACUUGAGCUGAUUCACCGAAGGCAUGUACUGCUGUGAGCUGGAUCCAAAAUAUUGGGUUGGGCUAAUGAAAGAUCCUUGAAAUUGAACCGACCAUACCUUUUAGGACCCAAAACUUCAGUAAUAACUCGGUUAUCAAUGUUGUCCAGAUUAACAGAACUAUCACUUGAAACCGUAACUUUAUACUCCGCUUUUUUAUCCUUUAGUUUCUCCUAAUAAAUCAAUUAAGGAGUUAGUAACGAAAUAUAUAAUCAAGCAAAUGCAACAUAACUUGGCAUUAUUUGCAUUACAAACGACGACUUAAACCAUUAUAAUUAAACAUGAUAAAUAUUUAAAUUAAUUCAAAUUUUAUUAAGUAAAUAUACCAUAAUUUUUGCAGCUUCAGUAGUCAUAGAAAAUCCAUCUUUCUUUCUAUGUGUAAUAUCAAAAAGCUAAAGGUGUCCAACUUUUUGACCAAACAACAAUUCCUACAAUAGUAGGAAAAAUAUUAUUUAGUAAAAAAUAAUUAAUAUUUGACACAAGUAAUAAAUUCAAAAUACCUCGUCAUUAGCUACACAAGCAAAACCUUUUCACCUAGCUAUGUGCGUGAAUUUUUGUUUUUGCCUACUUAUAGUUCCAACUCACUCACGAUCCUACAUUAUGAAAUUAUUAUUAUGUAUAUAGUAAAUACUAUAAACCGAAAUAAUUAUAAGAGUUUAGAAGUACGUAAUACCUCUCAUUUCUUUGAAUUCCAAAAUCUAACUACAUCUUCCCAUUAGUACCUCAGCAUUCUCGGUGGGACAUUUUGCAAUUUCUCUUCAAGGCUUAUAUUUUUCUUAAAAUAUUCCUUUUUUAAAGUGCAUUUAUGGUCUCUCCAUUUCUUUGCUAAUGCUUUCUUCACAUAAUUAUCCGAGACCUCUAAAACAAAUCUCUCCUGCAAAUAACACAAGUUUAAAAAGUAAAUAUAAAUGAAAAUUAAACCAAAGUAUUAUAAAUUACAUUCACGUUAUUACCUUAAUAUUAUCCAGAGCAUGAUUUUUGUUACUAUCAGGCAUAUGAUGCCAUGACUCGUAGUUGAUUGGCAACAGAUUGACAUUUCGUGCUAUAAUGCCCAAGUAUCCUGCUAAAACUCGAGCUUCUGAUCCAAUAGGCUGACCCUGACUGUUUCUGGAUACCUUGACAUGCUCUACAGAAUUUAGAUUGUAUAAAUCAUUUAAUAGUGUACGUCCUCGAGUUUUGCGCCUCCCACCAUUUUCAGCUAAAAAAAUUGAAUAUGAUAACAUAAGAAUUUGAAACAAAAAUCAAUAAUAAAAUUCAACAUGCAUGUAAAUUAAAGUUAACAUUACUUUGAAUUUCUACAGGUUCGUCAACUGUAUUCGGAACGUUUGAAGACCCAAUAGCAGUCUGUUAAUCACUAUUUGUUUCUUCCGAAUUUGGAGGAAUUUGAAUAACAUUUAGAUCUCGCAAUCUUCUUCUAGGCUUAUUAUCUGCAAUACACAUAAAAUAGUUGAAAUAUUAGUAACUAAUUACAAUAAUAAUAUUAGGCAUAUUAUUUUGGCAAGUUAUAAACUAAUGCAUAUUCACCAUUACGUAACCAGUUGACACGCGCUCGAUGUUCCUAGUACCUCUCUUUUUAUCAAUUUCCAUGUUCAAAUACAUCUUGGUAAGAACCAUUUCUUCAAUACAGUAUCACCAGGUACAUCACAAAACUCACCAAGACAUUUUUGAAGAAAGAAGAUAUCCGCUCUAGAUAAGCCAGGAAUCAUUUUCACCCAACUGGACAAGCCUUCGCAAAUAUGUCGAAUCCGUAUAGGUACAGGAGCCACUGAUCCUUCCCAGAGAUGUCCCACUUCAUCCUCACAAGUUUCCUCAAGAAGCCAACAUGCUUCAAACUGAGGCUUAGCUCUUUUCCGCUCCUGUUGAAAAGCCGUAAAAUCUGUAUCAAGCACCAACAGAAAAUGAUUAGAGAUAGAAUGUACACAAUACGAAUAAUUCGGGAACAUGUCUAUCUAAUCCACCCGAGCAACUUCCCAAUCAAGCUUCUCUUGUAUAUUGUUAUGCAUUAACUGAACACGUACCCAAGUAUACCACUGACCCUCAUACCCUAAAUCAGUCAACUCCGCAUCCUCAAACAUAGACCAAAAAUCCUCUAUAGCUCUUUCAGCCCGAAAAUGACCCCAAUGUUUCUUAUUCGAAAAUGGAAUCUCGUUUAAGUCCCCCAUAACCACCUAAGGUACAUCAGCUUCAGAGGCUAAAUGUCUCAAGAGAUCCCAAGGUCGAUGAUGUCGGCUUUCAAUCAAACACCCAUAACAUUAAUAUGACUUGUUAAGUAGCUACAUAACUGAAUUUUAUAAUGAUCCUUCUAACAUAAAGCCAACACCCCUCGCGAGUUAUCACUACUAACCUCUAUUAGACAUGAGAACCCCUAACUCUUACGAAUCCUCUCCAUUCUUGCACUAUAUAGCUUUGUCUCAAUAAAAAAAGCCACAUUGGGAUUUAAAGCCUUCAGCACAUGCUGAAGAUUACGUACUAUUCAUGGGCUUCCAAAACCCCGAACAUUCCAACUUAAAAGUUCAUAAUGCCUAGCUACUCUGUCCAAUAGAGCCAGCUGAUAAAUAAAAAAUGCGAGCAUUUGAACGCCCACCAACAGUUUCCUCAGAAUCCAUUCCCAUAGAAAUCGUAGAAAACACAGAUUUGCGAGGUCUUUUUCCCCUCCCUGAUCUCUAUUGGGGAAUCUUCAUCCACAGGGACUACAUUUGGGUCUACAUUUCCUUCAUCAUCAGAGUCAGCACACUAUCUUCCUGUCAAGUUUAAGCCCAGAUUGAUCCCUAUGUGGGUCAUUAAAGUUAUGUUUUGAAAAAACCCUUGAAUAUCCACCUGACCACUUUCCACCCUUCCUUUCAAAGCCCUUUGUAUUGCAUCCAAUUUGAAGACAUCACCUUCCUCUCGAAGCUAAUAGCUUGUCCUCACCAUUGCCCAUCUCGGAACUACCUGAAUUGACAAAUCUCACUCCAACAGACGCUCAUUUUUCCCAUGAAAAAUACUGACUGGACAAUAGCCUUCCAAGUCUCCUAAUUGUCCACACAGAAAAUAGAAAAUAGCCUUUCAUAUUGAAAACGGGCAUAAAUACUUUUUUGGAGAGAGGAUGAUCUUCUUCUUUCGUUUUAAUGGUCCUCCAAUGUCAAUUGGCACACGGAUCCACAUAAAGCCACAAUAUCCCUUUCCCAUGGCUAUUGUAUCAUAUUCCAGAAACUUCCCUAUGAAAUUCCCGAAUUGUCUUCCCAUAUUUUCAUUAAUCAAACCUAACAAUAGAUCAUAGAUUUGAACCUAGAAUUCAACAUUGAUUAACAAAAUAGUCAUCAGAUCCUCCCAUUUACAAAUACAAUGAUACACUAACAUAUGUUCAUUGAAUGUCCAUGGGCUACCUAUCAAAUCAAUUUUGUAAUAAAACCUAAACAUAAAUCGUUUCUCACCAAGAUCAGAGAUUGUCACUCCACCAUGGGAAUGCCACAGAUUCACCAGCGUCUUCAUUGCCUAGUACUAAAUGACACUGGCAAUUAAAAAACUACAGACUACUCUCCACCUCUCAUCCUGACCCUCGUUUGAUGAUAAAUCUGCUAGCCCAAUCUCUACAGCUGUAUUAUUAUCGACCCCCACCAUCAGUCAGCGCCACAAAUGAACCACCGAUGCAAAAUUAACAAACAGAAAAAACCCUAAAAAACUUGCCAAAAGGCAGACUUAGAAACAUGCCAAAAGUAUGAAAAUUUUAAGUUGCUAAAUUGUAAACAAUUUCUAUCAUGUGAUUUUGUCUUUAACCAGCAAAUCAAAAUUGGUAUUGUAUCAAAUGAUUUUGUAAGUUCAUUAAUUUAAUUCCAUUUAUUUUUAUAUGAUAGAUUAUUAGACAUGAUAAUAUUCACUUUUACAUGACAUGGCUUCACUUACAAUAGUAGAAUUCAUAGUUCAAUAAAAGGUAAAUGAUAUUCUUUCAUUGACAUUACAUGAUAGAAAAGAAAUAACGUGGCCAGAAUCAUUUGUUCUAAGACAAAUGAUUUAAUUACUAUUUGUUAGUAAUUAAUUUUUUCAUAAAAAAUAUAAUGAUUAUCAUUAGAUGAAAUAUGAUCGUAUUGAGAUGUUACAAGUACUAUGCGAAUAUUUCUUUUUAAAAGGCUAGUCACAUAAUAAAAUUGAAUAUAAAUAUUUAUAAAAGAAAUUGAUAAUAGAGAGUGAUAAAAGAGAUUUCAUCCAAAUAUAAAAGUAUAAAAAAGCAAAAUAUUUAAUCAAUUUAAAAUAACAUUUUUUGAUAAUAAAUAUGAAAAUGAUAAACAAACACAAGAAAACAAAAAAGCCCUUGAAAAGAAAUAAUAGCUCAAUUGAUUUUUUUUAUUUCUCAAGGUAUUUACUGGAGCAAGCCUAGUAACUAAUCCUCCGCAUUCUAUAUGGUAUUAUUUUGAAUAUACACUAGAAUUAAUUAAAGUGGAUUUGAGCUCCAAUAAAUUAGUUAAACAAUCCAAUCCCCCAAUUUAUCAUCCAUUUGAUCAACUUGCUUCACCUUACAUGUUAUAAUAUUAUUGUUGGGUUAAAUUCUUCAAUUAGUCUCUUUACUUUAUAAAAAUUAUGGAUUUAGUCCUUAUGUUUUAAUUUGAUUGUUUUUAGUCUUUGUAUUUUUUAAAUUUUUUAAAUUUUAGUUCUCAUCAAAUGAUAAUUGUUAAAUUCAUUAAGUUAAGUUCUAUUAUUUUCAAAAUCAAAUAUGUCAAACAUAUUAUCGUAUAUAUAAUGCCAUGUCAACUUGUUAUUAUAGUUAAUGGAUUAACUACUAUUAUUUGCAUCAAGGCUGAAAGUUCAAAUUUUGAAAAAUAUAGGGACUUAGAAUAUUCUAGUUGGAGAAUAUGGAUUAAUUCUAAAAUUGUAUGAAUAGUACAAGACUAGUAAUUGAAUUUAACCAAACGAGUUAGUAUUAGAAUUUCAAAAUUCAAAAAGCAUAGGGAUUAAAAUUGACAAAUUUGAAAAGAUAGAAACUAAAAUUGAUCAAAUUAAAAUAUAGAGAUUAAAUCGACAACUCUCACAAAUUACAGAGACUAAUAACAGAAUUUAACCUUAUUACCAGCUCUUUUAUAAAAUAUAAAAUCUAUAUAAAUAUAAUAUUAACAAAUUAAAAUUUAUAAAAUAUGAUUAUAACGAAUAAAAUACAUCAACGAAUUACAUCUAAGAUAAACAUUAAUUUAAAAAGUUUUCUUUUUCUUUUUUAACAUUAAUCUUAUUAUAAAUUCUUAUCAUAUUUGCUAUUUUUUAUACAAUGUCUAGAACUACCCAUAGUUUCUCCCCAACCCUUAAAUAAAUAAGAGGAUAAUACGCUUCAACGCACUCGAACACGCGUCUUCCUACAUUGACAAUAAUAUUGGUACCAAUCAAGUUAAGACUCAAACAACUUUUAUUUUUAUUUCCUUCCAAAGGAGUUGUUGAAAAGGUAUAGCUAACAACAUGAAAAACAAGAUUUUAGACGUUGAUAUGCCAAUCUUAAGAUAUCAUUUAAGUUGUUUUGCCUUUGUUCUAAUCCGCAGCCAAACCAAUUAAUGAAACUAAAAUCAUUUUAGUUGAUUCAGAUGGUUUUCGUUUAAUCGCAAGAGAAAAAACAUGCCAUCAAAAUACCAAAACGUAAAAGGUUAAAUUGCUUGAGAAGUCCUUGUACUAUAUAAAUAUAAAUUGUUUGAUUUCAGAGACUAGGUUGUUAAUGGAGGAUGUGAAAGAUUUGAUAUUGGAAAUUAAUUAAUUAGACAACUGGAAUAUAGCUCCAUUGCAUACACAUAUGAAAAGUUGCACACAUAAAGGAGUAUCAACAUUGCUUUUAGGGUUUUAUAAUGGGCCAAAUUCCUUGAACAGUCCUUGAAUUGAUUUGCAUUUGUUAAAUAAAUCCUCAUGCUUUUGUUGUACCCAAACAAGCCCCUAUGCUUUGAUUUGUAUUUAAAUUAACCUUCAUUAGUAAAUAGGUCUUUGUUAUAAUUUACUUUUGUUAAACAAAACUCCUACACUUUUUUUUGUAAGUUUAAUUAAUUAUUUUUAGGUUAGGCUUUUCUAUAAUCCAUUGAAAAAUAAUAUUGUUAAUUAUUUAAUUUUUUAAGUAUCAUUGGUAAUCCCCAAUAAAAAACAAAUGAUAGAAUUUUUCAGUGUUAAAAAUGAUAAGAAAUUAUUUAUCAUUUCAUGUAAAAAAAUUCAAUUGUAUUCUUGUAUCAUUUUUCUUUAUAUACUUUUACCUUUAAAUUUUUAAAAAUUGUAUUUAUCAAAAAAUCUAAUUGUUGAGCCCAAUUUAUGCCCAGGCCCACACAUAUACAAAAUUAAAUAUAAAAAACUAAACCCAAAUAUAAAAACACCUAUUAAAACCCAAUACAAAACAGACCUAAAGCCCAACAGAUUACCCAAAACCUAUCCCACAUCUCUCAACCCAAUACACAAAACAUAAAGCCAACCUAAAACCCCAGCAGCAGAAGGAAAUCGGCGCCGCAAGCUUCGAGUCCAAGCAGCGUACGAUGCGCGCCAAGCUUCCGAAUCGUGCGCUACUCCAUGCCACGCUCCCACGCCUCCGAGAUAUCUGCAAAGGCAAACAACAGUAGAAGAUUUUCAUUUUAUUUCUAGGCUAUAAAAAGCCAUUGAAAACACUGUAAUUGGGGGAUUUUUUUUGGAAAUAAAGAGAAAUUACGGAGAGAUAUAGCAGAUUUUUUGAGUAAUAUUUUAGUGCGACCCAAUAGAAACAAAGGUGAUUAUGAUUUUUUAUUCUUUUUCGAGUUUUAAUCCUCAACCCCUUGUUACGAAUUUGCUUCUUUUUUUUCUCUUUUUUCCUUAUAGUAAAACAAAGUUUUUAAAAAUAACAAUAAAAAAGGAUUGUAAGAGGGCCUUACCUGGCUCGUCGGCCACCGCGGUGUGCAUUUGGGGAAGGUGGAGCCGCGACGAUGGGCGAUCUAUGCCCUUGCGGAGGGAAAAGGGGAAAACCCCUCUUUUCUCCCUAUGAUUUUGGCUCAAAUGAGCCACAAACAAAAUAAUAAGGUUUUGGGAUAUUUGAUCCCAUGGGAACGGAACCGUUUAAGGUGGGUUGACCCAUGACUUUUUUGCCCUCAUGGGUAAAUUCUGCGUUUGAUUCCCCACUUCUCUUGUUUUUGCCCCAAAAAUCCCGUUUUAUUUUCAAUUACGCCCUAUUUCUAUUAUUUUAGCCACUUCUAUCAUAAAAUUAAUUAUUUUAGUUUUUAUUUUAUUAUUACUAUUUUAUUAUAUUCUACUAUUAAGUGUAGUAUUAUUUUUUUCCCUUUUUAUCCUAUUAUUUAUUAUACUAUUUUUAUUAUACCACUAUUUAUUAUUUUUAUUACAUUACGUUUGUUUUACUAUUUUUUUACUAUUUAUUUUAAAUCAUUAUAUUAUUAUUAUUAAUCUUUUUAUAUAUUUUAUUAAAAGUUAACUAUUUUAAAUAUAGUUCGUUAUACCCUUUCUUAUUAUUCCUACUGUUUACUAUUACUUUUUUCCUAUUAUUACUUAUACUAUUAUAUAUAUAUAUUCGUUCUCCCUUUAAGUGUAAUUAUUAAUAGUCUUAUCGUGUUAUAAUAUUAUUUCUAUUAUUUGUUAAAAAUUACCACCGUUAUUUUUACCAUUUUUUUACUAUAUUAUUAUUGUUAUUUGUCUUAAUUUAGUAUGGUUUUUUAAUUUUACUUUUAUCAUUGUGUUUAAUAUCAUCAUUAACAUGUUAUUUUUAUUCCCAUUAUGUAUUUUUAUAUCAUUAAUAUCAUUAUUGCUAUGUUUAUUAUGUUAUCUUUUUUACUAUGGUCUUGAUUAUUAUUAUUAAUUCUCCUUACGGUUAUUAUGUUUUAGGUGUUAAUACAUGCACUAUCAAGUCUAUUAUUAUAUUGUUAUUUCUUAUGUUGCAUACUAUCAUGUUUCUUAAACUUUUAAAUUACCCAAAUCCGUUCAUUCAAUGAUUUAUUUUCAAUCAUUUUUAAAAUAAUGGCAAUUUUCGGUAUUUAUGGAACUCAAAGGAUCGUGCCCUAACGUACUGGGUUUCGCUUUCUUUGUUGGUCUUGAAUAUUCGAAUAACCUUUUCCCAGUGCACUCUCAAAAGAUUUCAAAAUAAAUGCAAUGUUCGGUAUUUAAAGAAUUCGAAGAAUCGUGCCCUAACGCACUGGGCUCCGCUUUCUUUGUUUAUUUUGAAUAUUCGAAUAUCCUCUUAAGGUUAAAACGUACGUUUUAAAGGCAAGCGCACAAUUGAGGGUCAAAAAUGUUGCGUCCUAACGUACUGGAUGUAAUGUUUUACCUUGAGGUGAGAUGGUCUUUAAUACACAUUUGACUUACCUAAAUGUCUUAAAAGCCAAUAAAAGGAUAAUCACGUUUUGAACUCUGUCCAAAUCUUUAAUUUUUGACAUUAAGACAUUAAAUAAUCAAUCAAGUACCAAUUUUGGGCGUGUCGAGGGUGCUAAUCCUUUCUCGUACGUAACUGACUCCCGAACCGGUUUUCUAUUUUCGUAGACCAAAAUCGUCGUUUUGAAAAUUUUAUUUAUUUAUUAAAAACGACUGUGUUUUGAGGUGAUUCAAUCACACCCUAUUAAAAAAGAUUGGUGGCGACUCCCAAUUUUUCGUUUUCAAAAGUCGAUUUUUCGUUUUCAAAAAAAUGGUUUCGACACUAAUUAUAUUUCGUACUUGACGUAAGUAAUAUAUCAAACUAAUUUUACAACUUAUUCAAUAUUUAUUUUUAAAAUAAUUAAUUUUUUAGUUUAUUACCUUAAUUGUACUUUUCACUCUUUGUACGGUGUAUCAUAAUUGGAAGAGAUUGAUUUGUACUCUUUUUUAUAUAUAUAUAAUAGGUGAGUAUUUAGUAUAUUAUACUUUUUUUAUUUUAUAAGUAUAGCUAAAAAUUGACAUGUGACUAUUUUUUUAAAUAUUUAAAUAUUUAAUAUUUUACUAUAUCAUGUAAGAUACUUCUCAGCCUCUUAUCCUACUUGUAAAAUUUAGGCUCCAUUUAUUUGUCAGUAAAAUAUUUUUCAGAAAAUGAUUUCUAGAAAAUUAUUUAUUUUUCUGGAAAUGAUUUACUUUUUUGGUGUUUGAAUAAGUUUAUGUAAAAUAUUUUCUACUGUUUAGUAGGUUUCCUAUAAAUAUUUCAGAAAAAUUGUUUUAAAUGAAACAUACAUUUGAGAAUUUAACUGAGUUUAUUUUAUAUCUAUCAAUAAAUUUAUAUCUUACAUUGUUUUUACAUAUAUUGCAACCACAAUAUCACUUCUCACCUCAUUCUUAUUUAUUUAUUUUCUAAAUUAAUUAUAAAAACAAAAUUCUAUUUUUCACUGUUUUUUUUACACUUUUGAUUUUCAAACGUUCCAGUUUUGAAUAUAAAAAAUAAAUAUCCAUUUAAUAAUUAUAUUUAAGUGUGAUUAUACAUGAUUGGUAACUUGUAAAUACACUAUUUUUAGUUUUUUCACUUUACCCAUAAUUAUUUAUUAAAACAAUUUAUUCGGGAGUCUUACCUUAUAAUAUCCACGUACAUGUUAUGGGUUAGGUUUGGAUAAUAUUAGACUUUGGAUUAACAGGAGAUGUUGUCAAGUUGCACCAUAGAAACUAUUAUAUUCUCCUCCAAUGUAAACAAACCAAAAACUACUUUUCUAUUUAUAAACCACAACACAAGUAGUGUGUAUUUCUUUUGUUAUACAUAUAAACACAACUCCACAUGUAUGAAUUAUCUACCAAAUUCUCACGGAAGGUUUUUAAGAAAAUAUUAGUUAGUAAAGCCAUCCAAGAGGGGAUAUGCUGCUAAUGUGAAACGAGCAAAAUUACGUAGUAAAUAUGUCUUCAUGAGACUGCUGUAUUUCUUUAAGAACCAGAAGACCUACUAGUGAAGGCACAAUAGUUUAUUGUCUCAACUCUCUAUAUCCCCAUACCUCACUGUGCAAUGAAUAAAGUACAUCAAGUAGGAUUUAUCCCUCGCCAUAAAUAUAUCGCACUGGUCUUUGUCUUAUACAAAUUUCCCGAAACACAACUUUGGAAUUUUUAUAUUUGAAACUCUUAAGCUACCCGAAAUAACAGCAAGUUAUCACGACUAAAGUGCAUACAUACAAGUUUCUCAAGCAAUGAUAAAAUAAUUAAUUGCUAAAAAUCUUUAUAUCAGACAAGUCAUGUCAGAUUAAUGAUGGGACAAAAAGGUUUUCUAAACUUUUAAAGUUAUGAAUGCAUCUAUUAGGCUCAAGCAUUUCCAACACCUAAUUUAUGGCUUACAUCUCAAAGCAAAGAAUACAAAGCAUCAGGCUUAAAGAUCAUAAUAUGCACAACAAAUGUAGUGGCACUACAAGGUCUGCAUUAUGUCAUGCAUGCAUAGAUACAGUACAUUACUACAAGCAAAUUUACAGCUUUAUCCGUCUAUAACACAGUAGCAUAAUCAGAAACUAUCAAACAUGUCGGAGCUUGCAUGUCAAAAUUGAAGUACAAAGGCAAAAAUAUACAAAUUUCUUCUCACUGCAGUAUAGUAUAAACAAACUUCUAUUGCCUACAAAGGAUGGAAGAUGCUAACUCAAGCCUUACAACAUUGCAUACAUCACAAGAUGCAUGCUAGCCAAUGGCGCCUCAAGAGACAUGAAACUUUACACAAUUAGAAUCUUCACAUUUACCCCAAUAGUUCAGACUUCAGACAAUAGAAAAUGGUAGACAAACUAGCUUUUUAUAGUGUCAAACAUGCUGCAUUGCAACAAAAUAUUCAGAUUGAUUUUCUCCAAUAAAACAAAAGGUUAACAUAUAGAGUAUAAAACAAACGGGAAAUGAAAAAACAAUUGGAAACAGACUAUUAAACAAAUGAAAAAAUGAAAUAUAAUUUCUGAUAUAUAUACUAAAUAAAAACCCAAAAUGGCAAUCGAUCUUGAAUCCCAAUCUCUUAACAAUUCAAGAAACAAAAAUCUCUAAGUCUCUUAACAAAACAAAAACCAAAUAUACCAAAUACCCUUACCCUUACACAAAACCAAAUAUACCAAAUACCCUUACCCUUACACAAAAGCUAAUUCAAAAUAUUACAAAAAAAAAGAGCGCUAAUUCAAGAACCAAGCUUGAAAAACAACCAAAACCCCCAAUUAAAAUCUUGGUCAACUUACCUUGAAAAAUCACAUAGAAAGAGAAAAAGAGAAACUCACAUGUGGACAUGGAGAAAGCAACGAAUUUACAGAGUAACUAAAAUACAAUAACUUUGAAGAAUAAAAAUAAUUAGGAAAAUAGCCAAAGACAAAAGCAACAAGUUAAACCCCAUGAAGGAAAUUCCAACUGCUCAUUUACAAAGUAAUCAAAAUAAAAGAUAGAUAUACCUUGAUAGGAUUGGAAAGCUAGAUUUUGGAGUUUCUUCAAAAUGCAGACUUGGUAAGGACAACAAGAUGAUGAGACUCGGAUUCGAAGGUGAGGCCAACGAAUAGAGAUGAGGAGGAGAGACGAAGGCUGAUGAACAGAAAGGAAGGAGAAUGACUGAUGUGAAGAGAGUGAAGGAGAACGACCGCUGUGAUGACUAGGGGUGAGCAAAAUUUGAUUCGAUUCGAAAAAUCGAAAAAAAUUUAAAUUUCGAGUUAAUCAAAUCAAGUUAUUCGAAUUAUUCAAGUCAGCUCAAAUAAGAAAUUUCGGAUUUCAAGUUCGAGUCAAGUUGAAUUCUUACAAUUCGAAUAACUCGAAUAAUUUGAAUAACAGAUUAGUAUAAAUAUUAUUUUGGUCCCUAUCAAUUUUGAAAAUAAGCAAAUUGGUCUCUCUCUUAACAAAAAUUACAAAAAAAUCAAAGUAAUUUUUAAAAUUCAAAAUAUUUAUAGAAAUUCUAAAAUUUAUAUUUUUUAAAAAUUUAUAAUUUUUUAAAAAUAUAUAUAAAAAUUUAAUAAAAUAAUAAUUUUAGAAUCUAAAUAAGUGAUUAAUGAUUCAAGUUUAUCAUACUAAAAUAUCUUAUUUUUUUCUUAAAAAGUUUUCAAAUAUAUAUUCUUUCAAAUUUUUGUGUUCUAAUAUAAAAAUAGUUAUAUGGUUCAAGAUUUUAAUUUAACAUUAUUAAUUUUUCUAAUUUAACUCGAACGGUUUCACUCGAUUCAAUCGAACGCUCACCCUAAUUCGAGUUAUCCGAAAAUCCAAAUAAAAAAAAAGGCAAAACUACGUCGUUUUGAUAAAUGUUUGCCUUUUCUAAAGUUAAAAGUCAAAACUAUCAAGUUAGAAGGCAAAACUACGUUAUUUUAAUAAAUGUUUACCAAUUAGUCUUAUUUUCCUUCCUGAAUUGCCCCACCCUCUUUUUUUCCUUUAUUCAAAAUUAAUCUAAAAGCUUGUACUUCGUCUACUAGUAAAAUAAUCAGUCCAUGUAAACGGAACAUUGAGUAUAAAUAAUAAGAUUCGUUAAUUCGACUCGAAAUUUUUUGACUCGAUUUGAAAAAAUUCAAAUUGAGUUCGUUGCUAAAAUAAGAUUCAUCAACUCGACUAACUCAAAAUUUUUUGACUUGAUUUGACUCGACUCAAUCGAAUACUCACCCUAGUGAUGAGAGUGGAGAAAAAUGGAAAAUGUCUUACAGGAAUAAAAUCGGUAAGAUGUUUUCCGUAAAAAGCCAUUUCUUCUACUCGUGUUUUAGAAAAUGUUUUCCCAUAAUAAUUUAUUUUCCACCAAACUAACACCGUAAAAUACAAAAGAUAUUUUAUGAAAAAUAUUUUAUUGACAAACAAACAAAGCCUUGAAAACUUCACUAGCAGUAUACCAUAAAAUUAAUUAAUUAAUUAAACAAGUGGGAUAGCUGCAUUGCUUACACAUGUGUUUGUUAUUAAAAUAAAAUAUGAACAUGGAAGGAUUUGAAUCCCUAAGCAUCAUUUUUCUUGAGGUUUUAUAAUGCAUGAUGAAGUCAUAAAUGUUAGAAUUGGAAAACAAAAUUGAAAAGAAAGUCCUUUAAAAAAAACAACGUGAACUUGCAUAAGUUAGUAAUAUGUCUUGUUCUUGCACAAUAAUUGUUUAGUAAAUUAGGUCCGUAAUAAGACUUUCCAUGAGCGUUAUAUUUUUCAAUGCAUUUAUUCUAGUGAGACUAAUCAAUAAAAUUCUUUCGGUUAUAUUAUAAUUUAGAGUAAACUAUAAAAAUAGUUACUAUUGUUUGCCUCAGAUUAUAUUUUAGUUACUUAUGUUUGAAAUGUUAUAUUUUAGUCACUUACGUCAUCAUUUUAUUACGAAGUGGUCACUCUACUAUUAAAUUCUGUUACCUCCCUAAUGGCAGUCCUACGUAUGUUAUACUUUAGUCACUUACGUCAUCAUUUUGUUACGAAAUGGUCACUCUACCGUUAAACUUUGUUACCUCCCUAAUGACAAUCCUACGUGGUAGUCCAAAUGAAUUUUAAAUGCCAACUUAGAUGUUCAGUUGUUGGGAUAAAAAUAAGUUUUUAAUUAAAUAAAUUUAAUUUGGACUCCACAUAAAACAUCCAAGUUGGCAUUUAAAACCCAUUUGGCCUGCCACGUAGGACCACCGUUAGGGAGGUGAUGGAGCUUAACGAUAGAGUGGCCACUUCAUAACAAAACGAUAACAUAAGUGACUAAAACGUAACAUUUCAAAUAUGAGUGACUAAAAUGUAAUCUGAAGCAAACACAAGUGACUAUUUUUGUAGUUUACCCUAUAAUUUAAUUUCAAUAAAUAUAAAAUAAUUACAUUAUCAUGUUUAAGCGAAUGUUUCAAUCUUCAAGUUUUCUUAUUUGAAGAUAUGUUUUUUUUAGAAGAUUACAUAAAGAAGGUAUUUACUAAUUUUAUUCUAUAUUGAAGACUUCAUCAAGCUAAAUUCAACGAGAUAGAGAUUCACAUUAAUUAUAAUUAAACAAGACAUUAUGUGCUUAUUUAAGAGAAGACUUGUUUUAGUGUUAUGUGAAAGGUUGAAAGCAUUUAUCGUAUUCGAGCAAGGAACUUGCUUUAGUGGAAAUUAUUGUAAAUAAUUUGUUCUUAUUGUUCAAUUUCUAACUAAGUUGUCAAAGGGAAAGUCUUAAUGAGGAGUGUGGUCUAGAUUAUGUAUAAGAGUAAAGUUGCAAUUUCUUGGGUGGUUGAACUUAAAUUACGUCUUGUACUAAGAGAUUUAUAGAAGAUUACCCUUUGGGCAAUACCUUAUAGACAUAGGAAGUUUUCAAACUACGUAACUAAACUUUUGUAUCCAUUUCUUAUUUUUAUAUUAUAAGUAAGGUAAGCUACUUAGCGCACAAAAUGAAGAUCCUAUAAUUGCUUUGUUGUAGAGACGAAAGGAAUCUCAAUUUUAAAACCCCUAUGUCCAUGCCUCAAAUCAUGCCUACUAGUAAGCACAUAUGAGAGCAUUUAUGCAAACUCCAAGGCCCUUAAUACAAUUUUUAAUGGAGUAGAUCCUCAAGAGUUUAGAUGUACCUCAAAGUGCACUACUGCAAAAAAAAGCUUGGACUAUUCUUGAAAUUGCUCAUGAAGGAACUAAUAUUUUCAAGUAGUCUAAGCUCUAGAUGCUAACAACAAGAUUUAAGACAUUUAGAAUGCAAGAUAAUGAGACUUUGUUUGGGUUUUGUGCAAAAGCUAUGCAACACCACAAAUUAGGUGUUUGUUAUUGGCGAAUAGUAUUCCAAUGCUAAGUUAGUCCAAAAGGUGCUUAGAUACUUGACUGAAAACUUUACAAUCAAGGUGACUACUAUAAAAGAGGCAAAGAAAAUUGAUACAAUGAUUGAUGAACUCAUUGGCUUAUUGCAAACCAUUGAGCUUAAUCUUGAAUAUAUAAGGAAGAGCAAGGGCAAAGCAAGAAAAACAUAGUAUUACUAGUUGCAGGCCCAGUUGCAUCUAAGGAUGAAGCUACCAUUGAAUAUAUGUGAGUGCAGUUAGCCCUUCUCACCCAAAACUUCAACAGGGCAUUUAAGAAGUUGUCCAGGAAAAACUAGAGGUUUGAUGCAAAUCACAACUCCAACAAAGCCAUUUUAAGGUUUAAAUAAGCAAUUUCACCAUAUUAACUUAUAACUUUACAAAAAUUAGCAAAUUUAAAGGGAAAUUUUCCCAUUUUAGGAGGGCUAAGGCCAUUGCUUGCCUCGUGGUGCCACCUCUGCAUAAAUUUGAGUUAAAUAUAUAAUAAGUAAUAGCAAGCAUAUAACAUUUUAUAUAAUAAAAAAUAAACAUAAUUACAAAUUUAGCCUCUAGCGUUUACAUUUUUGUCACUUUGGCUUUUUUUUUCUUAGAUCAUUUUGGUUGUCAACCUUUAAUUUUGAGUCAAAUUGUCUCACCUAUUAGAAAUUUAUUAUUGCUGAUGUGGCAACUCACUAAUAAUCCACUUAUACUUUAUUGUUAAUGUGAAUUUUUUAAAAGGUUCUUUUUAAUAACUUUUAUACAUUUUUUUUAUUUUCUAUGAAGUAUAUGUAGAUUGUCAUAUUAGCAUCAUUACAAUUUAACAGUUUGCCAGAUUUUUUAAGCCAGAAAACAAUAAUUUGACUAAAUUUUGUUGGGGGCCAAAGUGAUAAAAAAAAUUAAGGCCAAAAUGACAAUAGGAGUAAACAGCAGCAACUAAAUUUAUCAUUAUGCAUGGGUUCUCCUCCAAAUUUAUUCUGUUUUUAGUUAGUUUAAGUUUAGUUUGUUAUUGAGCUAGUUAUUUAGUUGAAUGUGAAGGUGAGUUUGGUUCGAUUUUUUUUCGGAGUUUUUGAAUUGUCCACUAUAAUUUGGUUCAAUUUCUUGGUUUUUUCAUAAUAAUUUUGAGUUUUAGAUUUUUUAGACUUAUUUUGACAAAAUGAACUUUAUUUUAUGGUUUUUGGAUAUCAUUUGGUAAUAUUUUAAAGUAUUUUUAUAAAUAUUUCUAUAAAAAUAUUUCAAGUAAAUAAAUAUAAUCAAUAAUGUAGCGACGUAAAAUUUUUUUUGCUUUCUAUCGCUAAUUGAGGUGACUUAUUGGAAAUUUGAAAAUCGACUUUACAUUUUAAAAAAAAAGGAGUCGCCACCGAUCUUUUUUCCUAGGUGUGAUCGGACACCUAAUAAAUCAUCUUUUUUGAAAAGAAAAUUUAUUCUUGAACAAAAAUGAAGGCCAAAUUUGGGUCUACGCGAAAAUCCAGAGAAAAAUAAGGUUCGGGAGUCGGUUAUGCACGAGGAAGGUAUUAGCACCCUCGCGACGCCCAAAAUUGGUAUCUUUAUUAAACUCGUGUUGUCUUGAUUUUCAAAAGUACGAAUUCAAUUUGACAUUUAAUCCUGAUCCAAUUGAAAAAUGAGAAUUUUUGGUUUUCGGUUUUUUAGAAGGGUGUUCCGUUUUAACAUGAGCCGACGAAUUUCACCCAACAUAAUGAUGAAAUCGAUGGCUUAACGUUAAAUCGGUACAUUGCCUUAUUUAUUGAAAUUAAAAAAAACAUGAAUAAAAAUCUUUAAAGCGGUGAACAGCGAGAUGAUACAAAAAUGGGAGGUAACAAAACAUAACAAAGUUAGAAAGUCGAAACAAAUAAUAACUAUGAUAAUAAUAUUAAAACAAUAACAAUGUAUGCGAUAUUAAACAUGAUGACAAUAUUAUUAAAUGCGAAAUAAGAACGAACAUAUAUAAACAUAUAAGAAUAAUAAGUAAGGUGACGUAAACUUAAUAUAUAAAAAAAAACUAAUAGUACUAUAUGUAUCUAUAUACAUUAAAGUAUAUACGUAAUAAUAGGAAUGAAAGGUAUUUACAUAAUAGUACCAUAAUAUAUAUAUACAUAAUAAUAUCAAACGAAUACAUACAAUAUACAUUAGAAAUACUAAUAACAAACAAAUAUAUAUUAAUAAUACUACACGAAUAUAUACGUAUAUAUUAAAAAUAAACAAUUAUUAAAAAUAUGUACAUAAUAUAGUUAUUAAAAAUAUAUAUAUACAUAUUAGAAAUAAUAAUAAUGUUACAAAACAAUUAUUAAUAAUAUUGCAUAAACAUAUACAUAUAUAUUAAAGGUAUAUACAUAUAUAAUAGAACAUAUACUAACAAUAACAAUAAUUGUAAUAAUAAUAAUAAUAACAAAAGGUUGUAUGUACACCAAAUAACACAUAAUAAUAUUAAAAUAAAAUAAUAAGUGAUAAUAAUGAAAAUAAUAAGUAUAAUAAUAAAUAUAACUGUCGAAACCAUUUUUAAAUCGAGUUUUGAAAAAUGAAAAUCGACUUUAAGAAAACAAAAACAGGAGUCGCCACCAAUCUUUUUAGGUGUGAUUGGAUCACCUUUAAAAAAUUUUGUUUUAAAAUCAUUAGUUUUGGUCUACGUAAUAAAAAGAACGGGUUCGGGAGUCGGUUACGUACAAGGAAGGAGUAGCACCCUCGUAACGCCCAAAAAUUGGUACCUAAUUAAUUAUCAAAUGUCUUUAAGGUCGGAAAUUUAAAAAUUUUAAGAUACAAUCCUCUCUAAAAUAUUUUGAUUUUGAAAAUUGGGAUUCACUUGUAUCAAAAUAUUGAUACUAAGUUAGCCUUUUUGGAAAUCCCUAUCUCGAAACGACAAAACGCCACAUUCAGUAAGUUAGGGCACAACGCUUUGAAAUUCCAAGACAGUUGCUCGUUUUUUGAAAAUCUUAAAAACUUAGAAGGGUACUUGACUAUUCGAACUCAACGAGAAAAGUUGCAACCCAAUAAGUUAGGGCACUACUUUUCUCGAAGCUUCCAAAUACCAAGCAUUGCCUUUUUAUUUUUUGAAAACUUUGAAGUCUCGUUUUUAAAACCGAAGCAUGAAGGAGCAUAUUAACAUAACAUACGAGAUAACAUGUUAUAAUAAUAGAUAAGUAAUAGCAUAACAGCAUAAAUAUCAUACACUAACCAACAUAUAUAAGAAAUAAAACAUGACAAUAAAUAAGAAAAACUAUACAUAAAACACAAUGCAUAUUUAAGAAAAGUAGGUAAAAAUCCCUAAACAUAUAAUUCAACAUAUAUUUAAACACAAAUGAUGCAUGAUAUACAAUUUUAACACGUAUAUAUAAAAAAAUGCAUUUGAAAAUAAAUUAUAAAGGUCUAAGAUAUUACAUAACAUAUAAAAUACAUAACAUAGCAAUAAUACAUUAAUUCUAAAGCAAAAGCAAAUAUUGUAUAAUAAUAAAAAUAUAUAUAUGUAUAAUACAAACGAUUGAUAAAUAGAAUGAGCAUAUAAAAAAUGUGAUAUUUAAUGAUAUAAUAUAUAAAAAUAUAUUUAUAAGAAUAAUAAUUAUAUAAAAAUAUAAAAUAUAAUGGUUUAGAAAAAAUAAUGUAUAAAAUAUCAAAUAUGUGAAAGAAUUUAUAUUUACAAUAAAAUAAUUGUAUAAUAUAUAAAUAUAAGUUUAGAAUAAUAUGAAAUAAGUAAUUAAUGAUGAAAUAUACGUAUUAUACAAAUUAUUAUAUUAUAAUAUCUUCAAAAUGUGUAAUAAUAGAAUAUAAGUAAACUAAUUAUUUACAUAUAAAUAAAAAUAAAAAUAAUACAAGUUAAAACUUUUAAUGAUAACAAUAUGUAGAUAAAAAUACUUAAUAGUAUAAAAUGACAUAAUAAUAUAAAAUAAAUAUAAUAUAUAAUAUGAAAGUAUAUAUGUGAAAAUAAUAUAUAGUAUAUAUAAAUAAUAUGAGUAAUAUAUAAAAUAAUCAUAUAAUAUAUAAUUUAAAAAUAAAAAUAAAGCAAAUAACAAUAAAAAUUUAUAUUUAUAUAAUAAUAGAAAUAAAUAUAUAGGGUUAAAUUUGAAGUUUAAUAAAAUUACGGGGAGAAUUUAAAAAAAAAAGCUGAAUUAAGGUCCUAAUUAAAACACGCAUAAAACAAAAGGGACUCAUUGGGCAAAUCGCCCUAUUCCCAAAACGGCAGCGUUUUCCCUAAUGCGGUUGUAAAUCAUUGGGAGGGCCAAAUUGAAACAGAAUUAAAACAUUAAAGCUAAAUUAAAAAAUAAAUAAAAUGAAAUUAAAAAUAUAAAAAUUGUGAGAGGACCAAUUGGGCAAUUAACCCAUUUCAUGAAAACACGCGGAUCCUUCCCGAGAAAUCGGGUCAACACGCAGAUCCUCUGCCUAAUACGGUGCCGUUUCAUAGCUUAUUGUUUAAACAGACACAAUGUCAUUUUUGCUGGAUUUUAUAAGCUAAAACUUAAGCCUAAAACUUAUUUAGCAAUCAGUUUAGAAGAAGAAAAAAUCUAAAAAUCCUCUGAAUGAGGAGACAGGGGGGGUUCUCUGGCCUUGGCCUCAGGCCUCCGACCAUUGGCCCACGAGUGCCCACGCGCUGCCGUACGCGGUGGUCUGAAGGUUUAAUAACCUUCGUCCUUCCACAGGUAACCUCUUUCUUUUUAAAUGUUACUUUUAAAAAAAACGAUUCAUAUAUUCGUAAAAGAGAAAAAGAGAUAAGUAUGAAAAAUAAUCACCUUCUGAAAUAUUAUUGCAAAGGUUUGAUGUACAAUGCUUUUUGUGAUGUGUUUCUCUCUAUUUCUGUAUAUCCCUUUUUACAAAUUUGAGAAAAGGCUUUAUAGCCUUGAUCUACUGCCUAUUUUGGAAAGAAAUCAAAAGAUUUCUUUCCAAACUCUGUUCUAACCUAUUUACUGCAAUCUUGCUUUGAUUUCUUUCCUUUUCUUGCAGAUGUUUGCGAGAAAUCCGGCGAUGACGAAGGCUUGACGAUGGUCUACCGGAGGCGUUGAUCACGGCGUGACUCAGGGCCUGGAAUCGUGGCCUUGAUGGGGGCACGAUCGGUGGCUGUUGAGAUGGCGAGGCACUGAUAGGGCAUUGGAAACCUGAGACAGAGCAUUGAUGGCCGUCUCGAUUCGGGGAACUGGACAGACGCUCCUCGAAGCUUCUAGAAGACAUUGCGGCGCCAGGAGGGAAAGGUAGAAACCCUAGGGUUUCUUGCCUUGGUGUAAUGAUUUGGGCCAGUUGGGCCACUUUAGUCCUGGGUCUGUUUGGGUAUUUGGGCUCGGGUGUAACCGGGUUUUAGGUGAUUUACAAGCUAAUGGGUUAGUUUAGUUGGGCUUUAGGUAUUUGAUUGUAAAUGGGCUGCUAGGUGUAACGGGUCUGUUGGGUUUAGGCUAAAUGGGUCUAUUGGGCUGGUUAUUUAUGGACUUUUAAAUGGACAUUAAAUAAAUAAAUAUUUAUUUAAUUCUUUUAUUCCGUUUUUAGCCCGGUCAAAUUUGGGCUACUACAAUAACACUAUAUGAAAAUAAUACUGUAUAUAAAAGUAUAAAUAUGCCCAUAUAAUAAAAUAUAUGUACUAAUAUUAAUAAUAAAUAUAAUAAAAAAAUUAUAUAUGCAUGUAAUAGUAAAAAACGAAACAUUAAAAAAAUAUAGCUAAAUAUAAUAUAAUAAUGAUAAUAAUAAUAUAAAAAUAAUAGUGAUAACAAUACUAUAUAUAACAUGAUUAAUGUUUAAAGCCGAAUUAGAUAGCAAAAUAGUAUAAAAUUCAGGAUAAAUACGAAAAAUAAAGGAAAAAAUGACUAAAAUUGGAUUAAAAUCAAAGUUUUGGGGCGAAUUUAAAAUAAAAGAUAAAUAAGAGGAUCCAUUUGAAUGCGCGUGCAACUGCAGAGGGUCAAAUAAGCAAUUUACCCGAACACUUAAAACGACGUCGUUGAAGGGAGGACCAAAUCGCAAAGCGCGAUGAAUUUCAGGCCCAAUUUAAAAGAAAUAAUAACCUGAUUGCAAAAUAUUGAAAAAAGAGGAAGGACUGCGCGCACAAUUAACCCCUAAGAGCCAAAACACGCGGAUCCUAAGUGGGUAGGGUCGGGUCGACCCGAUCCAGGGCAAAACGACGUCGUUUUGUGCCCUGGAUUUUAAUGCCAAAACGGCGCCCUUUUUAAUCAGUAUAAAUAGCCUAAAAAUCAGAAAAAAAAAUUCAUUUGUAACCCAGAUCAAAAAAAAAAGGAAGAGAAGGAGAGCUGAGCGAUUUUCAGCCAUUGGGUCGAUCGCCGUCCGAUCGUCGGACCGUCGUCGGCACCGACGCCGGCCACCACGGAAUCCCAAAAGGUAAGUUCUUUUUUAUAUUUUUUUAUAUAUUUUUUACAUAUUUUAAGUUUAUAUAUAUGUGAAAUGUAUAGAAGUAUAGACCUGAAAAUAAAUGAAAAUAAAAGACUAAAUCACCUUAAAUUUUUUAUAUUGGUAUUUUGGUUGCUCGAUUGAUGUUACCCUUGUAUUUUGAAUCACUGCUUGUGUAUGUAUUGAAAUCUAACUUUUGUAUUGAUUUAUUUUCCUUGAAUAUUCAAAAAAAAACCAACCCUUUUACAAUGGUUUCUAUUCGGCUUUUUAUAGCCCCCUUUUGGUUACACUAUCUACUUCUAUCUUUUACUGCUGUUGCGUGUCCUGUUUGCUGUGCAGGUGGUGGUUGAAUGGUGGAGUUGACUGUGGGGCAGGUGGCGCCAGGGGAUGGUGUUGAUCGAUGGGUAGGUGGUGGCAGAGGCAAGUGGGAAGCUAGGGUUUCGGGAUUGGGCUUGGUUGUUGGGCUAGGUUAAUUUUAGGUUUUAGGCUAAUGGUAUUUGGUUAGUAUUGGGCUGAGGGUGUAAAAUGGGUCUAUUGGGUAGGUUUGGGUAGUUUUUUAUUUAGUUUGGGUUUAAGGAUGGGUUAAAUGGUUUAAUGGGCCCGGGUAAUUUGUAAACGGGCCAAAAUUGGCCUACAACAGCUGCCCCUCUUUGCUCAUUGUCGUAUAACGGGAAUAGAGCAAAGACACAAAGAAAGGCCAAUUUUGCCCAGUCUUGCCAAGUAUGGACUUCUUUGGUGUUCUUCUCAUCCAGGUAGUCUCUUUCUAGACCACCGCAUCCUGUAGCUUUAGUUCAAUCCACUGCAUCUUCUGAUAUGUGCCUUGUAGUUUCGAUCUACUCCAAUGUGACUUCAAUUAUAUGAGACUUGUGGCUUCGAUCUGCUUCACUGUAACUUCAGAAAGAUAAGAUCUACAGCUUAAAUUUGCUCUUCCAUCUCUUUAGUCAAAUAAGGUUUAUGGUCUUCUCUUCUGCAACUUUAGAAAGGCAAGGUCUGAUAUCCUCGAUCAGCUCCACUGCAACUUCAAUUAGCUUCACUGUAACUUUAGGGAUAUAAAAUCUGUGUCUUCGAUUAACUCCAAUCUUUAUUCUUUAUUGAGAAAUCAAACAUCGAAAAUAGAUUGGCCUGUGAACUUAGUGUGUGACCUAGGACUCAACUCACCUCAGCGUAUGACCUGAAGCUCAACUCAUUUCUCGCAAUAUGAGUUGAUUUUUUUAAACAUAAAUUGAAAAUACCUCGGCAUGUAACCCGAGGCUCAACUCACCUCUAGCAACAUAAUUGAUUUUUGAAAAACAUAAAUUGAAAAACAAAAAUUGAAAAUACCUCAGCGUGUCCUGAGGCUCAACUCACCUCUCGCAAUACAAUUUGACUUUUUAAAAAAAAAGAAUUGAAAAUACCUCAGCGUGUGACCUGAGGCUCAACUCAUCUCUCGCAAUAUGAGUUGUCUCGCAAUAUGAGUUGAUUUUUUUGAAACAUAAAUUAAAAAUACCUCGGCAUGUGACCCGAGGCUCAACUCACCUCUAGCAAUAUGAAUUGAUUUUUGAAAAACAUAAAUUGAAAAACAGAAUUUGAAAAUACCUCAGCAUGUCCUGAGGCUCAACUCACCUAUCGCAAUAUGAGUUGAUUUUUUUGAAAAGCAAAAAUUGAAAAGCAAAAAUUGAAAAGCAGACAUUGAAAAUACCUCAGCGUGCCCUAAGGCUCAACUCACCUCUCGCAAUAUGAGUUGAUUUUUGACAAACAGAAAUUGAAAUUACCUCAGUGUGUCCUAAGGCUCAACUCACCUCUCGCAAUAUGAGUUGAUUUUUUUGAAAGACAGAAAUUGAAAAUUACCUCAGCAUGUCUUGAGGCUCAACUCAUCUCUCGCAACAUGAGUUGAUUUUUUUGAAAGAUAGAAAUUGAAAAUACCUCAACGUGUCUUGAGGCUCAACUCACCUCUCGUAAUAUGAGUUGAUUUUUGAAAACAGAAAUAAAAACAUCAAAAUACCAAAAGAUGUCAUCUGGUGGAACUCAGGUGUCUUUUCCUUUGAUUCAGUACAGCUAUCAUCACAUCCUCUUGCUCUACUGGAGUACUUGUAUAUGUCAUGCAAGAUGUUAUCAUGUGCCUUUAUGCCUACAUGAUUUUACUAUGCGCCUCAGACAUGUUUGUCGUAUGUCCUUUUUCAUCACGAUUUUUGUGAUGAUCUGCAUUCAUUAAUUCGGCUCUUGACUUUCUCUUUAGGCCCUGUACCCGUCCUCAAGCUUCACGAACAAUCUGUGUUUCUCAUAUAUCACUCUUUUGCCCCUGGUUGAACUUUGUCCUUGCUUUGAGGCUCUUGUACUUAUCAAAUUCUUAUCCGCGUAAUGCUUAACAUUUCUUUUGUUUAGAGUAUGUCAUUUCACUAUUUAUCAUGUAAAUAAACCACAUAAUUAGAUGAAUGAAAAUGGUCAGGUAGGAACAAAAGGGAUAACUCACAUUUAUUUAUUUCAAAUGUAGCAAACAAAGAAAGUUAACCAAUGAUAGUAAAAAAGUGUCAUAAAGAGAAAAGGGAUCGCAUUCAACGAAUACAAAUGCUCUAGAUAUUCAACGCAUGAACUCUUCGACGUUCCUCAAUUAAGAAUCUUUUCGAGCAUGGCUUCUUGCGUAGAAGAUUUCGAGCUUUCAGAAAUGCUUCAAAUACUGUAGUCUCGCUGUUUGACCCACCGUUCGAAAUGCCUUGCUAUUUAUGCCCGGGUUUGCUUCAUUAGAAUGCCCUUUCAGGUUUUCAUCUUAAUCUUUUGUGUUAAUCAAGAUACCCUUUUCGGGUUUUCACCUUGAUCCUUUUUAUUAUCAAGACGCCUUUUUCGGGUUUUCACCUUGAUUCCCUUUUUUUUAGGCAUAAUAUUUCUUCACAGCAUCUGAAUUCACUGGAUUAGGUAACUCCUUCCCAUCCAUCUCAAUGAGAAUCAAAUCUCCACCCGAGAAUGCCUUCUUUACGACAUAUGGUCCUUCCCAUUUGGUGUCCAUUUUCCUCGGAAGUCUUUUUGUAUUGGGAGAAUCUUUCUCAACACGAGUUCUCCUUCGUGGAAUUCUCUUGGCUGUACUUUCUUGUCAUAGGCCGCGGUCAUUCUUUUCUGGUACAUCUGUCCGUGACAAAUUGCCUUUAAACGUUUUUCUUCAAUGAGGUUUAACUGGUCAUAUCAAGCUCGAACCCAUUCUGCUUCCUCUAAUUUCGACUCCAUUAAGACUCGUAGAGAAGGGAUCUCAACUUCGAUAGGUAGCACAGCUUCCAUUCCAUAGACCAGAGAGAAAUGAGUUGCUUCCGUAGAUGUCUGUACAGAUGUGCGAUAUGCAUACAAAGCAAAUGGUAGCUUCUCGUGCCAGUCUUUAUAUGACUCGGUCAUUUUCCCAAUAAUCUUCUUAAUAUUCUUGUUGGCCACUUCAACAGCUCCGUUCAUUUUCGGGCGAUAGGGUGAUGAGUUAUGAUGCUUUAUUUGAAAUUGCUCACACACUUCUUUCAUCAUUUUGUUGUUCAGAUUCAAGGCGUUAUCUGAAAUGAUUCUUUCAGGAAAACCAUAUCAACAAAUGAUUUCCUUUUUCAAAAACCUGCAAACUGCAGUCUUCGUCACAUUGGCAAACUAAGUGGCCUCUAUCCAUUUUGUGAAGUAACCAAUAACCAUAAAAAUGAACCGGUGUCCAUUAGAAGCUUUUGGGGAAAUUGGCCCUAUAACAUCCAUGCCCCACAUAGAAAAAUGCCACGGAGAAGUCAUGACAUGAAGGGGUGAAGGGGCUGCAUGAAUUUUAUCGCCGUAAAUUUGGCAUUUGUGGCAUUUUCUUGCAAAACUAAUGCUGUCGCCAACCAGUAGUAAUCGAGUCUCAUAAUCUUCCUGGCCAUAGUUGGCAUGUGUCCGACAGAUUCCCUCAUGGACAUCUUAAAGUUUUUUUUGGCUUCAACAGCAUCUACACAUCUCAAGAGCACUUGAUCUUUUCCUCUUUUGUACAGAAUGCCCUCAUCGAGAACAAAUCCUACUGCCAUUCUUCUAAUUGUUCUUUUAUCGUUCUCGUUUGCUUAUUCAGGAUACUUUUGGUUCUUGACAUAUUCUAAUAUAUCAUGGAACCAUGGCCGUCCGUCUGGCUCUUUUUCAAUGCUGAAACAAUGUGCAGGGACUUCAUAUAUGCUCAUUUGAAGAGGCAUUAUUUCUGUUUCUCUGUUUGCUUUAAACAUUGAAGCCAAAGUGGCCAGGGCAUCAGCCAAUUGGUUUUCUUCUCGUGGGAAGUAAUUAAAAGUUAUUUCUUUAAAUUCUUUGAUCAGUCCUGCCACUAGAUCGCUGUAUUUGACUAAUUUCAAAUCUCUCACUUCCCAAUCUCUACGAAUUUGGUACAUCACCAAUGCUGAGUCCCCAUACACCUCUAAGAUUUCGAUGUUUCGUUCAAUAGCUGCACGAAGUCCCAUGGUACAGGCCUCAUAUUCUGCUAUGUUAUUGGUACAGAAGAAAUUCAGCGUAGUAGUGAACGGAUAAUGGUUCCCCUCUAACGAUACUAAGACUGCUCCAAUCCCAUGCCCCAAUGCGUUCAAUGCACCAUCAAAGCUCAUCUUCCAUAACUUCUCUUUUGAUGACUCGCCCUCUUUUUCUGUAAUGCACAUCAAGUCUUCAUCCGGGAAAUCAAAUCUCAAUGGCUCAUAUUCAUCCGUUGUUCGAGUUGCUAAGAAGUCAGCUAUUGCGCUUCAUUUUAUUGACUUUUGACUCACAUAGACGAUGUCGUACUGCGAUAGUAAGAUUUGCCAUCGUGCCAUUCUUCCUGAGAGUGCAGGUGAUUCCAUAAUUUACUUUAUUGGGUCCAGCUUUGAAAUUAACCAUGUCGUAUAAUACAACAUAUAUUGCCUGAGCCUCCGAACUACCCAAACCAAAGCGCAACAGAACUUUUCAAUGGAAGAGUACUUUGCCUCAUAUUCUAUGAACUUUUUGCUGAGAUAGUAAAUCGCCUUUUCUCUUUUCCCUGACUCAUCAUGUUGCCCCAGUACGCAACCCAUUGAAUUUUCGAACACAGUUAGGUACAAUAUUAACGGUCUUCCUAGAGUUGGCAGCACCAGCACCAGAGGACUAGACAAAUACUAUUUUAUCUUGUCAAAAGCCACUUGGCAUUCUUCGUUCCAUUCUCCCGGAUUAUGUUUUCGAAGGAGUCAAAAAAUUGGGUCACACUGAUUGAUAAGUUGAGCAAUGAAUCGAGCGAUGUAGUUUAACCUCCCUAAAAAUCCUCUUACUUUUUUUGCGUACACGGAGGUGGUAGUUAUUGUAUGGCCUUUAUCUUAUAUGGAUCAACUUCAAUGCCUCUCUCGCUGACGAUGAAGCCUAGCAAUUUUCCCGAGGUAGCCCCAAACGUACACUUGGCUGGAUUAAGCUUUAGCUGGAACUUUCUCUGUAUUUCGAACAACUUCUUGAGGUUCCCAACAUACUCUCUUUCCCCCUUGGAUUUGGCAAUCAUAUCAUCGACGUAGACUUCUAUUUCUUUGUGCAUCAUGUCAUGAAACAACAUCACUAUGGCCCUCUAAUAUGUUUCCCCAGCGUUCUUUAAUUCGAACGGCAUCACCUUAUAACAGAAUGUUUCCCACAUCGUUACGAAAGUAGUUUUCUCCAUAUCCUCAGGAGACAUCUUUAUCUAAUUAUAACCCAAGAAUCCAUCAAUGAACGAAAAAAAUGAAUGUUUGGCUGUGUUAUCCACUAAUAUAUCGAUGUGUGGCAAAGGAAAAUUAUCUUUAGGACUUGCUCGAUUCAAAUCGCGAUAAUCCACACACAUUCGUACAUUGCCGUCUUUCUUCGGUACUAGGACUAUGUUAGCUACCCAUUGUGGAUACUUGGAGACUUGUAGGAAGGCAGCAUCAAAUUGUUUAUUGACUUCUUCUUUUAUCUUUAACAGCAUUUCAGGUCUCAUUCAUCUUAGCUUCUGUUGAAUGGGUUUGAAUUCUGGUUUCAGUGGGAGUCUAUGGACUACUACGUCCUCAGCCAAUCCUGGCAUGUCCUGAUACGACCAUGCAAAUACAUCUUUGUAUUCAUGAAGCAAAGCGAUCAAAUCAUGUUUAGUGUUAUCUGAAAUAGAGGUCCUAAUCUUCACUUCUUGCCUCUUUUCUUCAUUUCCCAAGUUUACUAUCUCAACAGAUUCUUGAUGAGGUAGAAUCUGUUUAUCUUAUUGUUCUACUAUUUUUAGUAAGUCAGGAGAUGAGACAUAGUCUUCAACAUUUUCCUCAGCUUCAAACUCUCCUAAGCAAAUAGCCUUUUCGAAAUCGAUUUCAAGAUUUGUCACGGGUUUAUUCAUAUCAUUGAUAUCUGAGCACCUGAAAGUUGAAUGGAAAAGAAAACUAUAGAGGAGCAUCAAAGUAUUGGGACCAACAAGCAUGGCAUGAUGUGAGAUAUAUGCAAUGACAGGCUGUGAGAAGAGGGAAAAAAUUAUGAAUUUAAUGAGAAUGAAAAAACCAUGACAAAAUGCAUCUCCAUUAAUGUUCAUUUAAAUGAUAAAGAGUAAAUCAUAAGCUCUUACAAAAGAAUCCUUACUAUUACUUAGGGGCACACAAAAAGAAGAAUGUUAACAUUGAGCAUUACUCUGGAGAAGACUUAGAAACUACAAGGAGAUCCACAGCAGUCCAAUUGUUCAAAACAAAUCCAGGAGGACAAGGACGUAUCAUUGAAACAUCUUUAAUUGCGUCAUUUCCUUUGUCAAUGACAUUUAUACUGACAUUCUGAAGACCCCUUUCAAUUAAUAACAGCGUGCUUCGUGGAUUAUCUUGCCCGGCGUAUAUCAUUCCUGCAGAUGUAAAUGUUUUUGACAAAGGAGGGUAUGUUAUGGGCUCCCAUUCUAAUUCUCUGCCUAAGACUCUUGCAAUCCACCUUUCUCGAUCUUUCUGCAAUUGUUUCCUUCUCUGUCGUAUGUUUGGCUGGAACCCCAAACCGUAUCUGGCCUUGUGGUGCACUGGCUUUAGAGCCCUGACUAUUCCUUGCAGAUACCUUCCCAAACCCUUCCUUGUUCGAGCUCAUUUUCCCACAGUCAUUUUAACGCCCAGUCUGGUAUUCCUUGACAGUUUUGGCACCGAAAUUCUAUUUCCCUCAGCGACAAAAGUGGCAUUGACAAAUUCAAAGGAUCGAAAGGAACAUUCUAUUGCAUCUUUGCCCACUUUCAGGUACGGUGCAUCGGCAGAGAUAGAUGCGACAAUGUCUUCUUCUCCCUCGACAGUGAACAAACAACCAUUCAUGAUAAACUUUACUUUUUGAUGGAGAGAGGACGAAACUACUCUAGCAGAAUGGAUCCAGGGCCUUCUUAAAAGGCAGUUAUACGAGGGUGUGAUGUCCAUGACCUGGAACUCGGCAUUAUAAAUGUAGGGACCCACUUCUAGAGGGAUCUCAAUCUUUCCCAUUACUUUACGCCUUGUCCCAUCGAAUGCCCUUACUGUGGAAUGACAAGGCCUUAAAUAGGACAGAUCCAUCGGAAUUCUGGAAAGCGUGGCCAAAGGCAUGACGUUGAGUACCGACCCAUUAUCGAUGAGCACGUUCGGUAUUAUGUAGCCUUUGCAGCAAGUCGUAAUAUGUAGUGCUUUCACUGAGCCUCUACUGUUUCACGGUAUCUCAUCAUCACUAAAAGAGAUGAAAUUGUGAGUGUUCAUAUUAUUCACCCACCUAUCAAGCUUCUCAAUAGAUAUGUUGUUUGCUACGUAAGCUUGAUUUAACACCUUCAGCAAAGCGUUCCAUUGUGGCUCUGAAUUUAACAGUAGAGAUAAAACCGAGAUUCGUGCUGGUUGCUUAUUCAAUUGUUCCACCACAUUGUAUUCACUGUGCUUGAUAAAUUUCAAGAACUCUUGUGCUUCUUCCUCAUCCACAAGCUUUUUAGUUUCUUGUAUGGGUGGAGUUUCCUGCUCGACUUUGGCCUCAUACAUCACUACCUUUCCUUUUUGCUUCCAAUCACUGUUCUUCUUUAUCGGCUCAAUCUCUUUAGAAUAACACCGCCCACUGCGGGUAAAAUGGCCUACCUCUCCAACAUCUCCAAUUGUGGCUUUGAUUUUUUCACCUUCAGGUGUGACGAUGUUGAUGUCGUAUUUCUAUGGUACCGCCUUGUCGUCCUUGUAAGGGAAAGGAGAUGGUACUUCAAUGAUCAGCUUUGGUUUCACCGAUUCCUUCCUUGCAUCGUAAUAAAUUAUGAAUGGUCGAUCGGCGCUAUACGGGAGACCUAACAAUUGAUUGUCAGAGGCGCAUACUUCUCCUUCAUCGGCCUUUUCCCUUUUAUUAAAGAUCCUAAUCUCCUUAUUAUCCAUCAUGUCUUGUAAUAAUUUUCUAAAUUCUUCACAGGAUUGAAUGGUAUGCCCUUCAAGAUCAGGGAAAUUACAAAAACCUUGACCUCCUUCUCCGAUAAUUUUGUCGGUGCGACAGAGUAAUCCCUUGUAGCACCCCAAACCCGGCCCAGAAGUUAUGGCCGAAUCCGGCAUGCCACAUCAAAAACGUAAAAAAAAAUUCCAUUCUAAGUCCAGAAAAUCGUACUUGAUGUUCAAAAGAUUAAUUCAUUAAGGAUUAAAGUGAAUGGAAGCUGUGCACCAGGUAGGAAACCAGAAAAGAGGUGGUGAGUCUAUCGGACUACUUAAGUACCAAGCUCCCUUCGGAUCCAAUCCUAGACAUGCAUACCGCCAUUGCCACACCUUAACGUCAUGGAUAUUUCUAGGAAACCGAUUUGAUUAAGUCAUUUUUAGGAAAAGUGAUUAAUUUUGGAAAAUACUUUUAUUGCGGAAGCUUUGCUUGUUGUCGUGUUAUUUUGAAAUCAAUUGUUGUUUUUGAAAACGUGCCCUAAAGCUAUCCAAUUUCAACAGUUAAAAUAAGUAAUACCUAUCUUAGUAAUACAUAUUAAAACCCAAAACUUCAAACGUAAAUAAAAGGAUGUCCAGUUCACUAGAAGAAAAUCAAACUUUCAGAACGGGUGGCCACUUCGAAUUCCCUCACAGCUCCAAGCCCACUAUGGUUGGGGAUUUCCUGCGUGGAUGAAAAUAAAAUGGGUAAGUUUGGGGAAACUCAGUGUGUAAGGAAAACCCAUUCAAAGCCCAAGUCAGCUCAAGCCUAUUGGGCCAAAGCCCAUUCAGGUAACAAUGGUACUGGGCUAGAGCCCUUUUCAGAUUACAAUAAACUGGGCCUUAGCCCCUUAUUCAGAUAACAGUAUGGCCCAUAGGCCCAUUUCAAAAUACAUGCAACAUCAGUAAACAUAUGCAAGCCCAUUUGGGGAGACUACUCAACCCACCAACCACUACACUCCACCCGUACCAGCCAUACACUCCAUGUGGAGAAUAACUCAACCCACCUAGCCCAACACUCCACAGUUGCAGCCUUGCUGCUCAGUUAACAGUAAAUUGAGGCAAAGCCUCCAGUACGUGGACAAGCCACUUUCAGUACUUCCUCCGUCAAUAUCCCAAUCCCAUACAUCAGAUAAUAACAACAUAGCAUGCAGUAAAUAACAACAGUCAAACAUGCAUUUAAGUCAAUUUAACCCUAGGGGUAUUUUGGUAAUUUAUCUCCUAGGGGUAAAACUGUAAAUUUUCCACUUUUAAAGGUAUUUCAGUAAUUUAUCUAUUUUAGGGUUUUUCAUGCAUCUUCAUACCUUUCACGUACUACAGAAUCACGUACCGAGGGUUCUUACCGAAUUGGGCCCGUUGGCCCAUCAUUCCAAUUUUGGCCCAUUAAGCCCAAAAAUAUCGAUGGCACAGAAAUCAUGCACUUUGCAGUCCAAAUUUUGCAGCUUACCAAAAACAUUAAUCGAUUUACCUCAAGAGCAUCCGUACACUCGCAAAUCUAUAAAAUACCGGUUUUCGGCAUUUCGGCUUUUCGACUUUUGCCGAUCCAGACUAAGAAAGAGGGUGUUAGUUACACACCUGUUUGCGACGAUAUGCUGACGAGAUCCACACACGAACUGCCUACAAUUGGAUUACUAACAUGUUAAUCUAACUAUUAAAAUACAAACUACGUAUUAACCCCUUACAAUAUUUGGCCAACCACACCUACAAAUCAUAGUAAGCUUAUAAGAAAUCAAUAAGCAACUCAUUAACAAAUUUUUGUCAAUGUUUACCACAUAAUCAUAAUUUCACUGCAAGCUGUCUUCCUAAACAACAGUCAGUAAAUCAUUUAUAACUGGAGCUACGAAACUCCAAAUCAAGUGCCGUUAAUUUUCCCUGAAAAUAGACUCAUAUAUCUUCUAUCCAUAAAAUUUUUAGAAUUUUUGGUAUGGCCAAUAAAUACCAGAUUUUUCUUAAAGUUUCCCAUGUUUCACUGUUUGACUAAUCUGACCACUCUUCAUUACGAAUCAAAUUUCUCAUUUUACAGAAUUCAAAAUAUGUUCUAGUUUAUUCCAUUUGAAACUAGACUCAUUAAUAUUUAAUUACAUAAUUUAUGCAGCUUCUAACUCAUCUCCCACAAUUUAUGGUGAUUUUCCAAAGUCACAUUACUGCUGCUGUCCCAAGCAGAUUUAUUACCAAAUCACUCUUUCACACAUAACUUGCAUGCUUGUUAUUUAAACAUGUAUAUCACCAAUCAAUCAUUACAUAUCUAUGAUUUUACUUAAGUAUAAUCUCCAUUUCAUCAUUUUAAAGCACAACAUGUUAGCUAAUUUUUCCCUUUAACAUCUAAGGCACAUGCAUGCUCAUUUGUUUGGCUCAACUUCACCUAUCUUCCAUUUUUCAUCAAAAGAACAUGAAACAACAACCAUUUCCUUCAUUUUAAUUCAUGACUAAAUGCUCACAACACAACUAAAAAUCAAAAUAUACUUCAAGAGUUAAGGUAGAAUCAAGAAGAACUCAUGAACCUCAAAAUAGAAGCAAGGUACCAAGAACUUACCUUCAAUUUUCCUCCUCCUAAUGACCGAAUACUCAAGAGCUUUCUCCUCUCCUUUCUCUUCUCUAACUUUCAACUAUGAUGAACAAAGAUGGACAAAACUUUGUUUUUUUCACCCCUUUUUCUUUUAAUAAAACUUCAUAUUUCAUCCAUUUAAUUCUUUAAUACAAAAGACAUGAAAUUCUUAUCAUGAAACAUUUACCUAACCCAUUAUCAUGAAACAUUUACCUAACCUUUUAUCAAUUUGUAUCAAUUUGUAUCAUAAAUUAUGGAUAUCAAGUGUACAUUUUGUCUACAACAACAUGAUGGCUGGCCACUUCAUGUAAAAUGGGAGGUUUGUCAUGCAAAUCCUCCUAUUUUGCACUCCUAUUUAUUUGGCCACUUCAAUUUAAUCUAUAGCAUUUUCAAGCAUUUUCACAUAGGUCCUAUUUCAUAAUUUCACCCCAUUUUUCUUAUGGAACAAAAAUUAACUAAAAUUGUCGGGUUCUAUCUUAAGUUUGGGCUUUCUAGAGGCCACUAACAUAAUUAAACCUAUGCCAACAUUCACAGGAUUCCCGAAAAUGGGGCGUUACAUCCCUUCUCAACCAAUACCUCCCAGAUUUUCUGCAGAGGCGUUCAUACUUCAGAAACACAGCUUUUUUUUUCCACUUACCCUCCUCCGUUACCGCGUCCACAUUCUCUUCAUUAUGGUCAGGGAACGGGUUCCCAGUUGCAUUACUAGCACUAUCGAAUCGCAGGAUGCCCGCAUCAAUAAGUACUUGAACUCUCCUCUUAAAGGCAAGGCAAUUCUCCGUAGAAUGCCCCUGGUUUCCAGCAUGAUAUACACAACUAGCGUUAGGAUCGUACCAUUUAGGGUACGGGGGUUUCAGGGCUGCCAUAUAAUGAGGAGAUAUCAAUUGUUUCUCCAAAAGUUUUUGGUACAAUUCCCCAUACGACAUAGGGAUAGAAGUAAAUUGCGGUCUCUUGGGAUUGGGCCUUGCUGGUCUUAGUUCGUUUCUAGGUUGGCUUUGAACGGGUACAGUGCUUUGUGGAAAUGUGGCGACGGGUCUUUGGUUGUUUGUUGCGUAUACGGGGUGGGAAGGAGGUGGUGCUUGGUAGUAAGGGUUUUGGGGAGGAAAAUAGACGUUUGGGGAUGAGUGAUAUCGCGGUCGUGGUUGGUUUGAGAAUGGGUUUGGAGUAUAGCGGCUUCUAGCUCCCACCAUAUGGGUUUCUGGCUCUCUUUUCUUUAUGAGUGCUGCCCUUCUUGAACUGUCAGAACCUUCUAUCCUUCCACUCUUGAUGGCAUUCUCAAUAAGUUCCCCGGAUAUCACAAUAUCCACAAAGUCCUUUGUGGCACUUCCUACCAACUUGUCAUAGAAUAGCGCUUUCAACGUGUUGAUGAAAAGGAUCGUUAUCUCAGUCUUAGUCAGUGAAGGCUCCACUUGGGCCGAGAUAUCUCUCUACCUUUGAGCGUUUUGCCUGAAGGUCUCCGUUGGUUUCUUCUCCAUCAUUUGUAGAGUCAUUCGGUCAGGCACCAUAUCGGAUACGUGUUUGUACUAUUCAUAGAAUGCUGACGCUAAAUCCUUUCAUGAUCAGAUCAUUUCUCUAUUAAGCUGAUUAUACCAUCGAAGAGCUUAUCCGACUAAGCUAUCCUAAAAACAGUGUAUGAGCAGCUUAUCUUCAUUCACAUAACCGGUCAUCUUCCGGCAAAACAUGAUGAGAUGUGCUUUUGGGCAUCUUGUCCCAUCGUACUUUUCAAAAUCCGGUACCUUAAAUUUUGGAGGCAAAACUAAAUUUGGUACCAAACUGAGCUUUUUAGCGCUCAGUACAGAGAAGACUUCAGUGCUUUCUAUCGCCUUGAGCCUUUUCUCUAGACUCCUAUAUUUCUUAUUUGCAUCGUGAUCAUCCAAUUUCAACCUGGCUAUCUCUGCUGGAUCGUCCAAAUCUGGAACGGGUGGAUCAGCAGGACUAGCCCCCGGGUUUGAUACGAACAUUCCUUGCCCCAGAUUAGCAGGUGGCGUAGGUUGUUGCUCCAGGCCUGUAGGUUCCCAUUGAGCGUACCCUCUUUGUGUUGCGUGGGCGUGCGGUGGAGUAAAUCCCAGAGGAUGGGGCAGAUCCUGAUUGAGGUUAACCCUUGACUGUGGUUCCACAACGUCAGGGUUCAUAGGUCCCUUUCCUUUUACCAGAGCCGACAUCAUUUCCAUCAUCCUGGCCAUUUGGUCCCUUUGUUCGAGCGAUUCUUCUCGAGAUCUCACCAUCAGAUCUCUGGUUUCUUGUUGUGACUUUGCCAACUGUUCCUGUAAUUCCUUUUGUAUUCUUUCCAUCCUCUCAAUCCUUUCUUUAAAUUCAACCUCCAUCACUCUAACUUGUCGACGCGUCCUAUAUGAGUGACGUGAUUCCAGGCUUGUUGUGUCGCAGCUACGGAUUAUACGGUUUUAGCCUCAGUGAAUGAUUAGGGUGAUAUGUACAUGCAAUGAAUGAAUGAAUGAAUGAAUAAAUGUCAAGUGAAUGUUAGUCAUGAAUGCAUAUGCAAGAAUUUUGUGUUGAUUUCAAGAUAGCCCCUAUUUAGGCAUUUCAUUUAUCAAAAGAGUCUUUUACAAAACAUUUUGUCGUCAUCAUACAAACUUUCUGGCUAUAUCGCUAUAUUUCUUCAGUCGUUCUAAGAAUUCCAAUAUGUUUGAUCUUCGGCUCGGGAGGAACUAGCAACUGAGAACUUCAGCUUCAUCUGAUAGUUGUACCACGUGCAUGGCUGCUUUACGAAUUUCAUUGAUCAAAUAGCUCAAUUUCUCGUCCUUUUCAUAGAGGAUUCUUCCGUAGGCACAAGUAUCUCUGUCAUACUGACUAUUCUUUUCUUGCAAUGCUUCUAAGAGAGUAUCUAGCUGUUGUUGACGAGCUUGCAGCGUCUCUUCUAAUUCCCGCAUUUUCUCUCUUAGCUCUUGACGUUCAGAUCGACUAGCUAUUAAUUCGGUAGACACAGUUUCGUAUUCUGCAUUCUUCUUUCUUAGCUCUAACAUAGCCCGCGCAGCUUUUCCCUCUUCUUUCUUCGCUUUCCUUUUCCAGAAUUCAAUUUAUUCUUGAACAAAAAUGAAGGCCAAAUUUGGGUCUACACGAAAAUCCAGAGAAAAAUAAGGUUCGGGAGUCAGUUACGCACGAGGAAAGUAUUAGCACCCUCGCGACGCCCAAAAUUGGUAUCUUUAUUAAACUCCUGUUGUCUUGAUUUUCAAAAGUAUGAAUUCAAUUUGACAUUUAAUCCUGAUCCAAUUGAAAAAUGAGAAUUUUUAGUUUUCGAUUUUUUAGAAGGGUGUUCCGUCUUUAACAUGAGCCGACGAAUUUCACCCAACAUAGCGAUGAAAUCGAUGGCUUAACGUUAAAUCGGUACAUUGCCUUAUUUAUUGAAAUUAAAAAAACAUGAAUAAAAAUCUUUAAAGCGGUGAAUAGCGAGAUGAUACAAAAAUGGGAGGUAACAAAACAUAAAAAAGUUAGAAAUACGUCGAAACAAAUAAUAACUACGAUAAUAAUAUUAAAACAAUAACAACGUAUGUGAUAUUAAACAUGAUGACAAUAUUAUUAAAUGCGAAAUAAGAACGAACAUAUAUAUAAACAUAUAAGAAUAAUAAGUAAGGUGACGUAAACUUAAUAUAUAAAAAAAACUAACAGUACUAUAUGUAUCUAUAUACAUUAAAGUAUAUACGUAAUAAUAGGAAUGAAAGGUAUUUACAUAAUAGUAUCAUAAUAUAUAUAUACAUAAUAAUACCAAACGAAUACAUACAAUAUACAUUAGAAAUACUAAUAACAAACAAAUAUAUAUUAAUAAUACUACACGAAUAUAUACGUAUAUAUUAAAAAUAAACAAUCAUUAAAAAUAUGUACAUAAUAUAGUUAUUAAAAAUAUAUAUAUACAUAUUAGAAAUAAUAAUAAUGUUACAAAACAAUUAUUAAUAAUAUUGCAUAAACAUAUACAUGUAUAUAUAUUAAAGGUAUAUACAUAUAUAAUAGAACAUAUACUAACAAUAACAAUAAUUGUAAUAAUAAUAAUAAUAACAACAACAAAAGGAUGUAUGUACACCAAAUAACACAUAAUAAUAUUAAAAUAAAGUAAUAAGUGAUAAUAAUGAAAAUAAUAAGUAUAAUAAUAAAUAUAAUAAUAAAUAUAACACUAUAUGAAAAUAAUACUGUAUAUAAAAGUAUAUAUAUACCCAUAUAAUAAAAUAUAUGUACUAAUAUUAAUAAUAAAUAUAAUAAUAAAAUUAUAUAUGCAUAUAAUAGUAAAAAACGAAACAUUAAAAAAUAUAGCUAAAUAUAAUAUAAUAAUAAUAAUAAAAAUAAUAAUAAUAAUAUAAAAAUAAUAGUGAUAACAAUACUAUAUAUAACAUGAUUAAUAUUUAAAGCCGAAUUAGAUAGCAAAAUAAUAUAAAAUUCAGGAUAAAUACGAAAAAUAAAGGAAAAAAGGACUAAAAUUGGAUUAAAAUCAAAGUUUUGGGGCGAAUUUAAAAUAAAAGAUAAACAAGAGGAUCCAUUUGAAUGUGCGUGCAACUGCAGAGGGUCAAAUAAGCAAUUUACCUGAACACUUAAAACGACGUCGUUGAAGGGAGGACCAAAUCACAAAGUGCGAUAAAUUUUAGGCCCAAUUUAAAAGAAAUAAUAACCUGAUUGCAAAAUAUUGAAAAAAGCGGAAGGACUGUGCGUGCAAUUAACCCCUAAGAGCCAAAACACGCGGAUCCUAAGUGGGUAGGGUCGGGUCGACCCGAUCCAGGGCAAAACAACGUCGUUUUGUGCCCUGAAUUUUAAUGCCAAAACGGCGCCGUUUUUAAUCAAUAUAAAUAGCCUAAAAAUAAAAAAAAAUUCAUUUGUAACCCAUAUCAAAAAAAAAAGGAAGAGAGGGAGAGCUGAGCGAUUUCCGGCCAUUGGGCCGGUCGCCGUCCGGUCGUCGGACCGUCGCCGGCGCCGGCCACCGCGGAAUCCCGAAAAGUAAGUUUUUUUAUAUAUAUUUUACAUGUUUUUAGUUUAUAUAUAUGUGAAAUGUAUAGAAGUAUAGAUCUGAAAAUAAAUGAAAAUAAAAGACUAAAUCACCUUAAAUUUUUUAUAUUGGUAUUUUGGUUGCUCGAUUGAUGUUACCCUUGUAUUUUGAAUCACUGCUUUUGUAUGUAUUGAAAUCUAACUUUUGUAUUGAUUUAUUUUCCUUGAAUAUUCAAAAAAAAACCAACCCUUUUACAAUGGUUUCUAUUCGGCUUUUUAUAGCCCCCUUUUGGUUACACUAUUUACUUCUAUCUUUUGCUGCUGUUGCGUGUCCUGUUUGCUGUGCAGGUGGUGGAUUAAUGGUGGAGGUGACUGUGGGGCAGGUGGCGCCAGGGGAUGGUGUUGAUCGAUGGACAGGUGGUGGCAGAGGCAAGUGGGAAGCUAGGGUUUCGGGAUUGGGCUUGGUUAUUGGGCUAGGUUAAUUUUAGGUUUUGGGCUAGUGGUAUUUGGUUAGUAUUGGGCUGAAGGUGUAAAAUGGGUCUAUUAGGUAGGUUUGGGUAGUUUUUGAUUUAGUUUGGGUUUGAGGAUGGGUUAAAUGGUUUAAUGGGCCCGGGUAAUUUGUAAACGGGCUAAAAUUGACCUACAACAAAUAACUCAUAUAUUUAUUUUUUUAAGUAUUUUUAUAUAAAAAUUUUAAGUUAUUUUCCCCUUUUAAAUAAAAAUACUUAUUUUUACAUCAUACAAAAAUAUUAUAAAUUAAAAAGACAAUUCAAUACGAUUCGAGUAACCACAUUUUUUUAAAAUUGUAUUUCAUAUACUGUUUAAACACCUCGGUUCAAGUUCAGUGCUUGUAAUUAUUGGUCCUAAUUGAAAUGAUUGAUAUGGUUAUAACUUUAAUACUGUAGGUGGAUGCUAAGUGACCAAAAGAUGUUUGUGGAGGUUAUUUUCAGAGAUUCAAGAUCCUUUUGAUCUCCAGAAAUAACCUUUUUGUGGUAGUUAUUAAUAAGAAUUGGGCUCCUCCUCUUAUUCAGAAAAUAAAGUUUAAUAUUAAUGGAUCCACACAAAGAAAAUCAAGACUGGCGAGGAUUGGUGAGAUUUAGAGUGUGCUUGGUAGGGUGGAAAAGUGGAUGGAUAGGAGGAGGGAGUGGAAAAGUGGAAAGAAAAUAAAAUUUGAAUAUGCUUGGUUGGGAAGAAAAGUGUCAGGAAAGAAAAUAGGAAAGAUGAUCAUCAUUUUUCAUCCUAAUGCAUAACAACUAGUCCUUCCAAAAUUGGAAAGAUGGGAGGAGAGAAAAUGAGAGUGAAGUGCAUAUUAGUUCAAAAUUAUGUAUUUUUCAACUGUUUUAUUUUCUUUCAUUUCAUUUUUCAACUUUACCAAGCAACUGACAAAAAGAAAACUAUUUUUUCUUUCCAUUUUUCUAUUUUUUUCCUACCAAAUACACCUAUGAAAUUAAAAAUUAUAUUUUCCAUCAUUUUAGUUUUUACCAUUUAUUUUUCCAUCUUUUUAUUUUUUUCACUCUACCAAACAAAACUUUAAUAAGAUGAUGUGAGAUACAUUUUGUUUUCUAUUAGUUGACUGUUGAGCAUGAUAGCCAUUAUGAUGUGGAUUAGAUUUGUAACACUCCAAAAACCAAGUUAGAAGAAAUUGGAUUUUGAAGUCAAGUAUGGUCAUCCUUCUAUUUUGAGUUUAGAUGUUGGAAAUUUUUUACAAGUAAAUUGGAUUGGUUUAGUGGUCAAGUGUUUUGGGCAUGUGUGUGAGGUUUUGGGUUCGAACCCUGUUCCUUGUUUUGUUAUCAAACCCUUAUUCUUGAUCGUCUAGCAUAAGUUCUAAUUUUGAUCAACUAAUGACAAAAAUGAGUCUACUGGUUUAAUAUUUAAGUGUCUGUAUAUCCUCUAAUCUUGUGUUUGAGUCUUUGUGUAUGCAAUGGGGAAAUAUUUUGCACAAUUUUCGUAAUUUAGUUGUUUUGUUUGAUUUUUUUAAAGAAAACAAGUUAAUUAACUUCCGAAUGAGAUAUUGAGAAGGUCAACUCCUCCUUUAUUUUUUCUUUCUCUGUCUUCCCUCCUCUUCGAUCAAUGUUAUUUUUCUUUCUUUCUUUCUUCUGCUCCGUUAUUCUAUCGUUGAAUCCUUUUGUAUUUGUUAUGUUAAUUCCUUUAUGCAAUUAAUCUUCAAUUGAACUAUAAGUGCCCUUUGUGAAGUUUAUUUGUUAAGGUUGAUGAUAGCCGAAGUUACGUUUAGUUCUUUUCGUUUGGAAUGGAUCUUGAAUUAUGUAAGUCUUUGUUAGACGAAGUUCUCAAUAGUGAUGUUCUUCCAACAUUUUAAGUUGUGCUGGUGAAUUGUUGAUAAGCAUUCGUCAUCGGAAGUUUAGCGUCGAGGGUUGGACAUCCUUUGCUGAGUGUUACGGUAUGCAAUGAUUCGUUGUUUUAGUUGUUUGAUUGAUUGUUGAAUGCUUAAAUUAGGUUUUGGGACUUCUCUGUGUUGAUUCUACUUCAAAACAAGAUCAAGUAUGUACCAAAACCCCUAAAUUCUACGAAUUUCGGAUGUUGAAAAAUAUGAUUGGCCAUGUAACUCAAUGUCUAUCGAAUUGGGGUCAUACGGGCAUGUGUCCAGCCGUGUGUGGUCAUAUUAGUGCAGGGUUCACACUGGUAAAGGAUAGGGGCGUGUGUCUAGGCCGUGUAACUCAUUGUUUAUGGUUUAAGACCACACGGCCAGCGACAUGGGCGUGUGCCCAGGCUGUGUGAGCCACACAACCUAGAACAUGGCCAGGAACAUGGGUGUGUGAGCCACACGGGCAAGGACAUGGGUGUGUGUCCAGGUCGUAUGGUAUAUGAAUAGGAUCCGAAUCUUAUUUUUGAGGCCGUGAAUAUUGCCCAACAUACGAGUACUGACUCCACAAUGUAUUUAUGAUCUGAAUUUGAUCGUAAGGGGACUAUCUGAUGCUCUAAGACUGAUAUAUGGAUGAUAUAUACGAUAUCUAAACGUGUUAGACUGAUGAUGUACAACUUGUGACCUGUACGUAUUUCUGUUAUGUUUGAACCUAAGUGAGUAGGAUCUGUCAGAAUGUAAUGUGCUAUUGUCUAUGUGUGCGAAUUAUCCAGGUACGAUCUGUAUUCUGUUAAGUUUGCUGGUAUGUCUCUGCGUUACUCUGUUGAUGAAAAAUAUACAAUAUUUGAACAUGUUAGUCUGAUUGUUACUAAUUCUGAUUUAUAGUCGUGCAUGUGACUUCAUGGCAAAUCUGGUAUGAUUUGUUGAGGUUUGUUAAGCCUACUUUACAAAACAUGGAUUCCCAUAUUUACUGAUUCUAUUACUGAGAGAUAUCAUGACUUACAUGCUCAUUACUUUGGUUCUGCAUAUGCAUGCCAUGACAUAUUGCAUGGGACUUGGGUUGAUGUGAAAGGAGGAAGUUUCUGGUAGUUUACUAAUCUGCAUUAUCUAGUGGCUUAUCCAUAAUUCUGUUUUGGCAGUUCGACUGUACUAUAGUGGUUUGACCAUAUGUAAAUUCAAUCUGGCAGUUUUAACUGCAAAAUACUAGUGGCACCAUCCACAGAUAUCUGUUGGUGUGAUUUUAUAAUAUCCUGAAUUAGGGCCUAAUCGAAAUAGUAGUUUCGUGACCACAAAUUCGAGAUAGAAAUAAUUAUUUUAUAAUUAUUUUAAGGUUUAUGGUAUGAUUGUAUGAUCGUGUGAAAAUUUCGUGACGAAAGUCUAUGCAUAAAGUGCUUAAGUUGAAAUUAGGGACUAAAUCGAAUAAUUUGCAAAACUUGUAUUCUAGAAGUUUUUAGUAUGAAAUUGCUUUGAAAUAUUAAUCAGGAGGUCUUAAAUAGAAAUUUUACCAUUUCUAAGUUUAUGGACAAAAAUUGGACAUGGAUGGAAUUUUUGAAAGUUUAGUAAGGAAGGACAUUUUGGUCAUUUGGAUAUUAAAUGAAAUAAAAUGGAAAAAAUAACACAAAAAUGAUCAUCUUCUCAAUUAGUUGCUGCCGAAUUUUGCUCUCCACCAUAGCUAGGGUUUCAACACUUUUAAGCCUUGAUUGUAAGUGAAUUCUAUGCUCGUUUUUAAUGUUCUUUACAUUUUUGAAAUCCCAGUAGCUCGAUUUAGCUUAUGCUAGCAAUAAUUCAACCUAGAGUUCGUAUUUGGAAAAUACCCAUAGGUGAAAUUUGUGUAUUUUGGUGUUUUAUGACAGAAUAUGAGGUUUUAAAUUAUGUUAGACAGCUUGUGCUACUCAUUUUUAAGUGAAAACGAGUAAAAGGGGUUAAUCGGUAAAAAUACCUAAUAUUCAUAAGUACAAGUUAGAGUGUGAAUUUGAUGUUGCUAUAGAAGGGAAAAUGAUUAGCAUGUCAUAAAACAUAAGAAAAUAGGAUGAGGUUUAAUUUACGAGCCUUGGGGCAAAAGUGCAAAUAUGUGAAAGUUUAGGGGCAAAAUGGUAAUUUUGCCAAAGUUCGUACUAGGGGCUGUUUUGAUGAAUAUAUGUAUUAAAUAAAAUUAAUUUGGUAUUAUAGAUCAAGAGAAACAAGAUUCAAGUCAUGAUCGAGGGAAAAAUAAAGUUUACGAGGAAUAAGCUCGAUUGCUAAUAUUUUGUAUUGAGGUAAGUUCAUGUGUAAAUAAGGUAACAUAAUUUUUAUUUUAAGUGAUUUAAUGAUAUUUGUAUGAUAUGAUAUUUAUUAUCAUGAAAUAUUAUGUUUUGUGAAUAAUUAUUUGGUGAUAUGCAAAUUAUGUGAACAACUUGAUAAGUAUGAGAUGUUAGCAAGUAUCAAUUCCUACAUUCCGAAAAAGGCGAUCAAAAUGUAUAAUUGAGAAGAAUCCCGUUUGAACCUUUGGAAUAGAUUAGGGUACAAGUGACAUGUCACUAGGAUGGUUGAGUUCCGAACUCAUUGAGUUGAGUCCGAGUUCGUGAGAUGUAACUAGGCAUCCGAGCUCGUUGAGCUGAGUCCGAGUUCACUUAUGGAUGUGAACGCCCGAGCUCGUUGAGUUGAGUCCGAGUUCGUUUAUGGGCGGAUUACAUGGUAGCUUGGCUACAUAGAUUUCAAAAGCUAAUGAGCUUGUUUAGCUAUGAGUAUGGCACUUACGUGCAUACUAUCCGCGUAUCCGAAAUUAUAUUCCGAUGUGUUCAACGAGAGAAUCUUAAGAGAAUAUGGAGAAUACUUAAAACAAAAAUGGUUCGAUGAUGAAUGUGUUGAAGAAGUGAAAAUGGACAGGUAUGAGUUUAAUUCUUGGUUGAGAACUUGGUGAGACAAAUUUGUGGUAAGAUAGUAAGUAUUCUUCUGUUAUGUGUGUCUUAAUGAUGUUUAUGUUGGAUUUCAUGAUCAUGUUACUUAUUAUUUGCAUGUGAACUUACUAAGAAUUUAUGCUUACUCCCUCCUUUUCAUUCAUUGUAGUUUUGACAAGCCAGCUUGAGAAUCGGGAUAGGUCGAAGGCUCGUUCACACUAUCCGAAGACCUAAAUUGGUAAAAUGGCUUGUAUAUUUUGGGUGUGGCAUGUAUAGCAAUAUACUCACUUUGUAUAAAUGAUCUUAUAAUAAGGUUAUGGUUUGGUAAGAAUAGAGUUAUAAAUGGUCAGCCGUUGGAAUGGCUAAUCAAAAAUCAUAUUUGGUGUUAUGUAUGCUUCUUGUGCUAUUUAAUCCAUGGAAAUUCAUAAUAAGGUGAAAUUUGUCACAAAACAGAAAUCAAACAGCAGCAGUGACUUGAAUUUGAAAAAUCACUAAAAAUAGUAUAAAUGGAAUUAAAUGAUGAAUAAGUUAUGAAAUCGAAGCUUGAUGAGUCUAUUUUCAUAUGGAUGGAACAAAACAGGUAAAUAAGUUAUAUUUUAUAAGAUAUUUAAGUUUUGGUGGAACAGGGUCAGAGUGGUCUCUGAAUCCCAUGUUCUGAAUUUAAAAAUUUACCAUAAAUUGUAAAAAAAUAAUUAAGAGUUUUAUAUUACAUGUAUGAAAUCCUUAUUGAGUCUAGUUUUAUGAGAAACAAACGGCAUAAUCAUUGAAACUCUGUACAGGGAGAUAUCUGAUUCGUAAUAUAUAGGGGUCAGAGUAGUCAAACCCUGAAAUAGGGGAGAAUUUAACUAAUAAACUGUACUAAUUUUCCUGACCAACAAUUCUAGAAAAAAAUUAGUAGAUAGAUAUAUGAGUCUAGUUUCAGGAAAAAUUUACGGAAUUGGAUUUCGAGUUUCGUAACUCGAGAUAUGAAUUUUUAAGCGACUGAGACACAAUUAGCCAGCAUGUCUGGAAAUUUUGAAAUAAAUUGUUUGAGUUGUUUAACUAGUGAAUCAAGUUCGUUAACGCCUCGUGCGCGACUCCGGCGAUGGUCUCAGGCGUGAUGGCAUUACAGAUUUGGUUGGAUAAGUUCUUGGGGAACUCUAUUUUGGUGUGUAGCAAAGUUUGGGUAGGAUGUUUUUUGAUAAAUCUGCAUUCUGAUCUAUUUGAAAAAUACAGCAUCUGCAUAACAUACAUCCUUUGUUCAGCUCUGUUCUACUCUGCUAUGUUCUGCUCGAUUCGUUAUGUUAUGUUUUGCUCUAUUUUGUUCGAUUCUUAGUACCACUAUUGUGGGAACCUUUUUUAUUUUUAUAUAUCAAGAAUUGUUUAUUUGUAUCUGGCUUUGGUUACGCGAUGCUUGGUAGCUCACCCUUCUUUUUACCUUAUUCUGUUCAGGUGGACAUAUGACUUAAGAAUGGACGGCGUUCGGGAGCUCGAAUCGGCUUGCACUGUAAUAAUUGUGAUUUAAUCUUUUGGGUUUGUAAAUGGUCUUAGACUUUGCCUUACUUUCCUUUUGAUAAUCUCGUCCAUAUCGAUCAAUUUCUAACACGAAACUAUAUAACCACCUAAACUAACAAAAAUAAAUAUAUGAUUUUCAAAGUUAAAAUUUCGAAAAGAAAUUGGUUUUCAGUGCAUUGAUGUAACUCGUCCAAGUUCGACUUAAACUUUCAGGCCGAGUUUAGGGUGUUACAGGAUUCAUAAUCCUUUCGAGGCUUCGAAGAGACUAACGUAUGUAAUGAGUGGCAUUAAUUUCAUUGGUGGUUCUAAAGACAAUGAAUGGUCAUUAGUGAAAAUUCCUAGAGCUAUUAACAUUGAAUCAGAUGAAGUAGCUAAAUUAGGUGGUUUUCGUGGAUGGCAUGUUAUGUCAUUUUGCUUAAGGUCUUCAUUCCCUGUAUUAACUCAUGUACUUGCAUUUUAAUUACUUAAAAAAACCUAAGCAACUAUGAAAGAGUUUCAAUGCAGGGGAUGUUUCUUUAUUGCCAUUAAAUUAUUUGAUGGCUUUUGAUGGAUUGAUAUAUGAUACUAAUGAAGACUACUGUCAUGAAUCUGACUACAAAAUAGAGGCGACAUCUAAUUCUGAUUUUUUCAAGACUAAAGUUAUGUUUCAUUUUUUGACACACAGAAUAGUCAUACAAUGCUACACUGAAACUCCAUCUCCACUAUCAGCCUCAUUGAUCUCCAAAACUUAUAAUAGUGCUCAUCAUCUCCUUCAUCUUUCAUCAAUAAAAUCCUAACUUUUUUUUUGUGGUUGUUAUUUUUCAUUUUUCCAUGAGAAAAAACAAUAAUUUAGUGACUUGAAAGCUGACAUGGAAAAAAAUUUAACAUAUAUUGAUUUUAUUGAUCAAGAUUAUAAGUGAGGUGGUUGAAGGGUUUAUAAAUAAUCUCUUGCAAAAAUAAACAUCUGAUAAAUUUUGAAAUAUUUUUUUUCAAUUUAUGUAACUCUAUAUUCAAUUAAAAAAAGACUCAAGGUUCUUUUGGAUAGGCGUUUAUUUCUAUUGUGGUACGUUUAACUUUUUUUUGUCUCACGCUACAAUAUCGCUACAGUACUUAAUCUCACCGCCACCUGGUUUACCCUAACCACAAGUAAAUGCAUUGCCCUUCAAAAUUAUUCUUUUUAAAACAUAAAAAAUAUUAUCAUAAGAAACUUUUUUUAUUUUUUAUAUAAAAUCUAAAAAAACCAUUUACACUCAUAAUAAAACUAAAAAAAUUGUCCACAAAUAAUGAGACUUUAUAAUACUAAAAUCAUCAAGACUUCAAUUUUACUAUUUUAAUUAGAAACUUAUUUCUUUACAUCUUUUUAUAAAUAUAAUUCUAAUAUAUAUUUACUAAUAUAGUGUAGAUGCCAUAAUUUAGCAUGUACCUAACUAAAAUACUAGAAAAGGCCAUUUUAUAAAAGAAUUACGAAAUGGAUCAAUUUUGUUGAAAUUUAUGGAAAUGGGCCAAAUUUACAAAAAAUGCACUACAGGAAAACAGACUUUUAGCGGCGUUUUUUUUUGCCUUUAGCUGCGUUUUUAAGCGCCGCUUGCGGCGCUUGCAAAAAACGUCACUAUAUGUAACGCCGCUAAAAUUAGCAGCGUUUGUUUGAAAAAAACGCCGCUAAUUUGCCCAGUUUUGCAAUAUAUAUUUUUGCACCUAUAUCCAACCCUCCUGCAAGAAAUUUAACCAAAAACAGCAAAUAUACCAUGAAAUCCAACCAAAACCCACAAAUUUAAAUAAUACAAAAUUAUACGAAAAAUAUAUUAUAUAAAUUGUAAAUGAAUAUUCAAAAUAUUCUUACAAUAAUGUUAAAAGUUACAAGAAAACAAAUGUCUAAGAUGGCGGAUUUUGAAAUUGCUGGAACAUAGUCAUCAUAGAUUGAAGCUGUAGCUGGAGUUCAUUGUAUUUUCUGUUCUGCUCCGCCUCCCUCGCUGUUGCCUCUGCCUCCCGCUCUGCUGCCUCCGCUCUAAGUUGAGAAAUUUGCUCAUCUGUGCUAGCUUGUAUCUGAACUAUCUGAUUUUUUAACCUCUGAACUUUAACUUGACUUUGACUCCCGGAAGGCAUGUAUUGGUGCGAUAUGGAUCCAAAAUAUUGGGUCGGGUUAACACCAGAUCCUUGAAAUCUAACCCGACCAUACCUUUCAGGACCCAAAACUUCAUUAGUAAUUCUGUUAUCAAUAUCCUCAAAAUUAACAGAACUAUUAGUCGAAGUAGUCGCUUCAUACUCUGCCUUCUUAUCUUUUAGUUUCUCCUAAUAAAUCAGUCAAAGAGUUAGAAACGAAAUAUACAAUAAAAGGAAUACAACAUAACAUUAUUUAAAUUAAAACAUUAUAAUUAAAUAUUAUAAAUAUUUAUAAUGAAUCAAAUUUUAUUAAGUAAAUAUACCAUAAUUUCUGCAGCCUCAGAUGUUAUCGGAGUUCCAUCUUUUUUCCUGUGGGUAAUGUCAAAAAGCUGAACGCGUCCAACUUUUUGACCAGAGAGGCUUCCUACAAUAUAGUAGUAAAAAUAUUAUUUAAUAGUAAAAAGUCAUUAAUACUUGAUAGAAUUAAUAAAUCCAUAGUACCGCGGCCUGAGCUACACAAGCAAAACUUCUCGACCCUGCCAUGUGCGUAAAUUUUUGUUUUUGCUUGCUGCUUGUUCCAACUCGCUCACGGUCCUACAUAAUGAAAUUAUUAUUACGUAUAUAGUAAAUACUAUAAACCGAAAAAUUUAUAAGAGUUUGCAAGUACAUAAUACCUCUCCUUUCUUCGAAUUCCAAAAUCGAACCGCAUCUUCCCAUUGGUACCUCAGCAUUCCCGGUGGGACAUUUUGCAAUUUUUCUUCGAGGCUUAUGGGUUUUUUAAAAUAUUCUUUUUUCAAAAUGCUUUUAUGGUCUCUCCAUGUUUUACCCAAUGCCUUCUUGAUAUAGGCAUCAGAGACCUCUAAAGCAAACCUCUCCUAAAAAACACAAGUUUAGGAAGUAAAUAUAAAUGAAACUUAAACCAAAGUAUUAUAAAUUACAUUAACAUUUUGUUAUCUUAAUAUUAGAGAGAGCUUGAUUUUUAUUGCUAUCAGGCAUGUUAUGCCAUGAUUCGUAGUUGAUGGGCAACAUAUUGGCAUUUCGUGUUAUAAUGCCCAAAUAGCCUGCUAAAAGUCGAGCUUCUUGUCCAACAGGCUGACCAUGGCUGUUUCUAGUUACUUUGACACGCUCGACAGAAUUUAAGUUAUAUAAAUCUGUUAGGAGCGUAUGUCCUCGACCUCUGCGCGUCCCACCAUUUUCAGCUAAAAAAUAAUAUAUUAUUACCAUAUUGAAAUUUAAAAAUAAAUCAGUAAUAAAAUUUAAUACAAUUUGUAAAAUAAACUUAACAUUACUUUGAAAUUCCACAAACUCGUCAAGUGUCUCCGGCACACUUGAAGAUCCAACAAUUGUCUGCUGUUCAGUACUUACUUCUUCCGAAUUUGUAGUAUUCUGUACAAUACUAAGAUCUCUUAAUCUUCUUCUAGGCAUUUUUCCUGCAACACAUAAAAUAGUUAAAAUUUUAGUAAGAAAUAACAACAAUAGUAAAUAUAAAAUAGUUAAAUUAUAUAACAUGACUAGUAAAACAGUAAAGCACGUCUAGCUCAACGCUUUUCCCCUGACUAGUAAAACAUGUUCAGCUCAACGCUUUUUUCCCCUUGAUUAGAAAAAAGCUUCCAGGUUAAUGCGUUUCCCCUGUGUUUUUUUAGGGUUUUAAUUGUUUAAUUAGGGUUUAUUAAAUCAAGGUUUAUGGUUUAUUAAAUUACGGUUAUAGUGUUUUAUUUAAUUUUUAAGUGUUUACUAAUUAGCGUUUUAGAGUUUUAAGAAAAAUGAUUUUAUUAUUAGGGUUUUAGGUGUGUUAAUUAGGGUUUUUGGUUUGUUUUAGGGUUUUGGAUUUUAUUGUUAGGGUUUUUAGUGUUUAGGGGUUCUAAAAAAUAAUUUUGACGAGAUGGGUUCUGAGAAAAUAUCCCGAGAAUUUUGGGAUAUCUUAAACGUUUCUGAAUAACGCUCCAAGCAGGAUGCGCUGUUAGCAAAAGUACUAAAAGUGCUUCCAACUGAACGCUCUUUUUAGUAUUGUUGCUGAUAGUGCAUCCUACUUGGAGCCUUUUUUCUCUACAAAUUUCAACCCCCACUAUCUGAGGCAUUUUUAUAGAAACAAGUGGGAUGUUAUCCCUUAGGAUAUAAAUGACUCAUAUUUCAGCCUCUAGUGGCAUAAGUUGGAGCAAUAGAAUUUGAAGAAGUUAAGAAGAUUAAAAGUUUGUAGAGAAGGUAUAAGUUGGAGCAAUGAUACUGUAACACCCCUAACCUCUAUCCGUCACCGGAAUAAGGUUACCAAGCAUUACCAUAAAAACGUAACAUAUAAACAUACAUUUCACACACUAAUAUAAACAUAGUGUAAAUCAUUCAUUUACAUGCAUAUCAUCCCUUAAUCGAGCCCUCGAGGCCCUAGAAAUAUGAUAGAAACAAUUUGGGACUAAAUUUUAAACAUUGGGAAAUUUUAAGAAAAAUUUAGAAGAUUUGGACUGCAAAGGUCACACGGUUGAGACACAUAUCCGUGUCUUAGGCCGUGUAACAAUCGAAAUAGAGACACACGGUCGUGUCCCAAUCUGUGUUUGUGCCUGUGUAACUCUCUGAGUUGGGUCACACGACCAAGCCAUACGCUUGGGUGCCAGGUCGUGUAACUCUCGAAAUAGCUCCACAUGCCUGUGUCUCAGGCCAUGUGCUAGGUCAUGUAACAGCUUGACUUUCAUGCCUUAAACCUACAGAUGACACAAGGCCGUAUCGCCUGGCUAUGUGUUACACACAGCUGAGUCACACGCCUGUGUCUAAGGCCUUAUGGACAUGAAAUUGGCCAAAGUCAAGCCAUUUCCAUCACCAAAUCAAGCAUUUACCUAAAAGCAUUUUGUGCACAUAACCAAAGCAUCAAACCUUACCAAAACAUGCAUGAAAUGAUCAAUUCAAAAGACCAAAUCCAUUCAACCAAUAUGCCAUACAAGGCACCUCAAAUACAAUCAUAAACAUACCUAAACAUAUACACCUAUCACAUUUCAAUCAUACUCAUAUAAUUCAAUACCACUUCCAAAACAUACCAUAGUUAUGAUAAUUAAAACUUCCAUAUAAAAUAUACCAUUUGGUCACUCAAACAUGCAUCAUAUCUUAGCCAUAUUAACACAUACUAAUAAGGCACCGAAAGUACCAAAAACACAUCAACCAAAACAACAUAUACAUGCCAAACUUUUCAACUAACAUUCAACUAAACAUCAAACACAAGUCCACAUAUAAAUGCCAUUAUAACCUUCACCAAAACAUCAAAAACUACAGAUAUAAUCGUUGGAUAGUAUGAUAGAUCUCCGACGAACUUUCAAACCGAUCAAGCUUCCUAUUAUCUAUAAAACAUAGGAAAGAAAACUACAUAAGCAUAUAAUGCUUAGUAAGUUUGUAAAACAUGAACAUAACUUACCAUUUCAAAGCAUAACAUUAAGAUUAAACAUGAUAUAAUCCAACCAUAAGCUUGGUAAAAGCCUGAGCACCAUCAAAAACACAUGUUAGUGCAUAAACACAUAAUUCACUUAAAUUAUCAUAAGGUAAGCUAUUUGUACAUGAACAUACUUCUUUUGAAUUCAUCAUUUUCAUGAACAUAGGUAUAAUUUCAUUGAACAUUUCCAUUUCAAUCCUUUUCAUAGAUUCAUAACGUAGUUCAUUUGAACACUUACCGUUCCUUUCCUUUUCAUACCUGUUGAACCAUUUAUAAUAACAUCGUAUACACGAGAAAGCUCACACGAAGUGUGCUAAACAUAUAAUCGUAACCUUUCUUUUACAUCAUUGUUCACACAAGCUGUGGGUUGGAAUGUAAGCUACACAAUGUUGUUCACACGAGCUGUGGAGAAUCCACAACAAAUGCAGAACCUUAGCCAUCGGUAGGGCAUUCAAGAUCAGCACCCGAAACAUGAAAACUAUAAUGACAUGUCAUUUGUAUCCUACAAAUUCCUAAGGUUCAAAUGGGACUCGAUAACGGUCGUGACAUCAUUGGAUUUACAUGGAAAAUAACACAUUAACAUAUAGAUCAAUAUAACAUUAAAACAUUAGUUAUUCAUACGAACUUACCUCCAUGAUUUGAGCGUAAAAAUGAAGUCGAUCAAUCUGAGGCUUUUACUUUUACCCGAUCUAAAUCCCUACGAAUUUUAUCUUGAUCUAAAUAGGAAAAUUAAAUUUAUUUAAUAAUUCUAUUUUUCAAUUUAGUCCAUAUUUCAUUUUUUUCAAAAUUACAAUUUUACCCCUAACAUUUUAACUUCUUACAAUUUAUUCCUUAAUCUCAUAAAUUGAAAUCUAAGCAUUUUCAUCCUUUACCGAAGCUAGUAGAUUUCUAUAAGGACCUAUAUCAACCCAUAAAAAUCAUCAUUUCACAAUUUAACCAUAUAUUUUUACUAAUUUUACAAAUAAGUCCCUAAAUGCAAUUUUCAUCUAAAAUCCCUUUACAAAACUUGUUUAUUUAACAACAAGGACUCAUAAUCUUCCAUCAAACAUAAUAAAUCAUGCAAGCAUAUUCAUGGAAAAAUCAUAAAUCUUUAACAUUUUUGAAAAUUAAUUCUUGGGCUAGCUAUAUUAAGCUACAACGAUCCUAAAAACAUAAAAAUAAUUAAAAACGGGCUCAACAAGGUAAUUUUUCUUGGCCGAAACUUCCUCCCUAUCUUAAAAAUGGUGGUUGGUUCCUAGGGUUCAAAAUGAGGAAGAUAAUUUUUAUUUCAUCUUUUAUUAUUAUUAACAUUAACUUAUUUUAUCUAAUUACAAAAUUAACCUUAAUAACUUAUUAAAUUUCAAUAAAACCAUGACAUGUAUGUCCACUAUUCACAUAAAUGGUCUAAUUAACAUCUAUGUCCUUUCACUUUAAAGUUCUAUAGCCAUUUGACACCUUUAACUAAUAGAACUCUACUUUUGCACUUUUUACGAUUUAGUCCUUUUCACAUAAUUAAGCAUACGAAGUCAAAAUUUCCUAACAAAAUCUUUAUAAAACCUUACUAACAUUCCAUAUACAUUAAAAUAAUAAUAAAUUUAUAAUUCACUAGUUGUAUUUGUGGUGCCGAAACUACUAUAUCGAUUUCACUGAAAACGGGUUGUUACAGAUACUAUUUUUAAAAAAAGUAAGCAUAAACAUUGAUUUUUGUGUUAAUAUUUAAUUGAAGCAUUAUAUUUUUUGCAUAAUAUUUUUAUCAAACUUCUUUCGAUAGAUAAUUUGGUAAAAAAAUGAGUGGACAGAUUAGUGUUAUUAUUUAUUACGAAGGUGAGGUCUGGGACACCGAGAACGGCUUGGUUUUUUUAUCAGAGAACACAACACAACUGGUUUUUAACCAGAACAUAGAUUUGCUAAAACUUUGAAAAAGAAUUAGGCAAAAAAUUGUUGGAUCCAUGACAAUGAGAGUAUCGUCUGUUAAGUAUCAAUUUUGUACUUUGGUGUAAUAGCCCGUUUUCAGUGAAAUCAGAAUAGUGAUUUUGGGACCAAAAAUCUGAGGAAAAAAAUUUAUUUUAAUAUUAUUUUAUGAUCUACAGCAUGAUAGUAUUACUGUAUAAAAAUUUUGCUAAGAAAUUUUACUGUUUACAUGUUCAAUUUGAUAAAAAUGACUAAAUCGCGUAAAGUGCAAAAGUUGAGUUCUAAUAACUAAAGAUAUUAAAUAGAUAUAGAACUUUAAAUUGAAAUAAAUUAUAUGGUAAUUAUACCAUUAAUUGAGAUAGUGGAUGUGCAUGGCUUGGCAUUAGUGUAAUUAUUAAAUGUUGUAAAGGUUAAUUUGGUAAAUGAAUAAUAAAUGAUAAAACAAAUUAAACAAUUAAAAGGCUUCAUCUUUCUUUUGUUUCUUCAACUGAUUUUCAUAAGGGAAGAAAGCCAUUUUUUAUCUUUAGGGUUUGGCAACUUUAAAGCUCAAUUUGUGAGUGAUUUUUGUCUCGUUUUUAACGAUUUCUUUGUUUCCGGGAUCAUUGUAGCUUAAUCUAGCUAGCCCAGGGACUAAUUUGUGAAACUAUUAAAGUGUUUUAGUUUUUCCAUUGAUGUGCAUGUUAUGGUUUUGAAGUUUAAUGGUAGAAAAAUAAUAGUUGUUGCUAGAUAAAUAACUUUUGUAAAGGAAUUUUUGAUGAAAUUAUCAAUUGGGGAUUUAAUUGAAAAACAUGAUAAAUUUUGUGGUAAAAGUAUGAAUUUGUAAAAUAUAUGGGCUGCUAUAAGCAUGUUUAAAAUUUGGCUAGGCCUGGGUAGGGAUAAAAUUGAAUGAAUUUCAUUUUCCGAGCCUAAAGACUAAAUUGUAAAGAAUUAAAAGUAUAGGGGUAAAAUGGUAAUUUUUCAAAAAUAUGUGUUGGACUAAAUUGAAUGUGACUUGUAUUGAAUUGAGUUAAAUCCAUUCAUAUAGAUUCGGUUAGACCACGUACGGAGUUAGAUCGAGGCAAAGAGAAAAUCUCGGAUUAAUCGCCUCCGUAUCUACGUACUCUCGUCGAGGUAAGUUCAUGUAAUUAAAUUGUACAUAUGUUUUUAAUCGAAUUAUAUGUUUUUGAAUUGAGUAAUUGCCAUGAAUGAAUACCGAUUACAUAUUCAAUGACGUACGACAACUACCGAGCCCCGUUUGAACCUUAGAAAUUCGUAGGAUACAAAUGACAUGUCAUUAGGGUUACCGAUUUUAGCUCGUAUGAGCUUACCAUACUCAGCUCAUAUGAGCUUACCGUUUAUAGUUUGUAUGAGCAUACAUGUAUAGGAAUUGACAGGUUACAUUUCAGUACACCUUGUGUGUACUACCUGUGUAUCUAACGAUAUUCUAAGUGGUUCAACGGGCACAGUUUUGUUACGAGUUUAUAUGAGUUCGAUACGAACUAGCACAUGUAUUUACAUGAAUUACAUGGAAAUGGUUUAUAUAUGAUAUAUAGAUACAUGGCAUAGAUGUUAAUGUAUAUGGAAUUUAAAUGGUUAUUGAACUCAUACAUGAUCUCUCGAUUUUUAUAUGAAUUACAUGGCUAACUUGGUUGAUGAAUAUGUGUUAGGCUUUUUGGCCAAAUUGAGUUGUGAUAUGCUUUGGUUUACUUACCUAAAUUGUGGUUAAAUGGUAAGUUAAAUUCUGUGUUAUAUAAACUUACUAAGCUUAAAUGCUUACUAUGUGUUAUUUUUCGUGUUUUAUAGUGGUUCAGAAGCUCGUUCAGGUUGGAAGUUUGGCGGAGCUAUAUCACGCUAUCUAUCGGCUAUCUUGGUACUUUUGGUUAUCUAAUUUUAUUUAUAAUAGUAUGUAUAGGUUAUUUUGGCUAAUGAUAACCUACAUGUUUUGUUAUGUUUUUAGCCAUUUGAAUUGGCUUGUGUUUUGGUAUAUUUUGUUAUGUAUAUAUGUAAAUGGCCUUAUGAUCUUCGGUGUAUGGUUAUCAUGUAAAUGAUUUAUUUUGUGAAUUGGUAUUUUGGGUACCAAAUGGAGGAGCUUGAUAAGUAACAUACAUGUUAAAUUUUGGUACAAUUAUGGAUAUAUGUGUUUGGUCAUUUAGGUAAGUUGGGACAUAUAGUUGACAUGUUUUUAAAUGGUCAUUUAAAGUGCCUAUGGGCAUAUUGGUUGUUAUGUGAUGUUAUUACAUGUUUUAAGCUUGAUUUUGGUUGGUUUUGAAUGCCUAUUUAUGUAUAUGCAAAUUGUUGUGUUUAGGUUGGUACCAACUUGUGUGAGAAAUAUGACUUGGAAAAUGGUCUAUUUUUGUCCACAUGGGCAGAGACAAGAGCAUGUGUCUCAACCAUGUUUGACACACGGCCAGGUGACACAGCCGUGUGUCCCCUAUAUCUUUAAAGAGCACAAGUCAGUAUGCUCACACGGCUUAGAUCACAGGCGUGUGGCUUGGCCGUGUGACCCAAGUUAGUAUACUCAUACGACCUAGCACAUAGGCGUACGACUUGGCCGUGUGUCACAAGUUAGUAUACCAACACGGGCAAGGACAAGGGCUGGAACAUGACCGUGUGUCCCUAUUUCGAAUGCCCGCACGGCCUAAGACAUAGGCGUAUCUCUUGGCCGUGUGAGUCACACGUCCUGGCCACACGGCCGUUUGCCCCCUACAGUUUUGAAAUUUUUAUAAGUUUCUGAAAAAUUCUCUGAACUUCCAAAUUAGUCUUGAUUUGUUUCUAAGGUAUAUUUUGGGGCCUCGAGGGCUUUUAUUAGGGACAUAUGUAUUAAUUUGAUUUGUUUUUGACAUGAAUACUAAAUGAUAUGAAAUUUUUGAAAUUUCUGUCUGUCUGAUUUAUAAGUCCGGUAAUGCUCUAUAACCCUAUUCUGGGGAUGGAUACGGGUUAGGGGUGUUACAUUUGGUCGAUCCCAUGAGAUAUGACGCAUUCGAUAUCAAAGGUGCUCGAGGCUUGGAAGCGAUGGUGUAGACGCACCUUGACAGUGGACCACCAUUUCUUGAGUUAUAUGUGGAAUUUUCAAGACCAGAUGAAAGACUUGCCACUUCAACAUUUUUUCCUGGUCGAGAGGCGAAAACGAUUAAAAAUGUUGAUAUUCCAACCACUUUGUUAGAAAGUUCCCAUUAUGAUAUCCUAGAACCAUCAAUGGGAAGACACUCAUCCGUCUUGACCUUAGAUUUCAAUCAUGGGAGGCAGAACACCAAACUAUCAGGUUUUGGUGGUAGAACAAAAUACAUGGCCUCUGCAUGACACUUAAUUAGUGGACAGGACAUGAACCUUGGUGGGUCGAUGUUUAAAGCUGGGAAUACUUACUGGGAAUGGUAGCAACUUCCAGUGGUUGGAAACCGACAUAUGAUUUUGGAUGCUCCAACAUGUACACGAGAAGGGAUGAUGUACUUCCUACAACGUUCACCGGCAAGGGGACCUCCAAAAUGGCAAAUGUUGGUGAGUCCGAGAAUGAGGCUGAUAAUGAAUUCGAUGUGGAUCCACCCUGGGAGCCCAGUGUCGAUGAUUCAGAAGUUGCAUUAUUUUUUAAACCAGAGUCUGUUCCAACUAAACCAAAAAAUUGUGAGGGGUGAAAAUGAAGAAGAAGAAGAUCCACUAUUCACGGUGUAUUCGCCCCCAACGUACAUGCAUAAUAUUGACCUAUCGACAGAAGAUGAGUUGGAGUUUGCAGAACUACCACACAGAAAGUUUGGCCACGCAAGUCCUUCAUUAGAUUCAGGUGAUUUGGAAGUAGGCAUGGAGUUUUCCAGUAAAGAUGGUUUUCUCAUUGCAUUGAAGCGAUACAGCAUCAAGAAUAAGGUUAACUUUUGCGUGGUUAAAUCUAAAUCGGAAAGGUUUGAGGUCAAUUAUGCAAUGUGAAAUGGUAAAUGUGCAUGGAAAAUCAAGACUUCUGUUGUAACACCCCUAACCCGUAACCUUUGCCAGAAUAGGUUAAGAGGCAUUAUCGGAUUUGUAACUCAAUUUAGAGCAAUCAUUUAUCAAUUAUCACUUCAUUUCAGUAACUAUCAUUCGAUCAUAUUCAAUGUGUACAUAAAUCAAGUAUACAAAGCUUUAAUCAUGCAAUCGGGACUAAAUUGAUAACAUAUAAAAAUUUUAGAAACUUAGAAAAAUUUCAACAUUUCAAAUGUCACACGCUUGUGUGAACAGGCCGUGUGUCUCACACGGCUAAUAAACACACCCGUGUCUUAAAUCGUGUGGAAACAGGGCAUACAUACUGACUUGGGUCACACGGCCCGUAUGUCUAGCCUGUGUACCUUUCGAAAUGACCACACAUGCCCAUGUGCCAAGACUGUAUGCCUCACACGGCUAGUAAACACCCCUGUGCAUCUAGGCCAUGCUCAAGACUGACUUGAAUCUCUAAUUAUUUCUCAGGGGUUACAUGGCUGUGUACUAAGGCCAUGUGUCAUACAUGGUCAAGCCACAUGCCCUUAUGCUCAGCCGUGUGGAGUGAAAAUAAACUUGGUUUAAGUCACAUUUCUCACCCUAUAAAGGCAACCAAAACAUGCCAAUUCACACUCAUACUAUAUCAUCUAUCAUCAACCAUUUCAAUUACUCAAUUUCACAUUGAAAACAUAUCAAAUCCAUAAACCUAAAAUCAUCACAACUUGUAUAAAUAUCAAAUGCAUUAACUCAUGAUCUUAUCAUCUAUUUUAUGACUCAAAAUCAAUCCACAACAUAUCAUCUUUCAAGCAUUAACUUAGAAAAUGACAACUAACUACUUGAGCAACCAUAUAACCAUACCAAAAGAUGAGACAACUUAUACAUUAUAUAUUACUCGUCAAGCACAUAAUUCAAGCCAACUUAAAUGGCUAAAAACACAACAAUAUUUACAUCAUUAACAAGCUAAACCACUUGGCUAAUUAUAGCUCAAAAUAUAUAAAAAAAACACUAGCCUAUACAUGCCAUAUACCAUAUAUACAAAGCUCUAAAAGUACCAACAAGUAGUCGAUAGUGUGAUGAUAGUUCCCGAUGAUCCACGAUGUCCAAGCUAGCUUCGAAAGUCUAUAAACAUAGAACGAACACACAAAAUAAGCUUUAAAAGCUUAGUAAGCCAUAUACAAAUAAAACCAUCCUAUGAACAUUUACAUAUCAAUUCAAAUAUGUUAAGCAUAAUUAAUCACAUAUAUGAUCACAAACAUUUCUCAUGGUACACAUAUUCAAUUUCACAAUUGAAUUCAUCAAUUACUUCUCUUUUUGAUACUCGUAUGAAUUUCAUAUGUACUUGAUUCACUUAGUUCAUUCACAUAUUCUUUCUUGACUUGACUUUGCCCGUUGAACCAUUCAGAAUUUUUAAGGAUUCUCGAAAGUCACAUAAGCCCAUACAAUGCCAUAUCUCAGAUAUGGUCUUAGAUGUUAUCACGUAUCAAUGUCUCUGUCCCAAACAGGGUCUUAUACGAAAUCGAUUAACGAUGCCAAUGUCCCAGACAUGGUCUUACAUGUAAUAUCUCAAUACAAUGCCAAUGUCUCAGACAUGGUCUUACAUGUAAUUACGUCUUGAUAACCUAAUGUCAUGACAUUUAUAUCUUAUACUAUUCCAAAAGUUCAUAUGGCACUUUUGGAUGUCGUAACUUCGUCGAUUCAUGUUCAUAUUUGAUCGUUCAACAUUCGUAACAAUUCAAUGAUAAUAAAACAUAUAUAAUUUUAUUCAAAGAUAUUUAUUUGCAUAUGAACUUACCUCAUAGUUGGAAUAAACGGACGAGGUCAACUAUUCAAUAACUUUUGAUUUCCCUAGGUCUAAAUCUGAUUUCUUUCGUUCUUGAUCUAUAUACAUUCAAAAUUAACUUAUUUAAUCACAUAUUCAUUCAAUUUCAACCACAAACACAUAUUUGGGCAUUUUUACACUUUAGCCCUAAACUUUCACAUUUCUUACAAUUUAGUCCUUAUUUCAUAGAAUCACAAAUUACAUAAUUUCUUUCUAAUUUCAUGCUAUUUGAAUUUUCAUAGUAUACAUAUUAGCCCAUAUUCAUCAUUUAUUCACACAUUUAACCCCACAUUUUCACAGUUUCAAAAAUUAACCCCUUUCAUGAAAUUUAACUAAAAAUCACUUUAUAAAACAUGAUAAUCUAUCAAAAAAUACUCAUUUUCCAUCAUCAAACAUUCAAGAAAUCAAGCAUUCAUCAAUGGAAACUUUCAAAAUCAUCAACACUUUCAAAAAUUGAAGCAUGGGCUAGCUAGAACACAAAGCAACAAUCACAAAAACGUAGAAAUCAUAAAAAAUCAAGCUCAAAACAUACCUUAAUCAAGCUGUGUGCGCCAAACCCUAAAGGAACAAUGAAUUCUUUUCUACUUCAAUAUUCGGCUAAUAAGAAGAAAGAUGGACAAAAUUUCAUGUUUUGUUGUAUUUUAAUUAACAAAAUUACAAAAUUACUUAUUUACCCUUAAUGAAUAAAUAUUAAAAUUCCAUUAACUAUAGGGAUAUUUGUCCGUCCAUCAAUCCAAUGGUUUAAUAACAUCAUAAGGACUUCCACCUUUUAAUCUCAUAGAAAUUAAGCACUUUUAACAUAUAGCAUGCUACUUUUGCAUUUUACGCGAUUUAAUCAUUUUUCUCAAAUUGAGCUAUUUAACAAUAAAAUUAGCUCACAAAAUUUUCACACAUACGUAUUCACAUGCUGUAAACGUAUAAAAUAAUAUUAAAAUUAUUUUACGAUUUAGAUUUGUGGUUUUGAAACCACUUUUUUGAUUUAGCUAAGAUCAGGUUGUUACAUCUGUUGAGAAGAAGACGGGGUUAUGGACGAUAAAAAAGUUCACCAGUCUGGAUAAGUGUUGCCUCUAGUAAAGUAUCAUGGGGUUUUUAAGGUUUUAUUAAUUAGGGUUUUACAUAGUCAUGUGGUUGUAGGUGUUUUAAAGGAUCAUCUGAAGUUGGAUUCAGAUAUGAUCGCAGACAUAAUACUAUCGAUGGUGAAAGUGGAUUCAAGAACUGCUGUGUCAGUUUUAAUUGCAAAUAUUCGUAGCAAAUUUAACUACACGCAUUCGUACCGUAAUGCAUGGAUAGCAAAGCAGAAGGCUUUGGAGAUAAUACAUAAUGGGUGGGAUGCAUCAUACAACGAGGUAAGAUAGUAGUGUCAGGUGCUGGAGAGGUACGUCUCAGGUUGCAUAAUAGAUCUGAAAAUGGAGCCUACAUACCACAACGAUUUCUUGCUUCGUGGAUGCCGAGUCUUCCGCCGUCUGUUUUGGACCUUCAAAGAAUGCUCUGAAGCAUUUCAAUAUUGCAAGCUAUUAGUACAAGUAGAUGGUACCUUUAUGUAUGGUAGAUAUACCCAUCAACUAUUGUUGGUUAUGGUACAGGAUAGUAAUCGGAGGAUCCUUCCAAUUGCGUUUACAAUAACACUGAGGGAGAAAGUAGACGACUAUGAUUUUUUUCUGUCUAGGUUGAGAAGGCAUGUCUGCCCCCAACUUGAUAUAUGCAUUAUCUUGAAUCAAUGAACUAAAAUAUAUCUCCAAUUGAACGACAGGGAAGCCUCUGAGACUGCACACAUUAUCGGUACUGUUUAAGGCACGUUGCGUCCAACUACUACCAGCAAUAUUCCUCUACCGCUGAGCGAUCACAAGUGACCAAAAUGGGUAUGUAAUCACCACCAAUAUUAUUUGGUUUGUAAUAUUCCGUUUGUUUUUAUAUUCUUUGGUAUUCAAUUGUCAUUGUCAACUUCUACUGACAGGGUACGAGAUCAUGAAGGAUCGUUUUCAUGAAAUGUUGGAAAUCUUAUGGUAAACUAACUCGGUAGGGGCACGGUACCUCACUAAUAUACCCUUCAAUCAGUGGACACAAUCCUACGAUGGUGCUCUAUGAUAUGACCACUAACUUAAACCUAGUGGAAUGCAUCAAUUCUGCUUUAACUGUAACAUGCCAUUUGUUGAUAACCUCGAUUGUUAAAGAGACAUACUUUCGUUUGAUGGAACUGUUCCCAAAGCGAGCGGCGAGUUAUGCUGGGCAAAUACAGGGAUGCCAUGUAUGGUGCCCGGUGGUACUGGAACAAAUUAAAAAGGAAAAGGCACGAGCCAACUGCAUACACGCAGUUUGUCACUCGCGCGACAACCUAUGGUUUCGGGUAACGGAGUUCGACAGACCGAACCAAGGUAUUUUCGGGUGACAGUACCAUGUACACCUAAGAAAUAGGACUUGCAAUUGUGAAAGAUUUGACGCACUUCGUUUUCCAUGCGGUCAUGCAAUUUUAACUUGUAUCAAUCUUUGUUUGUAUCCUAUGAACUUUGUCGAUGAAGUGUAUAAAUUAGAAAACUUGUACAACGUGUGGAAUUCCCACCAGUCUUAGAUGAACAUAAGUGGCCGCCUGUAUCGUUUGCUCCGUUUAAGUUGUUACCCGAUAGAAGAUUGCGUUGCAAACCAAAAGGUUGACCCAUGUUGACUCGAAUACGUGACAACAUGAAUAUCUGAGACAGGCCAAACAAACUGAGGUUAUGAAGGUGGUGUAGGAACCUGGGCCAUAUAAUGUGUAACAACCCGUUUUUAGUAGUGUCAGAAACAAUGAUUUUGGGACCAAAAUUCCAAUGAGUAAAUUAUUAUUUUAAUGUUUAUUUAAUGUCUACGAGAUUAUAUUAAGGUCGUACUAAAGUUUCGCUAAGAAAUUUUGAAAUUUAAAUGGUUAAUUAGGUAAAAAGGACUAAAUCGUAAAAGGCAAAAAAAGUUGAGUUCUAUUAGAUAAAGGGGUCAAUUGGUUAUGGAAAUGAAAUUUAAUGAACUUGAGUGGUAAAUAUGUCAUAUUUAAAGUUAUUGGAUGUACAUGGAUAAGUUUUAUUGAAAUUUUUAAUUAGUAAUAAGGUUAUAUGGUAAUUUGGUAAAUAAAAGAAAAAACUAAGUAAAUAAAACAUAAAAUAAAGAUGAUAUCUUCUUUAUUUUGUUUCAAACCCUAAAAAUAGACAUUGGAGAAGAAGUGUUACUUGAUCAAGCUUAGUUUGAUGCAUGUUGGUGAAUUCAAGCCACAUUUUUAAUGAUUUUUAUGUUUUUGUAAUAGUUUUAGCUUAAUCUAGCUAGCUCGGGGGUUAAUUUGCAAAAUUUUGCAAAGUUAGAAGGAUUUUUCAUGGAUUUUUUUAUUAUGUUUUGAUGUUAGUUGAAGGGUUAUUUAUCUUUGUUGUAAAAUAAACAUGUUUUGUUAAGUGAUUUUUGUUGAAUUAUGGAAAUAGGGAUUAAAUUGUUAAAAGUAUAAAUUCUUGAGUUUUGUUGUGAAUUGUUGAUAAUUAUGAGUUGUUUCAAGGUCCCUAGUAACAUUGGUUAAGUUGGAUUUAAGCUAAAAUGAACUAUAUUCAAGUUAUGAGCUUAAUGACUAAAUUGUGAAAAAGUUAAAAUGUUAGGGGAAAUUAGUAAUUUUGCAUAAAUAUGAAUUAUAGAUUAAAUUGAAUUCUAGAAGUACUUAAUUGAUUGAAAUUAUCCAUUUAGAUCAAGAUAAACCACCAUCGGGCUUAAAUCGAGAAAAAGCUAAAGCUUCGGAUUAGUUCGACUUUACUUCUAUACCAUAUUUACGUAAAAAUUAUAAAAAUAUUAAGUUAAAAUAUAAUAAUGAAAUAAAAAAAAAACAAUAUUAAAAUUUAUUCUUACCAUUUGUAAUUGGUUGGCGGAUAUGUGCUUGUUAUCAAGACGGAUUAAAGAUCCGACCAUUGCUAAAUUAUGUUGAACAGGAAUAAUUUUUUUAAAAGAAUCUUGAAAAUAUUAAUAUAAAAAUAGAAUUUAGGAAAAAAAAUAAGAGAGAAUUUGAGAGAUUUUUGAGAGCUGAUUAAGAAAUUUGAGAGAUUUAAGAGAGAAUUGUGAGAAAUGUGAAUGAGAAGAAGGUGUGGGGGGUUUAUAGUUUUUUUAAACCGUUUUAACAUUUGGAAGUGAUUGUUGAGGGGGGGAGCACGCUGACUUGGACGCGUUUUAUUGAUCAAAAGGAAAAAAGCACUAAGCUAGACGUGCCUUUCUAACUUUCUUUUGAAAACUACAUCAAUUAAACACAUUUUUGUAAAAUUGACCUAUUUCCAUAACUUUCAACAAAAUUUAACCACUUCCGUUAUUAUUUUAAAAAUUGGCUUCUUCUGAUAUUUUACCCAUGUUCCUAAAAAUAAAAAUAGUUUAAAUAAAAUGAAAGCGAGAAAAAGAGAGUAAGAAAUAGUAUUGUGUUUUUAAAGAGAAAGAAGAUGUAAUUGAUUGAAUCAACGAAAUAGCAUUGGGAUUUAGGGUCGGGUGAUCCGUCUUUUGAAUUUUGACCCGAGGAUGACGGGAAAAAAAUUCAAAAUUAUAUAUUAAAAGAAUAGCGGUUCCUUCUCUUGAAAUUUGGCGCUUUAUUUCCAGUCAUUUCUCCAAAGAAGGAAAAGGGAAAAUCAGUAGACCAAAUACCGCCCACCGGCCUCCGAAACAACGCCGCUGCAAAUUGAACUAUUAGAGUAAAAAGAACAAUGGUAUUGCUCCGGCAGCAACAACAGUCACGGAAGAGAUCUUCCUCUUCCUUUGUCCCUUCUUGUCCUCCGCCCAAAAUCCCCAAACCUCAAAACGACAUCGGCACUGCCGUUGAUGCUGUUGAGAAGAUGGUUUCGAUCUUAGCUGAGGACGGUUGUACCUUGGUAAACCCGUUGGGUCCGCCCUCCCUUCCUUCAGAUCCCUACAAGCUCCGCCGCCAGCUCUCCCGCCUCUUUUCUUCUACUGACGAUCGCUCCGUUUUUCUAUCUGGUUUCUCUUCUUACAUUCAGUCUUCCUCCAAUCUUCGCAGGUCUGUUCACUCUUUUUCCAAUUGCUAACUUAAAAUUUUUCGUUUUUGCUUCCCCGUUUACAUGCAUAAUCUAUCUGUUGCCUAGCUUUUUAACUUAUCGUACUGAAUUUUCUUUUAGUUUUUGGCUUUAUUAUUUCUUUUGGAUUUUAGGACCAAUCAGUUACCCUAUCCUUCUAUGUAUAUGUUUUCUUGAGAAUAGAAUGAGAUUCAGUUGGAAGGUGUUUUAAGGUUUUCGCAUUGCUUACUCCAUUGGUAUUUAUGACCAAAUGCCUCAUUUUUCCUACAAAUUAAAUGCUUUCAGGGUUCUCAUGUCUUCAAACGGAAGUAAUUUUGGUCCCGCUAGAAGUGAAAGCUUAGUCCGGCAUCUCUUGCUGGUUGCACCGAUCCAAUUAGACCUCCAAAUUAUGCUCCUUGAGAAACUUCCUGAAUAUUUUGAUGUAGUUCCUGGAGAUUCCCAAACAUCAUUGUCCCUUGAAGAUGAUGUUUCUAGGCUUAUCAUUAAUCAGUUUCGAUGGCUUGAUUUUGUUGUUGAUCCUAGUUCCUUCACCGAUAAGUUAUUGCAAGUUCUUUCCAUUUGUCCUUUACACUUUAAGAAAGAGAUAAUUGGAUCAUUGCCUGAGAUCAUUGGUGAUCAAAAUAACUAGACUGUAAUUGAUUCCCUUGAGCAAAUGCUUCAUGAGGACCCAUCUGUAAUUGUUCCUGUGCUCGAUUCUUUUUCAAAUCUUAAUUUGGAUGAUCAGUUGCAAGAACAGGUUUAUUCUCUUCUGUUUAGUUUUUCCACUACGUGGUUUACUUGAUUUUUAUUUUAUUUAUUUUAAUGUUCUAUCAAAUAAUGCCAUUUCUUAUAAGUGGUAACAAAUCUGCAUAGUAGUUAUUGCAAGGUUAAUGCAAAUGAAACUUUCUGCUCUUCAGCAUAGAAGACAACGAUAGAUCUUGGAUUCAAUAUUUUGUCUUCUUGUCCUACAAAAAUACAGCUAUUUAAUGCAGCGCAAGUAAUCAGUCGUUCAGGGUCUUUUGUUCAAUAUUACACCUGAAAUAAAAUACAGGAUUGGAAUUGAGUAUUGAAUGUUACAAUUCAGUUCUUUUAUAGUCGUAGAUAAGUUAGAAGCUUAUGUCUGUUUGGUUACCCAGAGUGAGGUAAUUGUAGUUAUGGUAGACAAGCUGUGCUCCUGGGUUUAGCAGUUAAGUUGAAUUAAGGAUCAUUAGCACAAAGGCUGUUGAGUUCGGUAAUUGAGGUUUCUAAGGAGGAGGGAAAAUGCCUAGGUGAUUUCACUUUGUGUUCUCUAGGCACUCACAGCUAUAAAAGGUAUUCAACUUCACCUGAAUUCACUCAGUAUUUGAUACAGAAACCUUCUUAUUGUGUCUUCUAAAGUUAGAAGGCUAGGUCAGGCUAUACAUAGACCACCUUUGGCUUGCAAGAACAAAGACAGUUCCAAACGGGUUCACCAUACAUAAUAUUAGUACACCAAUGUGAGGCCCCUGAAAUAUCCAAUACGCUCAUUUCUAGGAAGACUUGAAUUUACAGGAAUGUCUAAACCAAAACCAAACCAUUGAACAAAAACUUAAACUGAACCAGCCACAAGUAACAUUAAACCUAGAUCUGCAGAGGAGUCCCAAAUAGUGACCUUAAUCAGCCUUCUUUGCCAUUAUUACACUUUUUAUUUGAUCCUUCCAGUAAUUUCAUCAAAUGUAUAUUGCCUUUUGUUUUUUGUAUUUCUACUUGUUGAUGUGAAAAUAUGUAAUGCCAUUAGCUCAAUUGAAUAUUCUCUAACAAAUAUAUAAAUAUUUUCCUUUCAAGUGGCUUUUUGACCUUUAUUGACUGGAGAAACUUGACUUGAGCCCUCUUCUUUUCAUCAUUCUAAUACAAUUUUUAGCAGCCGAUGAAAAUUUUAAGGUGCUAUGUAGCUCUUGCUUUGAUAUCUAAUUUAAUUCUCUUUCUUUACAUUGAAGGUCAUAACCAUAGCACUAUCAUGCAUUAGAACAAUUGAUGCGGAGCACAUGCCCUGUCUGCUUCGAUUUUUACUGCUCUCUGCCACACAACUAAAUGUUCGAAGAAUAAUCUCACAGAUACGUGAGCAUUUAAAGUUUGUUAGGACACCGCAUAAUCGCACAAUGCAAAAAAAUAAACUCAAAGGGAAGUUGGUUGUUGACAACACAGAGGCAUCCGUUCUAGAUGCUUUGAGAUCUAGCCUUCAAUUUAAGAGUGUAAGUAAUUUAUCCUCUUUCCUAUUUGACAAUACAUGUUUUUAUAUCCUCUUUUCUUAUUUGACAAUUUAUGGUUUUAAUUUGAUAUGCUCUUUUAUAUCUACACAUUACCUAUAGCUACUCUGUCAAGAGAUUUUGAAGGAAUUGAAUGGCCUUGAAAAACCUCGAGAUCACAAAGUAAUCGACAUGUGGCUGCUUAUACUAUUGUACACAAAUGGUGAGUCCAUGCGAAAAAGCGUUGAAAAGGUGUUUAAGAAGAAAAUUGUUGAAGGUUGCAUUCAAGAAGUUAUGCUUGAUCAAUGCAUUCGUGGGAACAAGGAACUCGCACAGGUAUAUGUUGCUAUUCUUCGGCUUUAAGAUCAUUCCAAUUUUGCUGAAUAUAUUCCAGAAACUCAUCUGAUUGCAUCUUUUUUUUUUCUUAGGAAUAUUUCCUGUCCUUCCUUUCUUUAUCUGAGUAUAUAUUGGCUUGCAAAGAACAAAAGGCAAGGGAUUUUGGCAUUUACAUGUAUACUCUUCUUUUUGAAGAGUUUGCUGAUACUUAUUCAAGACAGGAAGUAAGCAUCAAUAUAUUCCUUUCUCUGAAGAUUAGGUUCAUUUUCUCCAAGAGACUUUCAUGUGGCUUUGUGCAGGUUCUUGGUGCACUAGUUACUCAUGUGGGCUCUGCUGUUAGUUUUGAAGUUACUUCUGCUCUUCAGAUUAUGGCUUCACUUGCCUCAAAACAUGCAAGGGAACUGAUUCCACUUUCUUAUCAUAUAAAUGGUAGCUAAGUUUUUGCUUUCAGAUUUUCUUUAUCUUUUUCUGCUAUUGUGUUCUUCAUUAGUUUAAUGUUAUUCUCAGGAAUCUUGGACUACUUGGAGGGAUUGACUGUAGAAAAUCUUUAUAAGGUUUAUUGCUGCUCAUUAUAUUUUUGAUCUUUUAAGCUUUAUAAGGACAAAGUUGUACGUGGAAGUGUCAUUAACAUUCAGUCAGUGUAGGUUUAUGAGGUCUUCAGCCAUAUGGCACUGCUAGCUCGCUCUAGUGCUGACUGUUUGGGCUCUUCCAUUGCAAAUGAACUUUUUAUUAUUGUUCGGAAGCAGGUAUCUGGCACCAGCAUGGCUCUUGAGAAUAGAGUGCUUUGAACAUUGACUUUUAGUGCAAUUUUUGGAUUGUAUCUCUUAAUUUUCUGUGCUGUAGAUUUAAGUGGAGGAUCUUAGCAAUGGAAGUUACUUUGACUAGCAUUACCUUCAAUUGGGCAGGUUGGCCAUCCGGAUCUGAAGUACAAAAAGAUGGGUCUAAUUGGAACCUUAAAAAUAGUUUCAUGUCUAGGGGUUGAAAGUAAUGUCACUUCAUCAUCACCAUUUCAGGUAGCACCUAGUAUCAGUGUAUCCCCUAUCUGUGGCUCUUGGUUAUUAUAUGGCUAUUUAGUUGUUGAUCACUUGAUCGAACUUAAAGAUUGCAGCAUAUUAUUAUAACUGCACAUACUACAUGUGGCAUGUUGUGAUCUUGAAGGUAAAUUGUGGUUUUCUUUUUCCUUUAAUCAUGUCUGUUGUUUAUCCUUCAUUCCUGAAGACUGGUUAGAAGCAAAACAAAAGCAGAAACCUGCUGAAAAUUGACAAAAACUUUUAUCUUGACACAUCACAAGCUACUGUAAAAGUUUCUUUCCAGGAGGUUGAUGGUUUGAAUAAUUGCUUCGGCUGGGCAUUACUGGCAUUAAAACUGGUAGUCAGAAAGUCUAUGUUACAGCUUGGGCUGACUGAAUGCAUUUGACAAUGCAUAUGAGAAGAUAUGAUGUAAAUUGAUAGUUCCACUGUUACUGGUGCCAGUAAAUCCACAAGCAGUCUGAAGAACAUAGUUUUUUCAUUAGUUACAAGAAACUUUUUAAUGACUUAAAAAAAUGAACAAGUGCAUCUUGAGUCUAGACCAUUAUAUGGAUGUUAAAGUAGUGCAUCAAAAGUAUGGAGAUCAAUAGUUGUGCUUGAAACAAUUAAAACCCAUUUCUUCCAAUGUUUCAGACUAUAAUAAAAGCUAAGAUAUGAGUGAAGUUGUGGUCUCUGGAUAAGGUAUAUAGAAAAGUCUCCAUGUCUCGUCUGCAGCCACAUUUUAAAAGGGAGUCAACAGCUUCUCUAGGAUAGAAAAUAAUUGCACCAAGGCCACCUUAGUGGACAGAACAGUUCAAACAGUUUGGAUGGAUCCUAGUUGAAGAAUAGUUGUGCAUAUUAAGAAGAGAGCAGAAACUGAAAUUGAAUCUACCUACAAUUUUCAAAUUCUUUCUCUUCUGGAACUAUUUUACUGUGUAAUGCUCUGUUCUUGUCUAUGUUUGAUUUUUAUUGUUUUUCAAGUACUUAUAAGUGUUGAUCGUGAAAUCCGUUCUCGUGCUUUCAGCUAACAGGAAAAUAUAGGAAACUUCUUGUCAUUCUCUUUCCCUGUUGAGUAGCUUAGGAUGUUUGAUUUGACCUUUACUGUUCAUUCACCUUUCUGAGACCUCAAAUUUUAUUAUCUUGAGCAAACAGAAAUCAAAUGCUGAGGAGGCUGUGGAGCUCCUUGAAACUGGCUUAGAAUCUUGCAAACAAUCAUGCUUGUCAUUGAUCUUCUUUUACGAUGAACUGACUGCAAUUUUAGAAAGUACAACUCUUCACCCUAUUAUCAUGGAUUGGUGAGACAACUUCAACAAUCUAUUAUUAUUGUCAUGUAGAUUGCAAGUUUUAAGGAUUUAGGAAGAUAAUAAAACUAUUAAUUGCAUGUGCGAAAGUUGUCUUUUGCAGGAUUGGCAAGCAUUUAGGAGAAUUUGAAUCUAUAUUUCUGUCUGAUCUUGAUGGUGGGCAGUUGCCUAGCAGGAUCCCGUAUUGCGGUUUAGAAGGUAGGUUUAAAAAUGCUGUCUGUGCUUGCCUGAAGUUUUAUGUAAAUUCAUGAUAGACUAUAGUCUAUUCUUUCUACUUUUUACUUCUUUAGGGGAGCUAUGGAUGAACUAGGACGGUGAAAUGUCUCCUAUUUGUCUGAACAUUCUGCCAUUGGCUUCUUCUUCUCAGUAAUGUUUUUUAAUGCUUUCGCUUGAAUCUGAAUGUCCUCCUUAGAGAUUGGGUAUAGUGAACUUGGAAUCUUCUCUUGCAGAAAUGCUUCUUUGCAAUUUCUUCCUGCUAACUUCCAUUUACUAUCAACCGUAAGUGUAUACUGUUUUAGUCAUCAGAAGUAUUAUAAAAGAAAGCUUUCUAAUAAAUUGAUAUCAAUGACAGGUUGAACGGUUGACGAACCAAGGAUCUCUUGGUGGAAUUGAUGCAUUACUUGGCUGUCCUAUGCUACUUCCCUCGUCUAAGGUCAGAUCAAGCAUAACACUCACGACCAUCAUAUUGUUUCACCAUUGAGUCUCAGAGUCUCAUGAUGCUAUUGCAUUAAAAAUGCUUUUCUCAGUGUGAUUUUCCUCUAUGUAAUAGCUAUUGUUUGAGUUAGAUCCUUAACAUUUUAAUCUUCUGUAUACAAUUGUGAUUUGUUCAUGAAGUUUGCCAAGUAUUGGAAAACUUCAGAACUAAUACAACUUUCUAUGAUUUAAAACUAUUUUAUGUCAACCUCUUAAGUGUUUAUCCACACUGUUUUACUUAAGAGGACAGUUGUUUUCUUCUCAUUUCUUCUAUGACUUAAAAGUUGUGAAUAUUUUUGUUUCCUAUCCUAUGGUACUUAAAAUUAUGUUGAUCUUUCUUAGCUCUCUAUUUUUAUUUUCUUGUUCAUAUUUUUUUAUUGGACCAUUUUUCUGACAUGGGCUCCUUUUCUACUAUGCCAGUACUUCUUAGAAGCUGAAUGGCAGUCUCUGACAGGAAAGCAGAAACAGAUUAUUUGUCUCUCUCUUUAUUAUGCAAUGAACUGGAUAAGGGAACUGGUGAAUAGUUUACUCUGAGAUGUUGAUUUUAAGUAACAUGUUUGUUAAACAUGCAAUUGAGGUUUAUAGCUCUUCCACUGCUACAGCUCAAUGCCUUCUGCACACAAGUAGAUGGGAGAUUUGAAUGCAUAAGUCAGACCUCAAAGGAUGACAUAAUGCAGAAGCUAUUAAAGCGAAUGAGGAACCUAGUGUAAGUCAUCAAAUCCUCACUCCUUGCUAGUUUGUCCAUUAUCCUUAAAUCAGAUUAAGAUAUAAGGAGAGACCAAGGGCAAUUAUGCUGGCAGGUUUCAUGUGAAAUAUAAUUUCACCGGGAUUGAAAAAAACCGCAUUGGAUGAAGGUAUACUAAAAAAAGGGGAUCUUAUCUUAUAUCAGGAGAAAAAGGAGAGAUGUUGGCCCUCACCUGACAUAGAAUGUAGUAAGCUAGUUACGAUGCUUCUAUAAGGAAGAAGUUGGUUUUCCCAACUUAGCAAGCCUCCCUUCACAAGAGGAGAGGCUAAGGCUGGCUUAAGCACAUUUUUGGUUUAGUGUUCUCAUUUAGGUUUUGCUCGUGUUUGGUUGCUAAAAAACAUGGCAACCUUUUAGCGGCAGUCUUUUCUCCUUAUCCAGUCAAUUGAGGAUUUAAGAAUAAUCACGAACAAAAUUGGUGUGUAGUGGAUCUAUGAAAUUUUAACUAUUUGCCCAACUAAGUAAUACAAGUCAUGUUUUAGUGUAUGGAAAUGUAACUAUGUUGAGGUUCUUGGUAGCCUAAUUCAUUAUUACGAAUUACAGCUUCUUUGGUUUAUCCUUUGGGGUGUCGCAUAUCAUAUCGUAUUAUGAACUAAUUCUAUAUACUGAUGGUAAGAACCAGCUGGCUGUUGAUGCAGAUUUCUCGAAAGCUUGUUAAGUCAUUCCAUCAGAAUGUGUCCUGUAACACUACCUCAGCUCCAUCUUCGAGUGGAGCAUUGUGGAUCAGCAUUCAUAAACCAACCAAACCAUGUGGGGAAUAAAGAAAAGAAGAAUGAGCCUAAGAUGACACCUGAAUCCACAUCUCCAAACAAAAGGAAGCAUAAAAAGACUUCAAAGACCUCAGCAAUUGGUACAGAUGGAAACCUACACCAGCAAACAUUGUUUGAUGUGUUGAGGAAAGCAGGAGCAGUGACAAGCCAAGAGGUACCAGAUAAGGUUUCUUCAAAAGAUAUGGCAACCUCAACAUCAGUGGAUCACAAUUCUCAUGUCUUUAAUGAGUCAGUGCUUAUAGAAGUUUCUCCAGUUUCCCAAGCUCUGGAAUCACAGAAAUUUAGGUUCAGGCCUCUUCUAUUGGAAUGCUUUUCCAUUUUGACUUUUUCAAAGGUGUGUCUCCUUACAGUUUAACUCUCAACUAUUGCACAGUUCCUUUAAAUUUUGUGUUAGAAUGUGGCAUUUGACUGGCCAAUGCAUAAUCAUUUGUUGUAUGUGAUUUACAUAAUCUUGGGACUCAGUAAAGAUAAUUCAUCUGAACUUCUCAUGGCCUACGUUCCUGUCUCCGUUUCAAGUGCCUUUAGAAUAAUAUGUUUGUUAACCUUUUUUAUGUGCUAAUUAAGUUGUUUGCUCAUUGCUUGUUGACCUAGCAGGUGUAGCAUUUAGUCCUAAAAUAUCAAAAUGCAAUUUUACUUAAUGAGGCCUAUUUUUCUUGUUUUCUAUUAAAAGAAUGAUCAUAGUCAAAUGUGACUUUUCAAAUGUAGGACCAUGACACCUGUUGCUCUGACCCUGUGGCUGAGGUAUAUUUUUCAUGUAGUUCUUUCUUUCCUUCAAAUCAUAUAAAUAAAAUGAUUAGGUGACAUGUAGAAAACUUGUUAUUUCUGGACAGUUGCCCCUAUACCUGUACCUUAUUCAUGAUCUUCAACACAAACUGGGUUACUUUGCUUCUCCGACCAAACAAUGUUCCUCAAGGAACAUUAUUGCUGCUGCUGUUACCAGGAUGACAUUGGAUGAAUUUCUUAGCAAAAUUAGACCACUCUUUCAAAGUCUUAAGAGUAACUUAGACAGUUCGUUCUGUAUUCUUAAAGAAGGAGAAGGUAACAUGAUAGUUUCAUUUUGUUGCCAACACCAUGUCUUCUAUAUUCUUGUAGUCUUAACAAAUGUAUUGUAGGUAACAAAACUUGUCAAGAACACUGGAAGUUUCAAUCCACUGCUGCUGGCAACCCAGAUUUAACCAAUGUUGUGCCAUCAAAUUCUUCAAUUUCUACUAUGGUGUUUAAGGAAAUACUUAAUUGUUUCAGUAAGGUGAAUACUUUUACUCACCUUUACCUUUGAGUGUACAUACAUGUCUGUGCGGCACUUUCCAUCUUGACAACUGAUGCUUUUAUUUGGUUUAUGUUUCGAUAGAAAAAUUUCUUUUCUGAAAAAGUUGUAUUCUACUCCUAAAAUAGUUUUUCCUCGAACAGAUGCUAAACCUUUCUGAAGUUCAAAGGUACAGAUCAGUUCUUUCAGAUCUCCUUGAGGCCUUUCAGCCUGAUAAAGCAUUAGAUUCUGGUUCCUUAGAUGUGCACCCUUGUCCUUCACCUGGUACAAUAGAAUAUUUGUAUCUUGGUGCUUGUUCAUUUGUAGAGUGUAUCCUUGAUGCAGGUGCAAAACUCUUGCCUUUAUUCCGUUGUUCUUUUAUGGUGCUUAUUUAUCCUUUCAUUGUAGCUAAUUUGUAUCAGAUUCUACUCCACAGUAUGUUCUUUCUCCUUUAUUCUGGCAUCAGAGGCUCUUUUUACUUUGGAAUCAGCUGUUACAUCAUUUCAGAAGGUCAUGGAUAAGUUGGAUGGAGAUGAUAAAAUCAUACAGUCAGCGUUUCACCAGAUCCUUCCUUUAUUGCGUGGCAGACUUGCAUCUUCUGCUAAGAAACUUUUGAAGCAUAAAUGGGACAAUAAAAAUCUUGAGAAUGGCUGGAAGAACAAAGUGAGGCCAAUUACAUUAUGUUUGAUUGUGAUUUCUUACUUUAGCAUACCAUGUAGUUAUGCAUAUAGCUACUGAAAUACAUGCUGGUUUUUCCAGGGAGAAAUGGUACAAAAGAUACUGCGGACUUACUUAGAAUAUGAUGAGUCAAUUUCUGAUUUGCUUGAUGAGCUUGCCUGCACAAUUUUGCCACAGGUAUUUGACUUUGUUGAGUUGACAUUUGUUGCAAGGUUAAUAGUGUGCUUCAGAAAUUGUCCUUUAAUGCUAUGUUUAUACAUUAGGGAUCUGCCAGUUUUUCUAUGUACGUCCUCUGUCCUAGCAAUAGAAUUGCUCUUCCUUCUUAGAGAGUUAAGAGCAGGUGACUUACAUGUGAUGAAGGACAAGAUCAUGCUAGUUCUAUUGGAAGUGUCGAUAAAAGUUUGGAUAUCUGUUGCUGGCAUUUUGUACAGGGAUAUGUUGGUCAUUUCUUUUACUUCAAUACUUUAACAUUUGAUCCUGCAUUUUCUCAUAUUAAGGGGAUAAUGGUGUGGAAUAUAGUCAUGCUUAUUGAAGGAUUAUAUUUUGGACAUGUUUCAUUAGUUUCAUAUUAUAUUUUAUUGGGUUCAAUUGUAAAUUUCAGUAUCGAGGAAACUUUUAGUGAAUUUGGAGUUAUAAUUUUUGUUUGAUUUUUGUAUUAAUAUUAACUUUUAAGGUGUAGCACUGUAGCCUAUGAGUGUUCAUCUUGACUUUUAGUUACAGAUAAUACUAUUGGGUUCAUUUUUAUGGGUUAGUUAGCCUCACGAGUUAAAAGACACAUUCAGGUGCAAAGUUUAUACAAAUAAGAAAAAGGGAGGUAUGUGCAUUACCUUCUCACAGUGAGUUUUAGUUCUCAUACUUGUUUUAGUUUCAUGUCAUUUAAAAUUGAACUGCCAAUUUUAAUAAAACACAACUGCAUAUUUUUUGCUACUUGUUUCUUUUUUCACACGCAGAAAAUGGUUGCCACAAUUCUGAUUACGGAUUAUUGAGAUCUAAAUAUUGAUAAAUUGGAUUUCCUUGCCUAAUUCUCUUUUCUUUCUGAUUUCUACCCCAAAUUUCUUUUAUUUUCUCACAAGUUCCUGUCUUCUCAUUUUCUUUGUCUCUUUUGUCUUACCAUUGUUCUGGGUUAUUGCAUCUACUUAAGAUUUAGUUUAAGAUGACAAUUUUAAGUUAGAAUGAACCAUGAGGGUCAUUUGGCGUACAAUUCUUAUCAAUUGAAUCCAUUUUCAUUUGUAUGUAGUACCACUAAAAGGGGAUUUCUUUGUCAGGUCUCUCUUACAACAAUGGCAGAAGAUGAGGAUUAUGGUUUCCCAACUCUAUGUUCUGCAACUUUCCUCUCAUGGUACCGUGUGCUGGUAGGGUAUCUUCUGUUUUCCAAGUUCUUUUCAAAGAUUACUCUUAUUGUUUCCCAUCAAACAUGUUGAUUGAGGUUGGCCCUUUGUGCAGUUUGAAGUGAAUCUCACAGUUCUUGGAAAAUUGGUAAGCAGUAAAUUUUGCUGCUUUGUUUCCAUUGAUCAUAAGGGAUAGAAAAGACUAGUGAAAAGUGUUGCAAUUCUUAUCCUUUUUCUCUCUUUGUAGGUUAAGGAAGUUGUUCGCUUAGAGAAGGUUCGACCUGGUUUUCAACCUGUAAAUGUUCACACACUUUUGAUCAGGUUGCAAAAGAAUGUUAAUGUGGUUGUUGCACUAGUUAGCAUGUGCAGAACCCAUGACAAGGUAACCAAAUAAAACUGUGGUUUUCUUUGCCAACAUUACUUAGAUACUAAUUUCUAAAUAUGUAUAUUACAUUCCCAGCCUUGAACCUUUUCCACCACUAGGGAAAUUAGUCAAGUCUCUGAUUUCUGUACAUGAACGGCCUUCAUUUCAGAUUUGAUUUUAUGACAUUUUCCUUUAGCUUUUCAUUUGUUUUUGGCCUUCUUAAUUUCUGUUACUUCUAUAACAUUGUUUUAGGAAUUCUUUUGAGAGAAUUUUAUGAUUGUAUGAGAGAACACCAGGAUCAUGAAAUCGCUCUCCUUUAUCCAUUUGGCAUGUGUAAUUCUAUGGAUUUAAUAUAUUAGUGAAACUGUAGAACCCUUGUACUUUUUCAUGACUAUACUUUUUCUCAGAUAAAAGUUCCCUAGAAUAGUUUGUAAGAACUUUUAUUGUUUCAGAGGUUUAGGAAAGUUGGGCACAGCUAGGUUUUGUUCAGUAAAAAGCUAAAUGGCUGCUUAUCCUAAAUUGGAAGUGUAUGUGGUGGUUAAUCAAUAGAAGUGCCUUUGCUUAUUACAAAAAUUUCUUGCUAACAUGUCAUGUAGUUAGUACCUCUUUAUUGUUGCUAUCCUUCAGGCAGUAAUCUUGUUGACAUGUAAUGGCAUAGGUCACCCUGCAUGCCAUGGCAGUCAAGUACGGUGGGAAAUUCGUUGAUUCCUUCCUUAAAGGUGGUUAUAUCUUAGAAAUGAAUAUGGUCAUUGAUUGCUGUCUGCCCGAGCACUGACAUCUUGGUAUUGCAGCUUUUGACUUCUUGCAGGUUCACUUCCAAAUGCAUAAUGAAGCCAUACUUCUGUUGGUAAGAUCAGAUACAAUUUUUUUUCCUGACAUGCUUGGUUCAAGUUUGAAGCUUAGAAGAAAAGGCCUUAUUACUUGUUCGUUUGAUUAGGUGAAAGAACUUCAAAAGGCUACACGAACUAUUCAGACCCUAUGUUCUGAAGCCAAGGUGAGCCUUGCAUAUCAAAUCCAUUUGAGGCUUAGUCAGAAACUUUGAAAUGAUAGCAGAUUAUAUUGAAUUGUCAUAUUUGGUACUUGAAGGGCUUGAAACAAACAGUCAUCACUAGCAAAAUACCUGCUACUAAAAGAUCUUUGGAACGCUUUUUGUUUCGUGUCAAGGCUCUUCUCCAUUCUACCUCUAACGGAUGCACUUUCUGGAUGGGUAUGUACCGCAUUAUCUUAUUUUUAGCUUUUUUUUUUUUUUAAGGGAGUUGGGUACCUGGGUUUGGUUUAGAACACUACAUUCUUCAUAUUUGGAACACUACUAAGCUUCAUUGAUAUUUUUAUUCUUUCUUGAAGAAGCGUAUGCUCAUUUAAACCAGUAUAGAAGUUUUUAAUUUUAUUAAUUAUUAUUACGUUAGUUUAAAACAAGUUAGGGUCAGAUAAACAAUUAGCCUUUGCUCUAGUACAUCUUUAAAACUUCCAGGUUACUUGUGAAAUUUAUCUGGUCUAGCUCUUGAAUCUGACUUAAAGAAAAGAUUCAUACAAAAUUCUUAUAUUGGUGCUUUAAAAUAGAUGAUGUAUUCUUUCAUCAAUUUGGAGAUAAAAUAUUGUGACUUGCUGUCAUAUUUAUUGCAAAAUCAGUGUGAUUUUACAAAAUUCUUUGUUGGCUUUUUACUUUUUGAAAAGUUAGAUUCUCCGAAGGGUCAAAAUGUUACUUCUGUUUAAGGCUUUAAAUGUCUUAUUUAUAUUCAUUGAAGUCAAAACUGGCAAUGAUAGGAUGAGUAUGUCCCACUGAAAUGGGAUGAUAUUGUUAAUCCCCCGGCUGGAUUUGUACUUAUUUAGAUAUUUUAUAUAUGUAUGAGAAAUGUUAGCCUAUAUUAUUCCAACUUAGAAGUGAAUGUCAGAGACGGAUUUAUGCUUAAAAUGUGUAUACUCAAGUUAAGAUGGGUUUUAUAGAAAAAAAUUGUAACUGGUCUAGAAAAGUCAAAAUGGUAAUUAAAUAAUCCUCAACUGGUUUCUAUAGUCACCGGUUAACCGGACCCAUUAACUAUUUAUCACUACAACUGUGUAUUUACAAUUGCACAGUGAAAUCUGAUUUUGGCCAAACAUAAUAUUUUGAUAAGUGGGAGUACGGGUGGGGGUGGGGUGGCCAAACGUAAUUAUAUCAUCCUAUUGUAAACUCCAAGCUUCACAUACUGAACAGAGAAUAAUAUGUAUAUUCCUAUCUUGCGUCUAUCAAAUAUGGAAUAAGAUGACAUAAUCUAAUUUUAUCAUCAAGUGCCACUCUAAAUGCUUAGAAUUGUUUCCAGUUUCCAAUAUAUCUUUGUAUUUACAGGUAAUCUAAAACACAAGGAUCUGAGGGGACAGGUGGUGAGCUCCCAGGCAUAUGUAGAUGAUGGAAUUGACAGCAUUGAUGAAGAUCCAGAGGGAGCUGUUGAUGUGGAUCCACAAGGUAGUGUUCCUUCUGCUAGUGAAAACAGUGAAAAUGAAUGAAUAGUACUUUUAUCCGUAAAAUGCUUGUCAAUUCAUAGACCGUAUGCUAACAUAGACAAUCAUUCUAUCUUUCCCUAUUAUUCUAAAUAGAUCAAGUUUCUUAUAUAUCAUUUUCCGCGGAAAAUGAUGUAUAAGAAAGAUGAUUUUGUUAUUAGUUAAAAAGUGUUUAGUGAUUUCAUUUCGUUGGUAGAAAAUGAAAUUAGGCAAGGGUUUCAUUGUAUCUUAUGAUUAUUUGAUUUAUUAUAUGAAUAACUUUUUAUCGAGUCCAAAGCUUCUUCACUGAAAAAUGGGGAUUAUUUGUUCGAGUCGAUAAAUGAUUUCCAGUUCAAGUAUAUUACAUUAUCUCUCCGAAUUGAUUACCAUCGGAACGGAAUAAACUAAUAUGAAUGAAAAUUUUUAAUUAAUUGUUUGAGUUCGGAAAGUUUAAUGCUUAGUUUGGUCAUAGAUUGGGAGCAAACUCAAUUUGCAAAUACCAAUAUAGUUGACUUCAACCCUUCUGUUGUUUAUAUUUGAUUUAUUGUGGAUUAGGUAGCAAUCCAUGAAUACAAUCCGUCUUUGAACUACAUGGUUUGUGACACUUGAGAGUUUUUUAUCCACGGAGGAUGAGGUUCAAUCAAAAAUACAAUAUUAGAAACAAAUGUAGUACUAUUAAGGGAUAAAUCUUAAAAUUAUAUAUGAAUUUGGAUCAAAUGUGUAAUGUUAUACAUAAAUUUUGAUUUUGUGCAAUUUUAUACGAGUUUUUUAUUUGAUUAAUUUUUACAAAUCACUAACACAAUUAUCAAUAUAGAAUCAUGUUAGGAUGACAUGUUGUAUAUAGAAAUAAUUAUAUUUAUUUAAUAUAUAAAAAAAUUGAUAUAUUUAUUUUUAUAAAUGUGUACAGUUGAAUUAAAAUCAAAGUUAUACAUUUAAAUCAAUCAAAAUUUUAUGUGCAUGUACCAAAUUAAAAUUCAUAUAUCAAAUUAUUCAUUAAAUCAAAAUUUAUGAAUAGUUUUGAAAUUUAUCCCUACUAUUAAUUACAUUCAUUACAUUUAAAAAUGCUGUAAGGGUCUUGGAAAAAAAAUUGCCUUAAAAGGUAUGUACCUUCUUUGGUUUCGUCCAUUCAUGAGCAAAGUGAUCUUUCUUACCACAGUUAAAGCAUUUACUUUAGUUUUGCUUUUAUUGUGAAUGUAUUGGGAGAAUUUUUGUGUGCCUAAUUAUAGUUUGUUAAAAGCUUUGCCUUUAUAUUCACCAUAUGAUUUGCGUUAAAGCUGGAAGCUUCAUUGGAACUUGUUCCUACCAUAUACAAACCAAUAUUAGGUUUGGUUGUAUCAUUACAUUUUUCUUCCAAUAGUAAAUGGCUUAAAGCAACAUCUAAAUUCUUGAUGCUAUAAUUGUAGAUAAGGUGUACGUUCAUAUGUUCGUAACUAUGAGGUAAAGAUUGAAUAAGUGCUUGAUAAGUGUAACUUGUGUCCUUAAUCUCUCUUUUAUCAUUUUUGACAUUUGAUGCUGCCUUAUAUUAUGAUUUGAGUGUUGUAGGUGUAGAAUUUAAUUGAGUUAUUUGAUUUUAGCGAAGGAUGUACCGCCAAACUUAGUUGUCUACGUUUCCUAUUCUAUUCCAUGCUUUUUGAAAUUACGCACGAUGUCGUUAUCCAUACUGCUUAACAACGUAAUGCAAGCAAUGGAAAAUUUCUUUUUCCAAGCCUUAUAAAGCUCUUGAUCUCUUUGAUGUUGGGUGGUUUGUCCAUCUUUAGCCUAUUUCAAAAUAUUAUUUAGAACAUUGUGAAUCUCUUGUUCCUUUAAUAUGUAUUCAGCUUCUCAUUUUUGUUUAAGCUCAACAAAUAUAUUUUCUGAAGCAAAUGCUAAUGACAUUAUGCACGUAUUAACGCUUAGGAUACACAUUUUGUUUUUUUUUUUGAAAUUAACUAGGGAUAUUUAUUAAACUAAAUAAAAUAUUAAAGCGUCUGACAAAUGGAAAACAAUACUAAAAAACUAAAAGAACACUUUAGAACUAGAAAAUUAAAACGCAUUGAAAAAACUUUGAUAUCCCCGUUAGUUGAAAGUAAUCUUUCCCCAACCUUUCUGUUCUCUAAAUGACUAUUCAGUCUCAGUGGGAUGGUGAACCGCUUCUGCUGAAGGGCGCUCUACACCCUCCUGCUCUUCUAUCCUUCUCAUCAUUUCAGUCAGGCUCUCUUGGCCUUUCCAUUUCCGAUUGGUGUUUAGCAUAAUCAGGGGCCUCAUCAAGCAGGUAAACCUCUUCCUUCUUUUUUAGACUAGUUGUAGCAAUGAUGUGGGCUACCUUAUUAGCCGAUCUCGGAGUAAAAAGAAAAUUAAUAGCCUGAAAGUUGUCUUUUUCUCUUUGAAUGUUGCUGAUAUACGCACUAACUUGCGAUUUAUCCCUGAAUUGUGCCAUGCAUUUGCUGAUAAUUGUUUUGGAGUCCCCUUCAACAGCAAUGUCUGUGAAACCCAUGUCUUUCCCCGUGAGAACAGCUUCAUAACAGGCAAUAGCUUCCGCCUCAAAUGUCGUGGCCACCAUUGAGUGAAGGUAGGAUUUGGCUAUUUUAAUGCCCCCUUUAUAAUUUCUCGCUACUAUUGCAGAUGUCGACUGGUAAUUCUUCUCGUCAAAAGAGGCAUCAAAAUUGAUUUUGAUAGUUGAUUGUGCAGGUACCUUCCACUUAACAUGUUGCGGGGCGUCUCUGAGCUUUCUCUUGUUCAGUCCAUCAAUUUUGCCAAGGUAAUGCCUUACAAAACAAGCUGCUUCUUCCCCUGUAUAAGACUUACCCUCAUGUAAAUUUUUGUUUCUAUCCAUCCAUAGCACCCAAAUAACACAUAUCACCAUUCGUCGUUGUGCUAUGGUACAUUUGUUGAAAAUCCAAAUAAGCCAUUCAAGACCUUCAUGUGAACCACUUUGCCUAAUCCAACUGAAAUUUAAAUUCUUCCAUAAUUCUUCUACCACAAGACAUUCCACGAAUACAUGCCGAAAGUUUUCCUCGCCUGCUCUAUAUUUGAGGCAUGUGGCAUUUGGAGCCACUUUUCUUUGAUAUAGAUUAGCCAUCGUGGGAAUGUAAUUCCACGACACUUUCCAUGCCAAUUUCUUUAUUUUGCUUGGAAGUUGUAAUUCCCACAUUUGUUUGUAAAAUGGUUGGGUUGUAAUUUGCAUAUUCGUAGGCCUAGAAGUAGAAAGUUGGGUUUGUAGUAGUUUGUAAGCACUAUGUACUGUGAACUCGCCCGAGUGCUCCCCACGCCAGAUGAUCAUAUCCGGAUGCGCUUCGCUUGCCAGUGGAAUACUUAGGAUUUUAUCCGUAUCUACAAUUUUGAAGGUAGUAUGGAUCAAUUCUUCCCUCCAUUUCCUGGUAUUUUCAUCAAUCAAUAAUGUAACCUUAGUAAUAUUAGCAUUAGAUAUGCAAUGACGAACUCUAAAAUUAUCUGUCCCGGGCAACCACGCAUCAUUGUUAAUUAUAAUGUUUUCACCUGAGCCAACUCACCACCCCAGUCCUUCUUUCAAAAUACCUUUCGCUGCCCAAAUACUUUUCCAUGUAUAGGAUGGAUGACAUCCGAGUUCUGCUUGUGGGAAAUUGGUAGUCGGGUAGUAUUUCGCUUUUAGUACUUGUGCUAUUAAAGAAUCUGGUUGGUCAAUUAGCCUCCAUCCUUGUUUAGCCAAAAGAGCCACAUUAAAUUUUUCCAUAUUCUGAAAACCCAGCCCUCCUACCUGGUUCAGAUCACAUGUUUUCUUCUAGCUACACUAGUGUAUUCCCUUUCGGCCAUGUCCUUUUUGUCACCAGUACCUUGCAAUAUUAGAUUCUAUUUCAUCACAAAGAUCUUGGCAACAAAAAACACAUCAUAGAAUAAGUCAGAAUUGCUUGUAACAUUGAUUUGAUAAAGACUUCUUUCCCUCAUUGGGAUAAAAAUCGAAAACUCCAGCCAUCAAUUCUCUUUUUAAUUCUGUCCUUUAAAUUUUGAAAUGAGUAUUUUUUCUUCUUCCUACCAAAUUAGGAAGACCCAGAUACUUCUCAAUGUCAUUUGAUCUGCGUAUUCUUAACAAUCUAGCAAUCAUGAGUUUAUCAUCUUCCGAGGUGUUCGUACUAAAAAUACCAUGGACUUUUCAAAGUUCACGCACUGUCCAGAACACGCCUCAUACUCUUUUAAUAUUUCUUUAACUCUACAAGCUCCUAAAUUCGUUGCCUCCCCAAAGAUUAUACAGUCAUCGGCAAAUAGAAGGUGUGAAAUCUGCGGGCCACGCCUACAUGCCUUUAGUCCUUUAAUGUCCGCUUUGCUAACAGCCGCGCGCAUAAGUGAUGACAGGCCUUCACUACAUAUAAGAAAUAGAUAUGGACUAAGCGGGUUUCCCUGUCGUAACCCUUUCAUGGGUCUAAAACACUCUCCUUGUUCCAUUUAGCAGAAUGGAGUAAAAGACCAUAGAAAUGCACUUCAAAAUAAAAGAAACCCAAGAGUUUGCAAAACCCAUUCGCUCUAUCAUAACCCUAAGAAACUCCCAUUCGACCCUAUUGUAAUAGGCCAAUUUUGGCCUGGACCCAAAAAAGAAAAAUAAUAAUCGAAUAAAUAAAGCCAAAGGAUGUUAUCGGUCGAAAGCAAGACAAAAAGGGCUAAAUUGAAAGACAAUCAUUAAAUUGGGACCAAAUCAAAAAAUGGAGAAAGCCAAAGGGUUAUCAAAUUUUGUUGACUUGGUAAAAGGCUAAAAAUAGGAAGAUAUUAUUUUUAUUUUAUUUUAUUUUAUUAUUAAAUUAGUUAGGCUAUUUUUAGUAAAUCCCAUGUAUAUAAAUAAGGGUAUUUUGUUUUUUGAAGGGGGAAUUACUUUGGUAUUCUUACUUCAAUUUGGAAUUGGAUUAUUCUCUAUUUUCCUAUUUAUAUUGGAAUUGAAUUAUUUUCUUUUCUCUUUCAAUUACGUGAGAAUUUUGUCCAUUUCAUUUCAAUUUCUUUGUUUUUCUAAAUUCGUCCAAUUGCUUUUACCCCUUCCGUUUUUUUUAUUGUUUUGCAAUUAAGUUAUUAUUAUUAUUUUUGGCCCUAAAAUUUAUUUUGACUGCAUUUUAGUUCUCUUUGAAGCUGUGCGUUUUGGAUAGCGGGGAUUAUGUUCUUUUUGGUCCCUCCUUGUUAUUCGUACGUUCAAAUUGGUCCGUUUCCUUUUAUUUAUUUUUUAUUUGCCCCAAAAUUUUGCUUUAAGGUUUGAUUUAAUAUUUUUUUCGCUAUUUUAUUAUCAAAUUAACUAAUUUAAUAUAUUAUUUCUAUUAUUAUUAUGUUUCUAUUUAUAUUUAUUUUCUUAUUCUAAUACUAUUAUUAUUUAUCUAUUUAUAUUUCUACUAUUAUUAUAUUUCUAUUUCUAUUUUUAUACUAAUAUUAUUUUCGUUAUUAUUUUUCUUAUAUAUGUUUUUUUUUACUCUUGUUAUUAACAUUCUAAUAUUUUUUUUUACAUUUUUUGUUAUUAUCUAUUUUAACUUUUUAUAUAACGCUCAUUUUAAAUUUUUAUACAUUAUUUACUUUAAUAUUUUCAUAUAUUAUGUAUUUUAAACUUUUUUUGUAUAUUAUAUAUUUUGAAUUGUUUAUAUAUUAUUUUUAAAGAGUUUUAUAUAUUAUUUUAUCUUGAAUAGAUACUGAUUUUUUUUUAAAUUAUUUUAUAUACUUUAGAUCGUUUUUAUAACAUCCAUUUUAAAUCCUUUUUAUGUAUUAUUUGCUUAGAAUUGUUUUAUAUUUUAUUUUAGAUUUUCUUACUUUGUAUUUAUUUGUUAUUUGUGAUUCAUUAUUAUAAUAUUUUGUUUAUGAAUUAUUACUUUGCGUUGUACAUUAUUAUUCCAUCGCAUUUUAUUUGCUUAAAAGGUCGUGUUUUAAUAUCGUUUAAAUUUUAAAAUCAUUUUAUUCAAAAGUUUUCAAAAUAAGGCAAUACUCGGUAUUUGGCAUCUUCGAGAAGAUUGUGCCCUAACUUACUGGGUUCCAAUUUUCCUCGUUGAAUCUAAGUAACUGAGUACCCUUUUUCAAUCAAAACGUAUAAGUUUCAAAUAAAAGCUUAUUCUCAGGAAUUCGAGGUAUUGUGUCCUAACUCACUGGAUAUGACAUUUUAUAUCUCGAGAUAAGGAUUUCUAAAAAAUAAAGGCAAUAUUCUAUGUUUGGAAUUUUGAGAAAUCAUGCCCUAACUUACUGGGUUUCGAUUUUUCAUUUGACCCAAAUAAUUGAAUAUCCUUUUUAAACUUCAUUGCAUGAGUUUUAAAAAUCAAAAGAUAAGCUUAGUUUCGAAAAUAUGAAAUGUCGUAUCCUAACUCACUGGGUAUGACAUUUUAUUUCUUCGAAAUAAGAGGGUCUUAGCAUCCAAUUUAAUUUAUUCAAGUGUUCUUUUUAAAUAAAAGGAUCGUAUUCUAAAAUCUUUUCAAAUUUUCAAUAUUAAGACAUUAAUUAAUUAAUUAGAUAUCAAUUUUGGGCGUUACGAGGGCGCUAACCCUUCCUCUUGCUUAACUGACUCCCGAACCCUUUUUCUCGAAUUUCGUAAACCCAAAAUCAUUGUUUUAAUAAAUUAAAAUGUUUUAUUAAAAUGAUCAAUCUCAAGGUGAUCUGAUCACACCUCGAAAAAGAUCGGUGGAGACUCCAUUUUUGUUUUUAAGUCGACUUCCGUUUUUCAAAUUAAAAAUAGUUUCGACAGCUUGGCGACUCCACUGGGGACAAAUAAAAGAGUCAAGCCGCAAAUUGAUUAUUUUCUGUCUUUUUGUCAAAAAUUGGAAAUCCGGUUUAAAAUUAUGAUCCUCUUAUUGCAUUUCAUUCAUCAUUUUUUGUGAUAUUUGCUUUAUCAGUUCGAGUCUUGGAACGUUUUCGCAUAUUGCAUUGCAUGUCUGUUCGAUUUUACCCUUUUAAGUAGGAGUGAAAAACUAUUCCUUCGUGAGGUCUUCACUUCCGUGUAGGAUAGUGGAUCACUUUCGUGAUACAUCUGUACUUAUAUCUUUGUGAUAUUUUCAUCUCCGUGUAGUCAUAAGGAAAUAUAUUCCCCUGAACUAAAUUCGGUUUGUAUAAACCUAUAAUGGGUGAGGAUUGAGGAAUCUGCUGGUUCGGGUACCUUUUUCUUUAGAACCAAACCACAUAUAGUGAGUCUUAGGAGCAUACCUUAGGUAGAACCACCAAACCCCUAGAGGUCACCCGAAUAAGUGCUCUAUUUGUUACUUAUUUCUUCUGUACUGACGUGUUUUAUUUUGUUUUUGAUUGCAUUGCAUUGCAUUAUCAUAGAAAAGAAGUGUUGAUUCACGUUUAGUUGCUAAAUAGAGAGCUUGUCAUGGAAAAUAAAUUUCAUGAUAAAGUGGAAUGCAAUAUGACCAUUCGAAUAUGGUCCGAGUAAGCACAACGAGAGAAGAGUGAUAGCCAGUGAAGGAAUACACGACUUUGCUUCAUUGCUCGAGGAUUCAAGCCAACCAAGAUUAUUCAAGAGCUAUCAACGUCUCGACUUUUUUAAAGAAGCUAAAAAGCCUCCCGAGGACGAGUGAGCAAUAUGUCGUAGCCCGGAUCAAGCAAAAAGGAGCUAGACAUCCAUUGGAAAGUUCGCGAGAUUUGAUCUUAACAUUUGGAUAUGAAGGAAAGGAUCGAUGCCUUCGCCUAAAGUAUGAGGGCAAAGCCGUAUAUGUUUCUGUUUUAUGUAAAAAGAUUUGUUUUCUAAAAAAGUUGUUCUAAUAGAACUAAAUUCAAAAUCAACGCCUCUCUUUCUUUUUGCAUUCAUCCUAUGCAUCUGCAUUACAUUGCAUCACAUGUAUUAGAUUUUCACAAAAGGACCCUGAUCAAAAAAAUCAUUUCAGUAAUUUAAAAAUCGACAAAAAUCUAUCAAGUACACAUCCUUACGGUACACGAAGAAGAACUAAAGCGAUGGAUAAAAGAUUGGAAAGAUUGGAACAAAUGCAGAAGGAAAUGCAAGAGUAGAUGCAAUCACAGAUGCAAGAACAGUUGGCAAAGUUUCAACAGGAUAUAAGGGACCAGGUGUUGGAGUUCCAAAGGAACAUGAUGAAUCAAUUGACCCAGUUGUUGACUGGGGGGCAAGAAAAAGGAAAAAGCCCUAUGAUCAAUUCUAGGGAUGACAAUGAAGAUCCUCUCUACCUCUUAGUUGAUAAGUCAUAGUUUAUACAUAUUUUUAUCCUAUACUUAGCACAUUUUUGGAUGAAUUAUCAUUAGAUUUGUGGAAUUUGAUACUCCUAAUCCUUUCAUUUUAUUUUUUAUACUCAGGUGAUCAUAUGAGAGUAAAAAGAGCGAGAAACGGGCCAAAAACGGAGAAAAUGAGUCAACGUGGGAAAUCAACAUGGCCUGGACUUCCUCACACGAGUAGACCACAUGGCCGUGUCUAUUUAGCAGACUUUAACACGGCCUAAGCCACCCCACAUGGGCGUGUCAUACGGGCGUGUCCUUGUCAAACCCAAGUCUAGUUCUAUUAAAAAAGGCUAAUUUUUAGGGUUUUGAAUCAUUCUAAAGUCUAUAUAAACACCGUAGAAGAAUACCUAAAUUGAGGAGGCACCUAGAGGCGAACACACAGAGUGCGAGGCAAGGAAUUACUCGAAAAAAGCCGAUUGAUCCAUCUCAGAAGCUGGAUUCUCCUUCAAAACUGAAGAUCUCCCUUCAAUUUCUUUCAGGAGUUUUUGGGUUUCUUUAUGUUUUGUUAUUAUUAUCCUUCUGAGAUGUUUUCUUUUACCCAUAUGAACUAAAUUCCCUAAAUACCUAAGGGGGAUGAAACCUAAGACGGAUCUUGUUACUAUUUUCUGAAUUAUAUGAUAAAUACUUGAUUUGUUCUUAAUUAUGUGUUCUUAAUUCUUGCUUUAAUAUUCCAGAAUAUUGAUUCAAGUAUUGAUGUACUUAUUCAGAGGAGCAAAAGUCUCUGUCUAAGAGUAGAUCUAGCAUAAUUAAGUGGAGUUGAUUGCACCCCUAGACAUAGGGCGACAUAAAUCUGUCGGGUUAGGGUCAAACCUAAUAAGGGAAUCUAUAGAUCGAGUUAAUGCAACACUAAGGGUUUUAAUUAGAAAGAGAUUUCAAUUAAUCAACCUAGGGUUAGACGUUAGUCUCGAGAGAGAUAAUAAUAUAAAUUAGGGAUUUCUACGGAUCGAGUCAAGUGAAUAAAUCAUCUAGUUCAGAGUUAAAUAAUAAGUGAAGUCUAGGUGGAUUCUUUAUUGGGUAUUGUUAAAAUCAAUCAAUUUUCCCAAAAAUAUUUCCCCAAUUUACUUCCUGUGCAUUCUUAGUUUAGUUAAUUAGUUUAGAUAAAGCAAAUCCUCUUAUUUUUAGGCUAGAAAAUAAAAAGAAGGUUAAUACUAGUACUUUUAGUUGCUGUGAGUUCGACAUUCCGGUCUUGCUAUAAGCUAUACUACUGUUCGAUAGGUGCGCUUACCUUAAGUCGAAUUAUUAGUUAGUUUCACGAUCAUCAAGUUUUUGGCACCGUUACCGGGGACUAAGAUAUUAGGAAAACUUAUUUUUUAUUACUUUAGCCAUUUAUUUUUAUUGCAAUUUAAAUUUACUUUUGCUUAAAUUAUUAAAAUUUUCUUUUAUUUGCUUCUGGCAGGUUUUUAUAGUUUAUGACUAGAAGAAACUCAUGAGGACAUCUACUUUUUGAUAGUCAGAUCGAAAGCAUAGCUCACAGAAAUCGAAGAGAAAUAAGGCGAAGCCUACGAUACAUAGAGGAAGGGCAAGAGGAUGAUAGUCAAACUACAACUGAAGGGAUGACUAAAAAUUAGAAUAAUCAACUACCUCUUUUUGUUGCCGUAGAUCCAAUAAAUUAGAAUCCUGCUCCUCGUAAUAUGUAUGAUGAUGCUAAACCUAUUUUAACAGAAGCUGAAUCGAGUAUAGUUAGACCUGCUAUUACUGCAAAUAAUUUUGAACUGAAACCUAACACGAUUCAAAUGAUACAACAGUUUGUUCAGUUUGGUGGUUUGUAGGACGAGAAUCCAAACACUCAUUUGGCAAAUUUUCUGGAGUUCUGCGACACUUUUAAGAUCAAUGGCAUUUCUGACGAUGCCAUACGCCUUUGGUUGUUUUCAUUCUCAUUGAGGAACAAAGCUAAACAAUGGUUAAACUUGUUACCACGAGGGUCAAUCACAACUUGGGAACAAAUAACUGAAAAAUUUUUACUAAAAUAUUUUUCACAGGCUAAAACGACUAAACUAAGGAAUAAUAUCUCUUCUUUUAUGCAGAUGGAUCUAGAAACCUUGUAUGAUACAUGGGAGAGAUACAAUGACCUAUUAAGAAGGUGCCCUCACCACGGGUUACCUCUAUGGCUGUAGGUUCAGACUUUUUACAACGGUGUGAACCCCUCUACAAGACAACUCAUCGACACAGCCGCCGGUGGAGUUUUAAACAACAAAAUACCUGAAGAGGCUUAUGAAUUUAUUGAAGAGAUGUCACUGAAUAACUAUCAAUGGCAAGUCAUGAGAACAAAGCUAACAAAAGUAGCCAGUGUUUUCAACCUCAACGCGGUUACUAUGCUAUCUAACCAGGUAGAACUAUUAAAUAAAAAGAUUGACGGUUUGUAUGGUUCUACUCAGGUACAUCCAGUGAUGAGGUGCGAUUCAAAUGGAAAAGGAUUACACACAGAAUAUCAAUCCUUUAACCCUAACACCGAGAGGAACAAGUUCAAUAUAUGAGUAAUAAUAAUUCUAGACCUCAAAAUAACCCAUACAGUAACACUUAUAAUGCAGGUUGGAGGAACUAUCCCAACUUCUCGUGGGGUGGCCAAGGAAAUCAAAGGCCACAACAUCCCCCAGGUUUUCAAUAAUCACUUUACCAGCAGGAAAAUAAGCCAAACCUUGAGAAGAUGCUAAUGAAAUUCAUCUCGGUGUUAGAAACUUAUUUUUCAGAAUACCGAAACAGCACUUAAGAAUCAACAAGCGUCGAUCCAAUGGCUCGAAACUCAGAUAGGCCAGCUUACUAAAUUGAUUUCUGACCGACCAUAAGGUAGUUUGCCGAAUAAUACUGAAACUAGCCCAAUGGAGCAGGUUAAUGCGAUGAAGAAGGGUUAGUUGAACUUAAACCAGAAUCGAGGCAAGGGCUUGUGGUAAGUAAAUGUAAGGAUAAGGUAGACCACAGUGAACAAAAACCGGUAAGUAGAGAAUAUAAACCUCAUGAACCAUUUCUAAGUGUGACAAGGAAAGACCUCACGGACGAACAAUUUGGUAAAUUCCUUAAAUUAUUAAAGAAAUUACAUAUUAAUUUACCGUUUAUUGAAGCUCUUUCGCAGAUGUCGAGUGCAGCUAAAUUUUUAAAGGAGCUUUUAGCAAAUAAGCGGAAGUUUGAUGAGGUAUCGCAUGUGGAAUUUAACGCAGUUUGCUUAGCCAUUCUACAGAAUAAGUUACCUAAAAAAUUGGAAGAUCCAAGGAGUUUUAUGAUUCAUUGUUUAAUUGGUAGUUUAGAUGUUAACAAUACUUUGGCUGAUUUAGGGGCAAGCAUUAACGUCAUGCCCUAUAAAAUGUUUAAACAACUAGGUCUUGAAAAACCCAAACAAACUAGGAUGAGCAUUCAAUUAGCAGAUAAAACAAUUAGAUUUCCUAAGGGUAUCAUUGAAGACGUACUUGUCAAAAUCGAUAAAUUCAUAUUCCCAAUUGAUUUUGUUGUUCUAGACAUGGAAGAGGAUAGUGACGUACCUUUGAUUUU
rnacentral:lncRNA from 1 species